AGCUGUUACCACUGUCAACCGUGCCGGUGCCGGCAUGGUUGCUCCAUUCACUGGCCUCAAGUCCAUGGCUGGCUUCCCCACCAGAAAGACCAACAAUGACAUUACCUCCAUUGCUAGCAACGGUGGAAGAGUGCAAUGCAUGCAGGUAUGACAACUCCACACAUAUAAAUACACAAGAGGCACCAAAAUGAUUAUAAUUCAUGUUACAUAUUUAGGCAUGUACCAAAAUGUUACUUAAAUAAACAUGUUAGUCAUAGGUUGCUUAAAUUUUAGUCAUAGGAAAAUUUGCACAUGUGCUAGUUAAUCUGUUAACCCCUUUACUCAAUUUUCAUGCAAAUUAAUUACUAGGUGUGGCCACCAGUUGGCAAGAAGAAGUUUGAGACUCUUUCCUACCUGCCAGACCUUGAUGAUGCACAAUUGGCAAAGGAAGUAGAAUACCUUCUUAGGAAGGGAUGGAUUCCUUGCUUGGAAUUCGAGUUGGAGGUCAAUUUCUUGCAAACACUUUUGGUUUAAUCAUAGAUUUUCUUAUUCUUAGUUUGUUUCAACUUAUUUUCAAGAAAUAAUGGCUUCUCUUGCUAGUGUGCUAAAAGUACUUUUGGAAACAAAACAAAAAAUGGUUGUGUUCCAAAAUUUAAAUUUAUCUAACAGAUUUUUCUAUUUGAGAGUUAUCAAUAUGUAUCAAAUCUGUUCCUAUCUCUGACCAAAUUUUAUUCUUCCAAAACAAGCACUUGGUUUUGAGUUUUGAUGGUUGAUCUGUUUGUUUGCAGCACGGUUUCGUGUACCGUGAGCACAACAGGUCACCAGGAUACUACGAUGGACGCUACUGGACCAUGUGGAAGCUGCCUAUGUUUGGUUGCACUGAUGCUUCUCAGGUGUUGAAGGAGCUUCAAGAGGCUAAGACUGCAUACCCCAACGGCUUCAUCCGUAUCAUCGGAUUCGACAACGUUCGCCAAGUGCAGUGCAUCAGCUUCAUCGCCUACAAGCCCCCAGGCUUCUAAGUGUGAAAAAUUUGCAAAGCAUUUGUAGCCGCCACCCCACUUUGUUUGUUUGUACUUAAACUACAUUCCCAUUUGUUUUUGCUUUUUGAGAUUUCAUCAUCCUGUAUUUUUGGUUUCUGUUUUCGGACUUCAAUGGAAAUUAAUGGAUGAGAACUAAUGAAUAAGCUAUUGUGUUGUGUUGCUUUGUUUCAAAAUAACUUCAAUAACCCAUCGUCCUUGCAUUUCUCUCUACUGGGCUGAAAUUAAUCAUUUCUAAAUUUAAGUUAAUUAAUUGUGUCUCUAAAUGAUGGUUAACAGGGGAACUCUGUGUUAUUCAAGUGCACUGCUUAGUUUAGCUGAGCUUGGCCUUACUUUGUCACAAGUCACAAAUCUGAUGUAUGAAUGUUCUUUAUACUUUGGUCUUCCAAGAAAUGAAGUUCAAGACACAUAGUUUGUAAACAUGUUGCUAGGAAGCUACUGAACUUUCAAAACCAAAUAUGAACUCGAUAAUUCUUGGAAACACAGAUAUUUUGUAUAGUAUAUAGCAACAAAAAACCACUAAGGAACUGCUACCAAAUCGUUUUGUUAUUUAUGUGCAAAGAAAGCGAUAUCAAAUUCAAAUUUUUAUUGGUUUCAGAAUCUUUUCUUUCCAAGCAAUAACCACCAACUGCAACGAAACCGUUUUGUUUGUUCCAUUUCUCACUCUCCUCACUGCAAUGUUCAAAUUCUGAUUUGGAAAACAGCACAUAAAAACACAAGAUUUGGUCAUGCUCUGGUUCUACCAAAUACUACAUUUGUUUCUAGAAUUGCCAGAAUCUGAUCCUUUUGCUGACAAUUAAUCUCUAGAAGAUUCUUUUGCUUGUAACUUGGUAGUUAUGGAUUAGCAACUGAUAAAUAAAUCAUUUAGUGGGCUCUAUGUUGUGAGUAGUGAUAGGUAACUUAUGUCGACACCUUUUAGUAGAUUGCAUUAAUAUUUAGACUGGACCCUUUUGAUAGCUACAUUUGUGAACAAGAAUACAAUACGAUAAAGAAAUAGAUAAGAAGUUUCACCUCCUAUACUCCCAUGACCACAUCAUGACAUAUUCAAUGCCAAUCGUGAAUAUACAAAUCAAUAGGAUUUGUUUUCUUCCAAAUAUUUAUUUGUGGACGUGAAUCUACUCACCCUAGAAGCAAGUUUCGUUAAAUUUCCUUUGUUUAAUAACUUUUUGUGAACAUUCAUUCUUUUUUAAUUCAACUUUUAUAUAAAAAUAAUUAGACUCAAAUUCCUUAAACAAGGUCUCAAGUUCAAAUUUUGUGAAUGAAAAAUAUAAUUAAAAGAAGAGACAUAAUUGAAGUAGUCAGUCAAGUUAUGACAAAGCCUUACAAUUCACAAAAUAACUAAAAUAUUAUAUCAAUCAACUUCAUUUUAAUGGAUAGUAGUAUUAUUCUUUUAAAAUACAAGUAAAUGUUAACUAUAAGAUAAUCUUUAUGGUAAUAUAUUACAAAAUAUAAUAGUUAAGGGUCUCUUUGGGGGAUUGUUAGUUGUUAGUUUCAUUUGUUUUUAAAAUAACAAUCAAUUUUUAGUUUUAGUAUAAAAAGUUUUUAAAACCAGUCUUUAAAAUUUGAUUAGUUUUCUAACUAUUAGUUUUAAGAUUAAGUCAUUUUAAAAUUUUCUAAUCUUUUUAAAAUUAAUUUAAGAGUGUAUUUUUAUAUAUGAUGAUAACGACACCAACAACAACAAUGGUGGUAUUUUUGGUGGCGAUAGCAAAGUCAAUAGUGAUAAUAACAGUGUCAAUGAUGGCAGUGAUACUAGUGGUGGUGUUGGUGUUGAUAGUUAUAAUGCAGUAUUGCUAAUAAUGGUAGUGAUUGAUAGUAAUGGGAGCAGUGAUAGUGUUGACAACGAUAGUAAUAGCGGUGAUGUUGGUUGUUGGUGUCAAUAACAAUGGUGACAGUGUUGAUAAUAAUAGUGAUUGUGUCAAUGAUUAUGAUGAUGAUCAUAAUGACGACAUAGAUGGUGGUCCUGGUGUUAGUAGAGGCAAUGAAAAGUGUCAUUAUCAAAUGUAGAGAGUGUGUACUUUUUUAAAAUUAAAAUCAAAAUUACAAAUAUUUUUUGCCCAAAACUUUUGGUUUUAAAAAUUACAUUUAAAAAUAAAAUAUAAAAAACUCACAAUUACGUGACCAAACCCUAAGUCUUUUAAAUCAAUUAGUAUUCUAUAAAGAAAUAGUAUUUUUGAAGUAUUUAUAUAAUUUAAGUAUUUACUUAUUCUUAGAGUGAAUAGAUCCCUUUCGUUUGUUUUAUUCAUCAUACAGAAUCAAUAAUACAGUGGAAUCCUUCUGAAUAUUUUCUUUUAUAUAUAUAUAUAUAUAUAUAUAUAUAUAUAUAUAUAUAUAUAUAUAUAUAUAUAUAUAUAAUGUACCUGGAAAAAAUAAUCUUCCAUUAGUGAGACAGACAAAUAUAACCUUAUUUCCAUAGAGCCUGCAAAAACCUAACUAUCCAGUCAAUAUUUUAUAUUUCCAUAGUUUUUCUGACAAACCAACUUCUUUAAUAUAUUUUUCAAAAGUUUUCAAAUAAGUUAUAUAACAUAUCAUAAUAUUCAAGGUUUUCCAAGAGGAAAUUUAAAAAUUGUUAUUUUGACAAGAUAAGUGCUACAUAAUUGUGUGGUCUAUACCGACUAAUGAGUCAAGGCAUCGUGACUAUGUCGUAACAAAAAAGGUAAAGAAAAACAAGUCAUUAUCAUAGCAUUAUUUGAAGUUGAAGAAUAUUACGUAGUGUGAUAUGAUUUAUUUAUGACUGUUUUGGUUGUUUCCGUUGCGUUUUAUGAAUGGAAGAUCAAAUAGCUAGCUAUAAAAAGACCCUAAACAGAUAACAACCUAUUGGUAAUUUUUUUUUGUUUUAGGCUAUUCAAUUAGAUAUAGGCUCAUAUAUGUAGAUUUUAUAAGUUUAAGCCACAAAAAAUAUAUUUUUAUUAAAACAAUAAAAAGAUAUUGCCGUAGUGUUUAUACGAGAAAUGGCGCAUAGUGAGGUGCUCGAUCGAGUCUCUAUCAAUUUGCUUUUGAUGUGUGCAAAGGAAAAGAAAAGAGAAAAGAGGAAAGUUACAAAGUGAAUGCUUAGAUACUUAUAUCUUAAGUAAAUCCUUGUGUCUUUAUAAUAAAGUUGGAUAAAGACACAUUAACACUCAUCUUAUUUUUUUAAUUCCCUGAGUAUUUAACUCAAUUAGAUACUUAAAGAUUUAAAUUUGAGGCUGUUAUUAGUUAAAUUAAAAUAAUUUCACAUAAAUUGAUUCAAACACAUAUUAUUUGACAUCUUAAGAGAAAAAGAAAAAAAAAUGAAAUGUAAACAAGAUAAAUUAUAUGAUAUGAUAAGAAAGAAAAGACAAAAAUAAAUUGAAGAUGUCAAAUAAAUAUCCAUGUAUCAUUAUUAAUUAAGUUUCAAAAUCAAAGACUGAUACAUGAUUUUUUUUUUAAAAUUCAAAAUAUAUCUCAGUGAAAACUAUUUAAUGUUUAAAAUAACAUUCAUAUAUCAAUGUUUUAUUUGAGCACUAGUUGUUUUGAAUUUAUUUUUGGCAUCUCUCUCAUUUCCUUUUUCUUGAUCACUGCUUCCUUUUUCCCAUUUAUUUUCCCGACAAAACAAUUUUAGUACAACACAUCCUACAUGCACCAUCUAAAGGCUCUCUCACAAACCCAGUCUAAUUAAGGACAAAUUAAUACGGAGAAAUUAAUUAGUUCUCGACUACUACUGUAUAUUUAUAAUAUUGAUUAAUCUUUACCAAACAUGAUACGUAUUAAAGUUUUUUAAUUUAAGAAAAAAUUAAUAAUGCUAAAUUGUAAACACUCUUAGAUUGCUUAAUAAUUUAUUCUCUUAAAAAAUUAUUAGAUGUCCAAAACCAUCCUAGACUCUAUUAAAACAAGGCCACUUAUAUAAUAAAAACAUAAUAUACAAGACUAUUAAUUUUUUUAUUAUUAAUUAAAAAACCUGAAUAUAUAUAUAUAUAUAUAUAUAUAUAUAUAUAUAUUAUCGGUAAAUAUUAUUAGUUUUUGUUAACAGAGAAAAUCAAAUUUAUGACUUUUUUUUUUCUUUUUCCAUCUCCCAUAAUCUUCUAAUUCAUCUUAUAUUUUCAAAAUUCUGAAAAGGUAUCAUACAAAUUGAUUCAGGCCAUAGAGAUGUAGUGAUCCGAAACUACUUAAUAUAUAGUUUCUUCCACACUCACGGCACUCAAAUAUUUCAUUUCCUCACACAUAGACUGCACCUCCCCCCUCACACACUCACACACUCACUCAUUCACAACACCACACUGACUUAUUCAUAUUCAUCCGUCACAUGAAAGGCAAUGGCAAGCACACACACAAGUUACACAGCAAAUCCAAACUCUUCAGUGGCCUUAUUUGCACCAUGCAACCAUAAUAUCCACCCAUUAUAGAUCUUAUAGACAAUAGCAUAUAUAGCCACACCAUAUGCAUUAUGAAUCCAUGGAACAAUCAUAUAUCAUUCGUGAAAAAAAAGUAAAACAAGUCUUCAAAGCUUUUCCCAACCAUAGAACUUCUCAACCAAGUCUUUAAACCUUCACGUGAAUCUGUCAUCAAGACAGCCCCUAAAUUAAGCUUGAGCCAUCUGUGUCAUACACGUAUAAGAGGUCACGCAUGGUUUACAUCAAGUAAGAAAAGAAGCUAUCAUAAAGAUAUUACUUCUAUUUUUUGUUGUUGAAUAAGUCUAGGGUAUAAUAUAUUGUUGAUUUCUCAAAAUAGUUGAGAACGAUAGUUUUAGUUCUUAUUAAAAUUUAAUAUGUUUUUAUUCUUUAUAUUUAUUAAAAGUGACAUGAUUUUAAUUCUUUCAUCAUGAACUAAAAACACAUACAUCUGAAUAAAUAUAAGAACUAAUAACACACACACACACACACACACACACACACACAUAUAUAUAUAUAUAUAUAUAUAUAUAUAUAUAUAUAUAUAUAUAUAAUUCUAUUUGUAUUUUAUCUCUUGCUUGGUUGUCGUGGUAAAGGCGUAAGGCAUAGCCGCAUGGAUAUGAACUUAUCAUAGGGCUCCAUUGAAUCAGAUCAGUUUAAACUUAAAGCUUUUGAAAAUUAUUAUUAAAAAAAUGAAGUUUUGAGGACAUCAAAAUUACGUCACUGAAAGAGAAUAAUGACUUCUUUUAACUUUUUUUUUUCCCUGUUGUAAACUUAGGAUUUUCAAAACCCGAGUUCCAAAUUUGCAAUGGUUUCUUGUUUUUGAUUCGUAAGUGGAUUACACAAAUUUCAUUUUGACGCAAACUGUUGGAUUAUUUUAAUAUUAUGUUCUAGUUGUAAUUAAAAGCCAUUAGGAUUAAUUUAGAAAACUAAGAAUAAAUCUAUAAUAAAUUUCUCUUAUCUUUUCAAAAUACUCAUUAGUCUUUUUAAAAAAAACCCACACCGAAUAGUAUUUUUUAGCCAUAAAAAAAAUAAGGGAACGAAAGACUGAGGGAGGAAAGCCAUUUUAAUUAAAAAAAUAGAAAAUGAAAAAAAUAAAUUGAAAACACAAGAAAAAUAUCGGGCCAGAAAAUAAAUAUGAAUUAUAAUAAUCAAGAGCUUCAUGCAUGCUUAGUAGUUUUCUGUGCAUUAAAGAACUCUAGAGAAAUUAUGUGUUAUGAUCUAUUCUUACAAAAACAUAUGCCAUAGCCUGUGAACGGGAUCCGUGUUCAUGGUCUCUUGUAUAUGCUUUUGUUCUUUAAUUGUUAAUAAUUAAGAACACAUGCCGUAGUGCAAGUUUAAAUCAUAAAGAGUUAUGGAUACCCAUAAUAUUCUAAGAGAUAUAAAAUAAAGAAAUAAUUAAGUUUUUCAUAUUUGAAAUAUAGUUUAUUUUUAAAAAAUUACUUAACAUUCUUUUUUUUCUCUCUAAUACCUAAAAAAAUUUUGCAUUUCAUUUUAGUACUUGUCGUUAGUCCACAUCCAUUAAAUAAUGAUAUAGCAAACGGAGUAUCACGUCAUCACACCUAAUUACUAAACACAUAUGCACAAACAUUCACAUCAUUAAUUUUUGUUUUUGUUUUUUUAAUAUUAAAAAAUGAAAGCCAAAAAGGAGAGGGGGAGUCGUCCGUGGUGGUGUGGGAGGCGCGGCCACCACCGUCUUGGACACUCUUUGGAACUUCACCUUCGUCGCCGCCAUCGUCACCAUCUUCUUGAGCUAUCCACUGGAUAGGGUCCAUCGUCAAGCGAUGAUUUCCCACAGAACAAAAAAUCUGCUAUGCUUCACUUUCUUGCUUUUGCAUUUUCUUGUGGAAAAAAAAUCCUCACAACAAAAAUAGGUUGUCCUUUUCUUUGAUCUACCAAAGCUUUAAAUUUUCCUUAGGUGCGUACUUCAAAUUCUUCUUCUCCUACUCCUAACUGCUCCUUUUUUUUUUUUUUCAAAUUCUCUGUGCGUUUCUAAGGAUUUUGCAUGUUUUGUUCUUCUCUUUGCUGUGUGUUUUGACUUUUAUUGUUUGCGUGUGUGGCAGUUUGGUUUGUUUGUGAGUUUGGAGUGUGAUGCCACCAUCGGCGGUGAUCACGGAGGAGGAGGGGCAGAGCAAAGAUGUCUUCACUGAUAUUGAACUCGCGGAAGUUGAAUUGCCAGAUUUAGGGGCUCUCUGUGCCCCAGGUAAGGAGGUUCCUGUAGUUAUACUCGUCCACGAUUUCACAUAUCAACGCGAACUCCUCCUUGAGGUUAUCAUUCCAAACUUCCUUGAUUUGAACCGAAUCGCCUUUUGGUAAAAUCAACAUAUCAAACGAACAAAUCUGAGUAGCAAAGUGAGAAUCACAAUCAAACCCCCCAUAUCUGUAACAAAAACAUGCGGAAACAAUUCAGAUCUCAAAACCUAACAAAUCCAAAACAAAAAUCGAUGAUAUUUCAUUGAACGAGGAAACAAAUAUAAACAAAAUCAACAAGCCGCGAUACAUAAAGAGGAUUUGAGUGAGUAGAGCUUCGAAUCGGGGGCAUGCAAUCAAGCUUCGUAUCGACGACGACGACAACAACGAAGGCAGAGUUCCAGAGAGUGUCCAAGACAGUGGUGGUCGCCGCCUCCCGCACUAUAACAUCCCAAUUUCGUGAAUUAAAUUAAAAAGGUUUUUCAUUUAAAAUAGAGUUUUAGAAAAAAAAAUGAUGAGGUUUUUGUAAUUAAAUAAAUAAGGAGAAAUAACUUUAUUAAAAUAAUGGUUUGAAGGAAAAUAAAAAGGAUAUUUGAUUUAUUCAUUUGAUAGGAAAUAACAUAGAGUAUUUGUUAAUAAAAUAAUAAAAAUAAAAAAUAGAGUAAAUAAUAAGCUAAGAGUACCUAGCUAUAAAUAAAGACAUGCUAGGUUAUUUUUCAGACUGACGGUAGUCUCUGUGGUUUCUCUUCCUUUCAGUUUCUUUUUUCUUUCUCCUCCUCCCAAAACUAUUUUUCCCGCAUACACUCAAGCCUAUCUCAAUAAAAUUAUGAUCUCGGACUCGUUAAACGUUGGAUCAUUGUGAAAUUUGAGUACUAGGUUUAGAACUUAAUUCCAAAUAUUCUCACCGUUGGAAUUUGCGAAACUAUAUUGGAGCUGAGAGAAACUCCCUUCGUAUUUUAGCUUUCUCUUUUCCCGCAGAGACCCGAAACCUAUCCCGGUAAAACUAUUAUCCUGGACUAGUUAACCGUUGGAUCAUUGUGAAAUUUGAACACCAAGUUUGAAAUACAUUUCCGCAUAUCUUCACCAUCGGGAUUUGCAAAAUGAUUUCUGGGGAGGGAGAAACACUCAUUGCACGUAGACAGUGGAAUGAAGGAUUCAAAUUCUUUUCCUUCUCUCUAAUAUUUGGAAACCUUAUCAGAACAACCAGAGAAAAAGCUUGAGGAAUCUCAGGAAAUUGUUAGAGAUUCCACUAUUGCUGUCAGAAUACACACGUGAGCCCGCUUAGAGGUAAGGGAUGAGUUAUUCAUAAUUGGAGAGUAGUGAGAACAUGUGUAGGGAUCCUUAGAGUAUCAAUUGGAAUGAGUUUUUAGGUUGUUUUUGCAAAUUUUGAUUCUAUCUUUACAAUUGUAACUGUGAAUUAUAUAUUUUUUUACGAACCAAUUGAUGUUCCAAUUAGAAAUUGCUGUGAAAUUCAUGUGUUCUUGUGUUGAGUGUGAACCUUAAAAAUUGAGUUCUUUUUAUUAACGUAAAUUAUACUCUAAAUAAUAUUCUUUUAACGGCUUAUUUUAUACAAAUUAUUAUCUUGUUCUGUAUUUUUCCACAACGAUAAUCAACAUGUUAUGUGUUUAUAUAUAUAUAUAUUGUAAUACAAAAAUAAUAAAUUAAAGAAAGUUGUAAAGGUUAAUGUCUAGUAGUAAUUUCUUUUGAUGUAAUCUUAAAUUAAUUGUUAUAGAAAUUCUUUUUGAUUGAAAAUAAUAUAGUUUGAUUUAAUAUAUAUAUAUAUAUAUAUAUAUAUAUAUAUAUAUAUAUAUAUAUAUAUAUGUUUUGUGUCAUGCAAAUAUUAUUAUUGUGUGAAUAUAUAUAUAUAUAUAUAUAUAUAUAUAUAUAUAUAUAUAUAUAUAUAUAUGUUUUGUGUCAUGCAAAUAUUAUUAUUGUGUGAUGUGUAUAUGAGUUAUGAGACGUGAUAAAUUAUUAUAAUAAUAUUAUAAUAUUAUUGUUGAGAUCAAGUAUAAGUGUAAAGUUAGACAUGUGUUACUUUGUGAAAUACACAUGAACAUGUGAUGGUGGAUUAUGAUAUUAUGAGAUGUUAAGUUGUGGUCAUGAGAUUUGGUUGUGAAUAAGUGUGUGUUUAACACUUGAUGUGAUAGUAUUUGUGUUGUGAGCUAUGAAUUAUACAAUAACCCAAUCAGUGUUUACCUUGAGAAAAAGUGUUUAUGCGUAGUGUUAAAGGAAAAGUGUAGGUUUCCUAGUUAGGAACCAAUGUUAAAUUGUAGCGCAAUGUGUUAAACGUGUUUGAAACAUGAGCGUGAGGUCAUGAAUAUUGUAUAAUUCAUGAGCAAUGUCUGCAUGCAAAAAUUGUUUUAGGGGUUGAAACUGAAUCAGGAAGGUGAGGCCCUAACGGAUUCUUCGUAGUCUAGGCCUUGAGGGUAAAGACACUCAGUUUGAGUGCUCCUUUAAGCCUAUAUUGAUCUCAUAUGGUUGGAGCAUUCUCACAAAACAGAGUUAUCCUGACUGGUCACCUUAUGAUUUUACUUAGUGAGAGUGACCUGACAUACCCAUUGUAUGGUGUGACUUGUUUGUACUCCUAAGUGCCCCGGGGUGGUUUUUCACUGACAUGGUACCACAUUGCAUAUAGACUUGAGUCUUAGCAUAACUAUUGCAUAACGCUUGCUAAUUGUUUACUAUGAAAUUGAUGAGUGUUAUUAUGUCUUGAUCAGAGUAUGUGAUUCAUGUGUAAUGUGAUUGAUGAUUGAAAAGUGAAUUUUAAAUGACAAAGUGGUGGAAUUACGUGAGUUAUGUUUAAAUAAGUUAUAUCUCAUUUAUAUGAUAUGUAUAUCUAGUUGUCUUGUUUCUCUAUUAGUUAGAAAUGUGAUAACUCACUCCUCGUGUGUUGUUUGUGUUUGAAUCUUGUGAUGAUCUCGAACUUUGUGUUCGGGGGAACAUAUGACUAGGUGGAUUGCUUUAAGGAACCUUAUGCUGAAGGAUGUCGGGACACAAUACUCUGAUAGGACGUGACAUCACGGCAUAAGUUUCUAUAUUAAUUGCAUGAAGUCUUGAACGACCUUGUUUUAAGUCGAGAUAUUUUCGUAUUUAUUGGACAAGUCAUUUUAUGAUGUUAGAAAAGUAAAUGUGAGCCUUUUACAAUUUUGAAAUGCUUUUAUUUAAAUGUGCUUUAAAAACUUUUAAUUAAUUCUAAAUUCUUAUUUCUUUUAUUAUUAGUACAUAUAUGUAUGGGGUAGAGGGUGUCACACGUACCGCCACGAACGACUCUCCCUCUCUUUUUUGGCUUUCAUUUUUUUAAAAUAAAAUAAAAAAAAAUUAAUGAUGUGGAUGUCCGUGCCUACAUGUUUAGUGACUAGGCGUGAUGACGUGACACUCUAUCUGCCACUUCAUCACUCAAUAGAUGUGGACUAACAACUGGUACGAAAAUGAAACGCAAAAAUUUUCCUAGUAAAAAUGAUAAUAUUAGGUAGUUUUUUUAAAAAUGGAUUAUAUUCAAGGUAUGAAAAACUUAAUUAAGUCUAAAAUAAACUAUCCUUUUUGUUAUUGUAAAAUAAAAAUUUGAAGACCAUCUAAUUCACCUCAUAAUCAGUUUCAAGUCCAACCAAUUCUAUUCAUCCAUGCUUCACUCAGGUUCUUUUGAGACCUUUUAAGAAAAAGAAAAAGGAAAUGACGAGGCCCUUAUUUAGAUGUAAUAGAGGUGUUUAAAAUUAAAAAAAAAGAUCGUCAGCAAAAAAUUGAAAUGAAUGUGCAUGCAAAGUUAAAACCUAAAAGAUUAAUCGAUCAAUGAUGGAACACCCAAAUAGUCGUAUUUUAGUUUCUGCCAAGCUCCAAAGGGAAAAAGCAUUUUGUAAAAUCAGUCAAUAAGUUAGUAGAUAAAUAUAAAUUGACACAAAAAAAUAUAUGUAGGUAUUUGAGGUAAAAAGUGAUUAAAAAAACGAGUGAGAAUAAAAGAAAGCUACUAACUUAUAAACUAGAGCUUAUUUUCGUAAGUUAAUUGAUACAGUUUAUGAAAAUAAACUACAAGUUAAUAAAAUAAACUUAAACUUGUGUACUAAACAAACUUAUAAGUUGAUUAAAGUAAUUUGUAAGCUAUUAGAGUAUCAUACGAAAACAUUUAGUAUUCAUUCAGAGUCGCAAGUUGCUAGUUUUGGAACUUGUAUUUAGAAGUUUCUCUCGGUGCUUUAAAAAUUUGGAGGUAUUUAUGGUCUCAGAUUAAGACUUGUCACUUCAUAUUAAUUUUUGCUUAAUAAUUGCAUGUUGUUCCUUUCCUUUAUUUCAUUUUUGUCAUAUAACUAGUUACACUAUUAGAAAAUACACCUUCUACAUCAGUUAUUUAAGACCUUUUACAUUGGUUUUUAACCGAUGUUGAAAGUAUUAUCGUUAACAUUGGUUUUACAAAACCGAUGUUAACGUAAAAUUGACAACAUUGGUUAUCUAAAUAACCAAUGUUAUAUAAUAAGAAUUACACCAAAAAAGUGUAUGAAUGUUGAUAGGUGACAUUGAUUUUUCCACAAAACCGAUGUUAACUUAUAUAUUAACAUUAAGACCUUUUACAUUGGUUUUUAACCGAUGUUGAAAGUAUUAUCGUUAACAUUGGUUUUACAAAACCGAUGUUAACGUAAAAUUGACAACAUUGGUUAUCUAAAUAAUCUAUAAGUUAACAUCGGUUUUUACAAAAACCCGAUGUUAACGUGUAGAUUAACAUUGAUUUUUCCACAAAACCGAUGUUAAGUUACACAAACAACAUCAGUUUAUAGAAUCCACAACUGUAUAACAAAUAUGCUGAGACAUUGACCACCAUGUGCAAUUUUGGAGAGAUCUUCGUGCUUGAUGUACAAUGGGAAGUCUGGAUUAAACACCCCGAACACGGUAGCAUCCCACAUAACCUAGAGAGGCUUCAAGAAAAGCUGUGGGAUGGUCAAUGUCAUCAAAUACAGGGGAUCAUUGACCUCAGGAUCCGGCCUAUCUGGAGGCUUUGAUGGAGACACAGUUGCCUGUUUAUCAAACAUAGUGAAAUAACAUAAUUUAAUUACAGUGAACAAAUCAACUGAAAAAAGCAUAUAAUCAUAGUAAAAUACUUGUUCUAAUACACGCUUCACGAGAUAUGUCGGCCAAGCAAGGAAAGUGUUCAGUGCCUGCCCCACUAGUUGAACCUCGUCAAUGGGUACAGGAACGGGAGCCUCUGCAUCUUUAACCUUCUCAACACCAACCUUCACGUGGCCAUGCAACAAAGGGAUGUUGUGAACAACUGUGGAUCCCUCAUAAACUUUUCCUAGGACAACCAGGCGGGAAGGAUUUUCUUCGAUGUACAGCCCGCAUUUGUCUGAGUCACCCGUCUUUGGAUCGGUCGGUGAGGGAUCAACGCAACUCCCUUUUGUGCUAACACAGGCAGCUAGGGGACCAACCUCAGGCUCCAGAGGCAGUGCAAGUCCCUGUGAUUGCAUCUGUGACUGAAGCUAGGACUACAUCUAGUUGAAGGAUGCCAUGAGCUGCCAAGUCACUUUUUCUGUGAUUGACUCCUCCAACUGGUCCCUGAUUUGUUGAGUGAGCUGCUCAAGUUCUUUGGGAGGGAUGAAGGAGGAAUUGCGGGAGCUUUGUAGAGUGGAGCCGAAGUAUUGCUUAAUGGUGACACCGGCUCUAGCAGCAUGCACACGGCCAGGGUGUUCUGGUCACCCAAUGGUAGCAAUCAAGACAUCCUGACGACCAUGGGGGACAAACGAACCCUGUGACGCCUGCUCCUCCAAAGAAUCUUGUACGUAACACAUAUAUUUGUCCAAGGCAUUCACAUAAUAAACAAACAUAAUUACAAUUCUUAAUUUACAUUUGACUUACAAUCUUCUCAGCGAUUUCCUUUGCGGCCUCAGAUGUCAUCUACCCAGUUUUCUUGGUGUGAGCCAUCUUCUACUUCACGUGUCGUCUGAUGGGAGAUGGAGGGUUAAUGACGCCCUUAGUGCUUCCGGACUGAGCAGCUUCCUCUAGUUUUUUCUUUGUCUUCUCAACCAUUAGCUUCUAUUCUAAAUAAUCAUAACCCCCACAAGACAACACGUGGGGGGUGGUGUUUUGCUUCUAGAUGGCCCGUGCUUUUUUCCGCACAUCCAGCAAAAUUCAAACAUUAAUCAAAAUGAUUUCUACAAUCUAUUAUAAGAACUGAAUUUUUAGUGGAAACAAUUCAAAUUACAAAGUACAUACCUCCCAUGAGGGAUCUCGGCGGGUCUGACAAAACCGGACCCAUUUCUCCUUGCUAAUGUCGUACUUUCACAAAUAGUGUCGUCCACACCGUCCUUGUUGGCUGCAAGUGCCCAUUUCCUGGUCAAAUCGGAUUUAAACUGCCUCCACUGCUUGCCCACCGUCUGAAGACUUUCUUCUUUGUCCUACUGUCAGAAGAUUCAGGGAUUUCAAAUUCCACUUGACAAACAAUAAAUUAGGUUUUAUUGUUAGUAAAUUAUAAAUUUUGGCUACUAAACAAAAUCAAAGAAGAAAACAAACAUACCUGAAUAUCCUCCCAUAUCAAAUCCUUCUGAGCCGCAGGGACUUCCUUCCAGGUCUCGUAUGUCACGUCGACCUUAUCACGAGCGACAAUCCCCAAAUAUGUUCUUAAUUUCUACUUUUAGGGACCGUCGGCCUUGCCAGUCGCAGGAUCAACGUGGACCACUGGUCUGCACACCGGUGUUGCUGUCAACCCAUUUACAUUUGAAAACACACACAGUAAAUUUGACAUAGUUAAGCUCCCAAAUUUCAUUAAUGAACCCAAAGUAAGGGAUGGAAGCUACACAGGGAUUGUCAUCAUGCACACUUGCGAAGUGCUGACAUUCAGCCCUUAGGGUGACCUCGCUGUUUUGCAUUGUACUUUUGUCGUCUUGUGCUUUUGUGAAAAAGGAAUACUUGUUUAUGUUGUAUCCUUGCCAAGUUAUAACAUUUCUUUUAGGCCCAUCUGCUAGCUUUCUAAAUGUUUAUGAAGCAUUUUCAUCAACAAAGAUUGUAUCUUUAAACCAAUCAGAGAAAGUCUUGUUAUGCUUUUUCAAAACCCAAUUCUUUGACAUUUUUGGAUUAUUUUGUUUGACUAAAGCUUCAUGCUGAAGUGUGUAUGACAAAACUUCAUUACUGUUGUUCAACACAUACAAGUGAGCUUGUAAUAAAUCUUCUACACUUGGAGUGAUAACAUGCAGUCCUCUUGAACCCUUACCACCCACUCUGUCGUUAUGACGAGACUUAGAAAGGCCAAUAGGUUUAGCCUUUUCAAUGUACUCUGAACAAAAUUCAAUGGCUUCUUCUGCAAUGUACCUUUCAACAAUAGAUGCUUCUGGAUGAUGUAGAUUCUUGGUAUACCCUUUUAAGAUCUUCAUGUAUCGCUCAACCAGGUACAUCCACCGCAACUAAACAGGACCACAACAUUUGAUUUCUCUGACCAGAUGAACAAUUAAGUGAAUUAUGAUGUCAAAGAAAGCAGGAGGAAAAUACAUCUCCAACUGGCACAGUAUAAUUGCAGCCUCAUUUUCCAAGUCAUCAAACUUGACAGGAUCAAGGACUUUGCUACAUAUGGCAUUGAAGAAAAAGAACAGGCGAGUUAUGACUAACCUGACUUUGUUAGGCAAAAUGUCUCGUAGGGUCACGACUAACAAUUGUUGCAUCAACAUGUGACAAUCAUGAGACUUUAACCCUACUAGCUUAAGCUCCUUCAACUGCACAAGGCUCUUAAUAUUUGAAGAGUAUCCUUAUGGGACUUUCACCCGACGCAGACAUUGACAAAAACUUAUCUUCUCCUUUCUGGACAAAGUAUGACAAGCUGGAGGCAAAUAUAUUUUUUUCCAUCAGACCUUGGAUGCAACUGCAAUCGUAUACCCAUGUCAGCUAGAUCAUUAUGGGUAUUCAAACCAUCUUUCCUCUAGCCUUGAAUGUUAAGGAGCGUCCCAAUGACAUUGUCACAUACAUUUUUCUACACAUGCAUAACAUCAAUACAAUGUCUAAUAUCUAGAUUAGACCAGUACGGAAGAUCAAAGAAAAUGGACCUCUUCUUCCAUAUGCAAGUCUUACUUUUAUCCUUCUUUUUCGUGCUCUUGACUUCUAUUAAAUGCUUUUUUCAAUCGCCUGUAAGGGUGAUGAGGUUUUAGAAAACGUCGAUGCCUAGUGUAAACUGUUUUUCUACCAUGUUUUAGUUGUAUGUAGCUUGUGUCUUCUUCACAGAUGGGGCAUGCAUAAUGACCCUUAACAUUGUAACCGCUCAGAUUCCCAUAUGCUGGAAAGUCAUUAAUGCUACAAAAAAACAUUGCACGCAUUUCAAAAGUCUCAUUGCGAAACCCAUCAAACACUAAAACCCCCUCCUCCCAAACCUUUCUCAGGUCUUCAAUCAACGGACUUAGAUAAACAUCAAUGUCAUUUCCUGGCUGUCUUGGGCCCGAUAUUAUCAUAGACAACAUCAUGUAUUUUCGCUUCAUGCACAACCAAGGAGACAAAUUGUAAAUUACCAGUAGAACUGGCCAUGAACUGUGUUGAGUGCUUAAAUUGCCAUAUGGAUUCAUUCCAUCACUGGCUAAUCCUAGCCUAAGAUUUCUUGCCUCUUUGCCAAAAUCCGGAUACAAACCAUCAAUCUUCUUCCACUGGGAGCAAUCAGCUGGAUGAUAGACCAUUCCAUCAGAGUUUCUCCCAUUUGCAUGCCAGGUCAGGUCUUUUGCGUCGUCUCCAUUUGCAAAAAGACGCUUAAACCUUGGAAUGAUGGGAAGAUACCACAACACCUUUGCUAGAGGGCCCUUCUUUGAGUUUUCAUCAGAACUACAGUCCUCAUCAUCCUUCACCUUGUGCCGUGACGCCCCACACGUAGGGCAUUUGGACAUUUCUUCGAAUUCAUGCCUGUACAGUAUUUAAUCAUUCAGGCAAGCAUAAAUCUUCUGAUACUCCAUACCCAUCAGACACAAUAUCUUCUUGGCCUGAUAGUAACUUUUAGGCAACGUGUUUUCCUCUGGAAGCAGCUCAUGAACUACUUGAAGCAGUGAAGUAAAGCUUUUGUCCCUCCACCUAUAUCUGGCCUUGACAUUAACCAAACUUAACACCACCGACAACAACGUCAAGGAAUUCUUGCACCCCGUAUAUAGAGGCUUCUGUGAAGCAUUUUGCAAUCCUUCAUACAUAGGGGCAUGUGCUUGCUAAAAAGACUCUUGCCCAAGGUCACGAAUCAUAUCCUCCAAACGAUCUCCCAUUUCUACAUCAAACGGUUUAGAUUGGGACCCACUCUACAUGUCUAUCAAUUCACCAUGCCAUAUCCAUGUUGUGUAAUUCUUCUUAAUCCCAUUACACAAUAGAUGCUCUCGUAUGUCGUCCAGUAGUUGUCGUCUUCCGUUCAAACAAUUGAUGCAAGGACAAUAAUAUUUUCCAUCUUCAUCCGGUCAACCUCUUUCUGAAGAAAAUUGCAAGAACUGCUCGACGCCUUCCUCAUAUUCUAGGCUGAUGCGACUUUCAUUCAUCCAACUUUGAUCCAUCUAAGUAAUAACUCCGUGAUGCUCACAAAGUUAUUCAAUGCAUGAAAAUCUCACUUUUUUAUUAUAGGUGUGGCCCUAUCCGAUUCAGGAGGACAGUCUUUUAUGGUAGCUUCAUACGUCAGGGGUAAUUCUAUUUUGUUAAAUUUGACAAAAUUUUGGCAGCAUUUCGCAUUGGUCUCCAAGUACACGAUAUGAAAUUAAUUUCUUGAUAAUCAAGUAUGGACUCAGAGAACAACUCGAAAUGCAUUGUACAGAAAUUUCAUCAAAUUAAACAAAAUAAUGUUAACCUUAACGCAUGAAUCUACCAUAAAAAUAUCAGUCUCUCCAAACUGUCCAAACAAACAAUUCAAGAUUGAAUACAAUGAUUAAUGCAAACUGUCCGCAAGAAUCAUUGCAUUCAGUCUCAAACGGGAAUCUAAGGUUCACUCAUCAUGAACACAAUUUGUAUAGCAUAUAUCAAUUGUCAUUAAUGACAAUGAACAAGUAAUAAAAAUAUUAAUUGGUAACAAACAUUUGUACCUGUGAUGAUGAACAACACGGUCCUAAAUGAAAGCAAGAAUCAAAGAUAUAACUCAAUGACCACCUACGUCAAUCAGCAAACUGAUAUAAAUAUGUGACAAUGAGUAGGCUUAAAGUUUAAAUUUGCUUUAAGUGCUUCAUCAAAUGAGUAGGUUGUGUGUGUGUGUGUGUGUGUGUGUGUGUGUGUAAAUAUGUGACAAUGAGUAGGCUUAAAGUUUAAAUUUGCUUUAAGUGCUUCAUCAAAUGAAUAGGUUGUGUGUGUGUGUGUAAAUAUGUGACAAUGAGUAGGCUUAAAGUUUAAAUUUGCUUUAAGUGCUUCAUCAAAUGAGUAGGUUGUGUGUGUGUGUGUAAAUAUAUGACAAUGAGUAGGCUUAAAGUUUAAAUUUGCUUUAAGUGCUUCAUCAAAUGAGUAGGUUGUGUGUGUGUGUGUGUGUGUGUGUGUGAAAGUUGCAAUCUUAGAUUUAUAAUGCUCUAAAAUCUGAUAGGAAUAUAGAUAAAGCUGUAUUGUUGACAGCUGUGUAACUUACUUAACAGCUUGCUGCUAAUUAAUAGUAAAUAUUAUAGAGAUUCAAACCUAGCUUCAGCUUUCACAAUGGUGACAAGGGCUUCCCAAAAGCAAGCAGUAGAGGUACUCCCUAUGCCUUGCAGCUAAAGCAGUUGCAGAGAAGCAAGCAAAAGCCAAAAUAGUUGCCACAAAUGCACUAAUGAUAAGGCUGCAGAAUGAAGAAAAAUGACAAAACAUCAUUCAAAACUCAACACUAGUCACAGAAGCAACUGGCCAUUAAUCACAAAGCAAUUAACUCAACAAAUACCCCAAUCACAAAUCAAUCAUUUUCCCCUUUCCUAACAACAACUACUUUCUGGUUUCCUCAUUAAGUCCUUCUUUCCUUAUAAUUGACAAACUUGAUUCACUAAAUGCAUGCAAUCUACUCUUUAAAGGUUUAGUUUGAUUUCUCACAUUCAAUUAGUUUUUUGUGAUCUACUCACAAAACCUUAGAAUAUGCUUUCCCUGGUCACAAAGAGUUUGAAACAAUGUCCAUUUAUGUUAAUGAUGUUAUCCUAGUUAUAGGUCCAUCUUAUCUAAACCACAGGAUUGGUAAUUUGAGUAAAUUACGCAGUAAAACUACAAAACUGGAUCAAUCAAUAGAGAGAACCAUGCUCAAGUUGCAAUGAAUGAAGAUAAUACGAAGACAAUGCUAAUGGUACAUAGACUUCUUGCUUAUGAGUAAAUGGCUAAUGGUUCAUUGGAUAAAUGGAUAUUCAACAAGAACAAAGAGGAGUUUAUGUUGGAUUGGGAUACAAGGUAUAACAUAGCACUUGGAACAGCAAAAGGACUUGCUUAUCUACAUGAAGAUUGUGAGUCAAACAUUAUUCAUUGUGACAUCAAACCAGAAAACGUGCUCCUAGAUGAUAAUUUCAGGGUCAAGGUUUUUGAUUUUGGUUUGGCUAAGCUCAUGACACGUGAACAAAGGCAUGUGUUCGCAACACUUAGAGGCACUACAGUGUAUCUUGCACCUGAGUGGAUCACAAACUGUGCCAUAUCAGAGAAAAGUGAUGUUUAUAGCUAUGGUAUGGUGUUGGUAGAGAUCAUUAAGGGGAGGAAAAACUAUGAUCCCAGUGAAACUUCAGAGAAAUCCUAUUUCCCAUCUUUUGCUUUUAAGAUGGUGGAAGAAGGGAAUGUGACAGAGAUUCUUGACUCAAAGGUGGAAACUUAUGAAAAUGAUCAAAGGGUUCACAUUUCUGUGAAUGUUUCAUUGUGGUCCUAAUCAUAAAUAUUGCUCUAAUUAUAAAUAUUGCUUUAAGUAGAGACAUGGUCCUAAUCUCUUACAUAGACUAUGACAUCCUAAGCCUAGGAGUACCACCAAAGACAAACUUUAAGGCAAUCCUUACUUCUCAUAUAGUUUUUAUUUCAUUUUUAGUGAAUUCAAUUUAUAGUAACAGCUAACAAGGUUUUAGGCUAAGCAAUCCAAAACAAAAUGGGAUAAAUACCUUGGUCUUCAGAUUUCACCUCAAUAAACACAGCUGAUGCUUCACGUGGUUGCAACUUUUGAACCAUCUCUGCAGCUACUUCCUACAAGAAACAACACAGAUUAUAGACAAUUGUUAAAUAUAUAUUGUAGACAACUAUAUUGUGUACACAACUGUGUAGGUAAAAGGCUAUUUUGAGUGUGUGUGUGUGUGUGUGUUAGGUUGAGUGUGUAUACAACUUUAUGUGUUGUCAUGUUGAGUGUGUGGGAAGCUGAGUAUCUAAUCCUUAUCCAAAGGUAGCCUUCCCCUCUCUCUCUCUCUCUCUCUCUCUUUCUCUGUACUAUAUGUGUGUGUGUGUGUGUGUGUGUUAAUAAAAAGCUAAUGUAUGCUGAGUGUGACAAUUAUCUCCACUCAUUCAAAUUCAAGUUCUGGAGUAUCUCAAAUCCUUAAGCAAUGUAGUCCUAAAUUUUCAACAACAAUGAUGGGUAAAUAUUAGGAACUAGAAUUAAGUUAGGGCUGAAAUUAACAAUGGGGGGACAGCACAGAUGAUGAUAGCGUAAGUAUAGGAGCAGUAGAAAAAGCAAGGGAUUAUUUUGCACUGAUGAUGGAUAAGUAUGAGAUCGAGCCAUCGUGCAUAAGUAGAAGCACAAGUUUUUGGCAAUUGAACCAAAUGAAGGAAGAAAUCCAAGAAAAAGAAGCAAAGGAAGAAUCUCAGCAAAAGGAAGAAAAGAUGCUGCCAAACCCUACCUGGAAAACUCAAUCAGGUUGCUGCAAAAUCAAUUUGCAAAUCUGGACCUAUAGUUUUUAAGCCACAAACUGCAAAUAUCAUAAGAAAUUAUGCAACCUACAAGCAAAGGAGAAAUGGUAAGACUUUCAUUUUUAGUUGUUCAUGACUCAACUAAAGAAUCAGGAUGCAAAUUUGAUUACACAAAUUGAAUAUAUUUCAGAUUUAGAUCUAGACAGCUAUUCUCCUAUCCUCUAACAUCAAAGAUGUUUAUUCUUUAAGAAAAAGAACAGAAAAAAAGGAAGCGACAACGCCCAAUGCUCUCCCUUAUGUUGUUGGAGAGGCUUGUCUCUACCCAUGUUUACAGCAUGUAAAUUCACAUACCCCUCUUCAGUGACUAGGAAGUUUCUUUAACAACACAGAGAAACAGGUUGAGGAGAAAAGGGCCAAUUGCACCUGAGCAAAUGUUCUAUUCUGUUUGUUACUAUUAUACUUUUCUGAUGUGUAUUCGGUUUAGUAAUAUGUGUAUGAUAUCACAACAUGUCUAUAUUUAUCAAUGUUUCUUGUUGAGUUUGGAGGGAGUUAGGAGGGAAUAGCUUGAUUGAUAUUGCUUGUGGUGUACUGCUUUUUCAGAGCAUUUGGUUAUAAGUAUUUGAAACUAAAAAGGAAGCAUUUGGUUAUAAAGAAGAUAAAAAAAAUUGAAAAUAAAAAGGAAGAGUGCCAUUUAAGUGUUGAAAGCUUCCACAGUGUUGGGUUGUUUUUGGCAGGUAGGAAGAGAAGCAAGUUGCAACAAAUGAUAAUUGGGAGUAAAAAAUUCAAAAAGCAAACUCAAGAAACAUGUUCUAAAUCCUAUGUUAAACCGGAUAGCUCAUUCAUGAACUUGAUUUCAAACAUGAUCAAAGGAUGCUCACAAUCAACUCAAGAUGAGGAAAAGUCUUUGGCUCUUAACCUUGAAAAUCCUAAUCAUCAUCUUCAACAGCCAGAUCAGAAACUUCUCAAGUGCAACAAGAAUAAAUAUUUAGAGCUAAAAAAUGCAGGGUUCAGAUCAAAUUUUUAGUCUAUGGUUGGUGCAAAAUUUAAGAAUGUUGGAACAAGAAUGUCUCAAGUCGGAAAGGCUUCUAAAGAUUUUGAGCCAGGUACCAAGGUACAUGGAAUUGAUGCCACUCCAAUAACCUUCUAUACAAAGAACAAUAGCCUUUACAGACAGUAUUUUCAAUCAAAUAAGUUUGAAAUAUCUGAAGGGAGAUUUGAUGCCUGUCCCCCAUUACAGUCGCAGAUAAGACCUAUAAAUUCUCUCAACAGUCAUCAACACUGGAAAAAUAACUCAACAGAGAAUGAAAAAUUGUUACAACUUGGAGCUAACUAAGGAGAAAGAAGGAAUGGCAUUACUAUCAUUACAUUCACCUUCAACUAAACAAAACAGAAAUGAUAAUGAGAAUGUCAAGUCUUGUGCAAUGUAUGAGAGUAAGGAAAUGUGUCAUAGAAGUGAUAAUGUGGAAGGUCUUUGGAUAAAUCGUUUUUUUUUUACCAAAGUCAACUUCCCCCUUGGUAGUUUUUGAUCACCUUAAUGAGAGAGGUGGUUCUGAAGUUCAUUCUGCGUCAAUAUAGAGGAUUCCACUAUCCUUAAGGAUGAUAAGGGAAAUCAAUAUCACACAGCAAAGAUGAAUAAGUUCAAAUCCUUUACAUAUUUCCCUGGAUUGAGAGCUGCAGGGCCAAUGGUGUCCAUGUUUGCAAGGAGAUUAGGUUCCAUAAAAAAGGAAGCAUUUGGUUAUAAGUAUAAACUGGAUAAUAAUUUAUUAGAGAUAAACUAACUAUAUCUUAAUUAACAAGUAUGAUAACAUAAAGUAUUAGCAAAGCUACAUACGAAUCAAGUGUUGCAGCCAAGGCACAACUUGAGGUAGCCAAAGCUAGAUAUACAACAGUUGUUUCAGAUUUAAUAGGUGUGAAAGAGGAGCUGUAAGCAUUGCACAAAGAACCUAUUUCCUUAGUGACUGAUAGAGAUGUAGCUAUUAAGAAAGCUGGAAAGUAGAUUACUUGCAGCUCAAAAGGUGAAUAUCAAACCAACCAUCAACUUCCAGCUAACAUGUGCUUAUUUAAAACUGUCAACGAAGUAUUGCAGCAUUAAUUUGAUAGAAAUUGAUCAAGAACAAUGAUUACACAGAUAACUUGGCAGUUUUGGCUUACACCAUAGCCAACAUUUUUUUUUCUUUUUUGGGACUUGGGUACAUGAAAAUUUAUGGGGAGGAAAAGUUGUUGCAUUCCAAGUUCAUGACAUAGCACAAGCCAUUUGAAAUGGUACUUAAAGUUACACAUGACAUGCCAAUGGGCCUCAUUUAGAUAAAUUUCUCAACAAACACUUAUAGGAAAAAAAAUAGGAGGUAAAAUGAAUGAAAUUUCUCCCUUAAGUGAAAAUCAACUUGUGCACCUAGCUUAUGGACAAAUUAGAUUAGGGAGCUUCUAAAAAAUUAAUGGGAGAAGUUUAAUUCAAUAAACCUCUUUAUUUUCUUAUCUUAUAAAUGCUUGUUAAAAAGUUUAUUCAAACUGGGCUUAAGUAGAUAAAAUUUGAUCCUACUAGUUGAAGUUAACCCUCAUUAACAGAGUCUACAAUUUUUGCUAAAUAAAGCUACAACUGAAACUACCAAGACAUGUUAAUUGUACCUCAGAGAAAGGAGAUUACUUGCAGUUCAAAAGGAGAUAGAGGCUGCAAAGCCUUCUGAAAAUUUGGCAAUAGCAGCAAUUAAAGCAUUGCAAGAAAAAAAGGGUUCAAAUAAAUAAUAAAAUUACAAACAUUGCUUUCAUUAGUUUCAAUCUGAAUCAUUCAUUCACAAAAUUCAGUUAAGAUUCGCUUUUCUUAAAAUCUCAUUUCUCCCUAGAUAUGCUUUGAUAUACAAGUGUGACUUCAAAGUAGGUUUAAGGGCAUGCAAAUACAUAUCCAAACCCACUCUCACUUCUGCAAAUUGGUAAAACCCAAACUCACUCAGCCAAAGCAUACUUCUCCAUCAAAAUCAGGGCAUUGGAUAUGAGUAGCCAUGGUUUAAAGAUUUAAUAGCCAUACCUAGAUAAAACACUCUGAUUGUAAACUUCUGGUGACUCAGAAAGAGUAUCACUAAUUCCUAUGGAUAACGAGUGUUGUCAACUUUCUGGUACCAUCUUCAAUUCCUAUGGAUAAAAAUAAAAUGCAUAUGCUUGUGAUAUUCUUUUUAGAGAAGAAUGUAUUAGGGCACAUUAACAUUAGGUAUGCAGUUUGUUGCUCAUACAGUUAUUCACAAAUCCAAGUCUCAUGCACAAAAAUCUGGAAUUCUCAUACAGUUUGCUGCUCGUAGAAGUUGAUUUAAACUCAAUUAGAUACAUACCUGGCAGCCACUUGUACCUUUUUGUGAAGAAACUAAUAUGGACUAGUAGGUCCAUACUAGAUCUUAGCCUAAUCGCACCCGCACGAUCAACUAUCCAAUGCCCUACGGGGUGCACCUUUUAUACAAGAACACAGUAAGGGUAAGGGAUAUUGCGUUAAAUAUAAAAUACCCUAGCCAUGUUUACUUCACUAAGUGUGCGAUAGAUGAAUGCAAUCAAAUAUUUAUACAGGAUUAGACGAAACAUACCUAGGUAAGGUGGCGAAGGAGAAGAAGCAGAGAGUUGUGACGAUGCUCAAGCUUAGAUGAAACGAUGCUUAGAUGGAGAACAAAGAGCUUCAAGGUAGAUGGAGAACAAAGAGCUUCAAGGUAGACGAAGAACAGAGACCUUAGAUGGAGAAGAAAAGAGAGCGAAAGCUUAGAUGGAGAAGAUGAGAGCGUGAGCCAUAUCUUAACUUAUCAAACGUUAACAUCGGUUUUGUGAAAACCUGAUGUUAACAAACUUAUGUUAACAAACCGAUGUUAACUAAUUAAUGUUAACAUCAGUUUUCCAAUAACUGAUGUUAAUGUCACUUCAUUAACAUCGGAUUUUCACAAAACCGAUGUUAACGGAUACACAGUAUUUACAAUUAUGCCACCGCGUUUACGUUAACAUCGGUUUUGUUAACAACCAAUGUUAAGCCGCCGAUGUUAAAUAUGCCUUUUGUAGUAGUGUUAAACUAGCUUAACUAUAAGCUACUAUUGAGGGUUUUCUCCUAGCUGCAUCAUUAGGGUUUUUUAGAUCCUAAGGCUUCCAUGUUUGUUUUUCCCAUGUGGUUGUGGCUCUACCUAAGCUGAUUUGCUGCCUUAAUUUGACACCUUCUACCCCGAUAUACAUAUUUAUAUAGUAGAAUACAUGAAAAUGCAAAAUUACAUAAAAUGAUUUUAUUCAAUAAACAUAAAAAAGCUCACGUGGGUAAAAUGUUAACAUUCCCGUUAAUCACAAAAUUAAAAACUUAUCAAUUGAGGGUAUGAAAACAUUUCCAACUCAAAACAAGGUUGUUCAAGUUUACCAAAGAACUCAAGUUAAGUAACAAAAUAAAAAAAGUAAAAUGACAUGUUUGGAACAUCAUGCAAUUAAAACAGAAACCCAUGCCCCAAUGUCACAUCCUAUCAUAGUAUUGUGUCCUAACAUCUUCCAGCACGAGGUUCCUUAAAGCAAUCCGCCUAGCCAUCUACUCUUAUGAACACAAGGUUAGAGAUCAUCACAUGAUCCAAACACAUACGGAGUGAGUUAUCACAUUCCUAAACAGGUAAAGAUAGCCAAAGGCUUAUAUAUAUAUAUAUAUAGUAUGAGUAUAACAAGUUCAAAUUAGAACAAUUCAUAUCACUUUAUCACUCUUUGCAUAACAUCACUUGUCCCAAGGAUUUAAUCAUAUUCCACACCUUCACAUUAAUCACGUGUUCAAAACAACAAAUCUCAAGUACAACAUAACAUCUCACACUCACACAAUUCAUUAUCCACCAUCACGUAGCAAGCCACAUGGAUCAUUACACAGGUGUUAUGCAACAGAUACACUAAGACUCACUUCUAUAUGCAAUAUGGUACUAUGUCAGUGAAAAACCUCAUCGGACGCUUAGGAGUACAUGACAAGACAGACCACAUACUGGUAAGUCAGGUCACUCUCACUAGGUAAAAUCAUAGGGAGACCAGUUAGGGUCACCCUGUUUUGCGAGAAUGCUCCAACCAUGUGGGAUCGACACAUGCUUAAAGGAGUACUCAAACUGGAUGUAUUUACCCCUAAGGCCAAGACUCCGAAGAGUCCGUCAGGACUUCUCCCUCCUGAUUCAGGUCUAACCCAUAAAACAUUUUAGCACGCAAACUCUAUCUAUAAACUAUACAAAACACACGACUCCUCAAUUGUUCUCAAAAUAAUUUGAACUCAUUGUGCUUCAAAGUGAUUCAACUCGUCGAGUUCCCACAGUGGACCCCAUCACAAUACUCGUCGCACAUUUACUCGUCGCCCUUAAAGGGUCUUAAAAUCGUGUGAUUUUACAGUUCAUAGCUCAGACCUCAAUGCACACAACAUCUCAAUACAUGUGUGAUCUCUCAAUUUAACACAUACUCAACUUAUCACAUACACUCAAUCUCAAUCACAAUGUUAUAAUCUCAAAGCAACAUGUUAUCACACCUUACAAAUCAUAUACAUAUCACAUAAUAUUAAUAUAUACAUGGCACAAACACAUACUUUACCUAUAAACUAUGCAAUACACACAACUACUCAAUUUUUUUUAAAAUCAUUUUAACUCGUCGCACCUCAAAGUGAUUCAACUCAUCGGAUUCCUACAGUGGAUCCCAUCACAAUACUCGUCUCACAAAAACUCGUCGCCAUUAAAGGGUCUUACAAUUGUGUGAUUGCACAAUUCAUAGCUUACAACUCGAUACAUACAAUAUCUCAAUAAACAUGUAUCUUGCAAUUCAUCACAUAUUCAAUUUAUCACUUACACAAUAUUUCAAUCACAAAUUCACGAUCCUAAUAUAACAAUUUAUCACACUAAUCUAGUAAAUCUUGUUCAAAACACAAACAAAUUAUACAAAAAUGUUUCUCGCAACAUGGGAGAAAAACCCCUCGAACAAUUUCACAUACUCAUAUAAAAAUAAAAGGAAUCAAAAUCAUAGGUCAAAAACAUAAAAACACCAACAACACUCAAUUUUAUCAACCAAUUCACAUCAGGGCAUCAAUUGGUCCAUCAAACAAAAUAAUAUCAUAAUUAUAAUUGUAAAGGAAGAUAUACAAUACAGUAAACAUCCCAAAAUAAACUCUAAUUUGAUCCUCUAAGAUCCCUACACAUGUUCAUUCUAACCCAAUUGCGAUAAACCCAUCAUUUACCUCUAAGCGGGCUCACUGCAUAGUCCGACAGUGAUAACAGGGUCUCUAGUGAUUCUGUAAGAUUCCUGAAGCUUUUCUUUUGGUUUCUCUGCUAGGUUUUCCAAGCAUUAGAGAGAAGGAAAAGGGAUUGGAGUCUCAAUUUCACUGUCUCUGUGAGAGCGGUAUGUCUCUCUAAAAACAUUAUAUCCCAAAUACCAACGGUGGAAAUGUGUGGAAAUGAGUUUCGGAGGGGGUGUCCAAAUUUCUUAAUGAUCCAACGGUUAAAGAGUCUGAGAUCAUAGUUUUACUGAGACAUGUUUGAGUGUAUACGAGAAAAAGAAAGAGUUUUGAGAGAGGAAGAAGGGAAAACGAAUUUGAGAGGAAGAAAGAGCGUAAGGACAUAUCAUAAAUGUAAAAACUGACCUAAUAUAUCUCUAUGUAUAAUUAGGGUACUUUCAGCCUAUUAUUUACUCUAUUUUUCUUUAUUUUAUUAUUUUAUAAAAAUGAACUUUAUUUUACUUUCAUUGAAUAAAAUAACCAGUUAAAACAUUCCUUUAUUUUCUAAAACAUCAUUUAACUCUAUUUAUUUUCUAAUACUAUGAAACUCUUAUUUUAAUUAACAAAAACCCUUUUUCUCUCAUUUAUUUAAUUUCUAAAAACUCUAUUAAUUUUUAAAUAAAUUUCUUUUUAUUUAUUUGACAAAAAAAUGGGGUGUUACACCUAAUAUCAUAUUUAUGCCUAUUUGGUACUUAUGAAAACGACAUCAAAUGGAUCAUGGAAAGAACCUUGACCUCAUUGAUGAGGAAAAGGACAUAUUAGAGUUGUCAGAACAGGAGGAAACAAGUCAACUGGAUAAAAAGGAUGUGGAAGGCUAUUAGCUCGUUGGCAAAUUCUUGAAGCAUGGAUCGAUGAACGUAAGGGUUUUCAAAGCCACAAUGGCCCAAGCAUGGAAAAUGAAGGGAGGACUAGAGGUGAGAGUUGUGGAGAAGAAUCUUUUCACCUAUUGUUUUUCCAGAAGAAAGCAGAGACAUGGUUAUGAGGCUGGCUACAUGGAAUUUUGAUAGGAAGCUAGUGGUUCUAAGUGAUCUUGAUCAAGACAAAAGCCCUAGCAUGGUUUAUCUAAAUUGUUGCCCAUUCUGGGUAAGGAUUUAUGAUUUGCCCCUUAACCUGAGGGUCAAAAGAGUGGCUCAAACAAUUGCAAACACCAUACCCCAAUUUAUGGAGUGGAAUAAGAAUGAGCAGAAUCGGUUGGGUCGCUUUGUAAGAGUGUGAAACCUCAUGGAUGUUAUAAAAUCUCUACGGAGGGGAACACAAUUGAAACAAUGGACGUUGCUACGCAACCUCACCGAGAGACAUAAAUUCCUUAGCUGAAAUUGAUGUGGGCUUGGGAGCCCAUGAGCAAUUUGAUCUUUGUGGAGACUUCUUUCUGAUGAAGGUCUUGACUUGGUGUUCUUUAUGGAAACCAAGAAAAAGGUUACUGAACUGAAUGGUUUGAGAUAAGGGGUUAAAAAUAUGAUAAGGGGGGUUGGUUUUGUUGUGGGGUGACUACAUUGAGGUUGAUAUCAUCUUUUCUCCCAAAACCAUAUUGACGUGUGAAUUUUUGUCCAUUCUCAACAAAAAAAAAAAGAUUCCAAUUCUCAAGUGUGUAUGGCUUUCCUGAGGGGUCUCACAAACACUUCACCUAAAAUUUUAUCUGAGAUUUACAACAUGAGAAUGAAUCCCCUGGGUUAUGUCUAGGGGAUUUUAACAAAGUUCAAAGCCCAAAUGAAAAGAUUGGGGAAAUCCAGUGUGUAUGAGUCAGGUAAAAAAUUUCAAUGACACUCUUAAUGAUGUUAGCCUAAGUGACUUGGGGUAUUUGAGCUAUAAAUUUAUUUGGACAAAUAGAUGGAAAAAAGCCCAACAACAUACAAGAAUGCUUAGAUAGAGUAGUUGAUGAUGCUUAGUGGAGGAGUUGGAGGAAAGAAAUGUUAGGUGUACCAUCUGUCUAGAUUCGAGUCGGACCAUUGCUUGAUCUUUGUUUAAUUCUUGGUGCAAAAAAGGAGGAGGAAAAGAAGGGCAAACAUCUAUCAUUUUGAGCAAAUAUGGUUAAAGGAUAUGAUUUAUGGUAUCUUAGAAAUAGAGGCAAAGCAAAAUGAUCUCCUCCUCAAAGAAGAGUUUUACUGGUCCAAAAGGUCCAGAGCAACAUGGUUGGUCCAAAAGAAACAAAACCAAUACCAUUGAGAAGGUUAAGGAUGGCAAUGGUGACUUCAAAGAUGAUGAGAAAAGAAUUGCAGGUAUUCUAAAUAAUUAUUUCUCCACUAUAUUUUCUUUAUUAGUAACAACUGGGUGCAUGAGGUAUCCUACAUGGUUGGAAUACGAUUAUAUGAUUAAAUGAUAAAUAUUUUAAAUGGAAAGUUUAGUGGGGAGGAAGUGGAGUAAGCAUUCUUUCAAAUGCACCCAACAAAUGCUCUAGGCCUUGAUGGCACCCCUACAUUAUUCUAUCAACAAUUUUGGGACCUUGUUGGUCUAGAUGUCAAGAGGUUGGUGUUAAAUAACUUUAAUGAUGAAGGAGACCCAACCACAAUAAACAAAACAUUGAUUGCACUCAUCCAAAAAGUUAAAAGACCCACAAAUGCAAUUAGAUUUAGACUAAUUAGUCUUUGUAUUAAUGUCAUCUUCAAAAUUGUUAAAGACUAUGGCUAACAGUUGAUGAUGGUUCUUCCUUCCAUGCUCUUAUUGCUUUUGAAUGCUUCCACUAUACGAAGAAUAAGAGAAGUGGAGAUGGAUUUAUUUGAUCAAGGCCAUUUGCAUGGUCUAAAGAUAUGUAUUUCUGCUCCUAUUAUUUCACACUUGUUCUUUGCAAAUGACAACAUUAUUUUUACAAGGCAACACUAGAGGAGGCAAUGUGUCUAGUAAGUAUUCUAAAGACUUAUGAGGGUGCUUCUAGACAGAAAAUUAACCUAGAUAAAUUAGAGCUCUCGUGUAGUUGAAAUGCACCUAGUACUAGAAUUGAUGAACUAACAAUGCUUCUUGGAGAAAAGGCGGUGGAGACCUAUGUGAAAUAUUUGGGUCUUCCUACGUUGAUAGCAAAAUCCGAAACCUAAGUUUUCAAAUUUGUCCGAGAUUGGGUCUGGAAAAAACUCAAAGGUUGGAAGGAGAAGGUUUUGUCAAAGGCGGGGAGAAAAGUGUUGAUAAAAUCUAUGGUUCAAUCUAUACAACCUAUGCCAUGGGUUAUUUCUUCUUGCCACUUUCCACUUGUAGAAAGAUAGAAAGUCUCACAACCCAUUUCUAUCGAGGGAGGGGAUGUUGAUGGGAAGAAGAUCCAUUGGAUGAGCUGGAAAAAUUGACUAGAAAUAGGAACCAUGGAGGGCUUAGAUUCAGAUUUGUUAAAUCCUUCAAUCUAGCCUUACUAGCGAAACAAUAGUGGAUACUCAUUUUCCACCCAGACUCCUUAGUGGACUUUUUUUUUACCAAACAAAGUGAUUUUGUAAAAUUAUAUAGCAAAUUUGGUAUUUUCAAAAACUAUUUAUCAAAUAUGAGUAAUUUUGACUUUUGACAUCAGUUAUAAUUAAUCACCUAUUUCUGGUAAAUAGUUUUCAAAAUCACCUAGUUUGGUAUAUAGUUUUACAAGAGCUAGUUUGUUAAAAAAAAAAGUCUUCCUUAAUAUGGCUAGGGUUUAUAAGGCAUGUUACUUUCCUUCCAAGUGCAUCCUUGAGGCCACGAAAGGUUCUGAUAGUAGCUAUAUGUGGAGUAGCUUACAAAAAGCAAAGGGGAUAAUUGAAUAUAAGGUUGCAUCUGGAGUUUUCGAGAUGGUUUGAUGACCUCAAUAAAAAAUGACACAUGGAUGCCGUGUGUGCCCGGAGGAAAGAUUCCACUUUUUGAAUAUGUGGAUAUUCCUGAUGAAAUGAAAGUUUCGGAGUUCAUUAAUGUUGAGUCGGAUUGCUAGAAUACUUAAACUUUAAAAUUAACAAAAUUAAGACUAUAAUAUUAUUAUUUACUUUUUAAUAUCGACAUUGUUUAACAAUUGUCUAAAAAUUUUACCUAAUUUUUUAUAAUAUAAAGUAGGAAACUUUUGACGUGCUUUUUUCCUCUUGAAAUAAGGGUAUUUUCAACAAUUUUUUUAUAGUUAUUUCAUUAUUUCAUUUAUUUUUUUUGGUGAAUCUUUUAUAUAAUACAAAAUAAGAAAGUUUUGGUGCACUUUUUUCCACCCAAAAUAAGAAUAUUUUUGACAAUUUUUUUGGUUACUUAUUUUUUAGUUAUAUUUUUGGUGGAUGAAUAAAACUGAAACAUUUAAUAGAAAAUGAGUUUUAAAUGCAUAUUUAUUUAUUAGGUAUUGAAAGAAAGAUAAUAGGUUCUAAAUGAGUUUUAAAGCGUAUUAAUAAGUAUUUAAAUUCAUUCAUUGGUUUAUUAUAUUUAUAGAGAUUUAUAAUAUCUAUGAAAAUAACGGCUAGGUGCAUUGGGUCCAUGUUUUGUUAGAGGCUAAACAUGCUUUAGUUAAGUAUCUCUUUGGAACUUCAAAAUUUUACAUGUCUUUGAUGUUGUUCUUGAUUGUAUUUAUCACGUCAUAAGGGUGAAUUUAACUUCUUCAAAAGCUUUUAGACUUUAAUAAUAUUUUCAUUAAUGAAAAAACUAUUAUAUUUUUUUAAAUUGGAAUUUAAAAAUAAGAAUAUCAUAUAUUUUAAAAAUAUUAUUUAAAAUUAAUAAGAAAGUUUUGACACACUUUUUUUCACCUAAAAUAGGUAUACUUUAGACAAUUUUUUUGGUUAUUUCAUUUUUCUUUUAUUUUUUGAUAAAUAAAAAGAGAGACAUUUAAUAGAAAAUGAGUUUUAAAUGGAUGUUUAUUUAUUAGGUAUUGAAAGAAAGAUAAUAGAUAUUAUUGAUGUCAUUAAUGAAUAUUUAAUUUGAAUUCAUCCAUCAAAAUAAUAUGAAGUGCAUUGGAUUCAUGUUUUGCGGGAGUCUAAACAAGUUGUUGAUGUUUUAACUAAGUAUGAGCUGGAUCUUUAGAAUGCUAAGCAAGUCUUUCAUGUUGUUCUUUUACUGUAUUUAUCAUGUCAUAAGGGUGAAUUUAGGUUGCAUUAGUUUUUUUAUAGGCUUAUAACCUUUAAUAAUAUCUAUCAUUAAAAAAAUAUCAUGUUUAUAAAUUUGCAUUUGAAAAUUAAUAAUAUCAAAUUUAAAAGAUAAAAAAGAACUAAAGGUAUUAAUCUGUCAUUAUAGAAUCAUUUAUCAAUUGUAAUUAUAUAUUACCCUAGCUUGAUGGAAGAGAGCUAUGAAGGAAAAUGAAAAUAGUGGUAGCUUGAUCACCCAUUUACAUUACCCUUAUGUUUUAUUGUCAUUGGAGAAUACUUUAAAAAUUAAUAUUUGAGAAUAAUGUCUAUUGAAUGUCUCAUAUAGGAAUAGAGUGAUGUUUAUUAGUGUCCUGUAAUUCUUUUUCUUAAACAAAUCAUUUUGCUUAACUUGCUAAGUAGCUUUAAAUGAUUUAGCUUUUUCCACUUGAAGAAUUAUUCAAGAUUAGAAGAUUUAAGAGGAUUGAAAUAAUACUAAGAUUCUAGCUCAUUGAAUGGAGAAAAAUAAUUUUUGUUGCCAAGAUGUUGCCAAGUAUCACCAAAAAAACCCAACUAGCUUGUUUUUAUUGUUGUUUCCAAACCCUGCACAUCAACUGCUUAUGUUUUUGUCCUUAUGAACUAUGUUUUGUUUAGCCAUCUAAAUUUAGAAAUGAACUUUCUUUUUUGCAACCUUUUCUUAAUAACAAAAGCACCCUUGCCUAGUUGUUAAAUUUACACAAAAGUCUAGUACAAACAAAUCGUUGAGGAUACGAUCUUUGUACUUUGAAAAUACUACAUAGAUUGGUAUGCUUAUCGAUGAUGUAACAAAGCCCCACCCCCAUGGUGGCUCCUCUCCUUGUGCCGCCUACAUCAAGCCCUCCCUUGCCUCUGGAAGCCACCACCACCUUGUCAUGUGCAAAGGCUACGAGUACGACUUCCACCCAGCCACCACCAAUUAAUUAAUGAUAUUUGAUUAUAGAAGUCAUUUUAAAAAUAUUUGCAAAAUAUAUACAUUAAAAUUUAAAUACGGUUAUAAUUUAUCCAAUAUAAAAAUUUUGGGCAUCACACAGGUACAAGAACUAGAACAAUAAUAAAAGUCAGUAGUUGACAACAUCAAUCCACUAAUUUAAGAUGAGAGAGAUGAUACCUACAAAUAUACUUUUAAAAAUUGAAUUUAUAUUUAUAAAAUUAAGAAAAAAAGACAUGCAUAUUUAAUUGGGUUAAAAAGUAAAGAGAAAAAAGAUAUUUCAUUAGGACAUACUAUUGGGUGGAUUUUACAAUAAACCCACUCAACAAAUUGUUCACCAGUAAACUAAUAAUUACAACCAUUAAAUAUAUUUUAAAAAAAAUAAAUUAUUCAAAUUCAGAAUUAUAGUUAAUUUAUCUAGUUAGUUAAAUUUAAUUAUUCUUAUAAUCCAAUUAGAACACCACCAUUUCUCUGAAGAGAAGACCACACCACCGUGAACACUAUCAUACUCUCACUUACUGAAAUCAAAACAAAACACCACUAUCUUCUUUGUCUCAACAAAAAUCAAAACCAAACAAAAUUUGAUUUAGGAAUUUCUUGUUUAUUCAACAAGCACAAUCAAAAUCAAAAUCAAAUCAUCAGCAAAUACAAUCUUAUAAUCAAAAUCAAAUCAUCUACAUAUGUUGUGGGGUGUGUGUGGGGUGAUGUGAGGUAUUUACGGUAUGGUUUGGCUUCAUUUUUGAUUGAAAAGUCAUUUGAGUCAAACAUAAAAAUUUAAUGUUUUCAGUUUGGUUUGGUUUGAAUAUAAUAUCAAAUUCAAAUCAAAUCAAACCAAUCUUUUGUUGUCUGAUUUGGAUUGAUUUUUGUGAUUUUUAAUAUUUUUAAUUUUAUCUUUAUAUGACCUUUAAAAAUAUUUAAUUUAACUAACAAAAAAAAAUUGACACUAAAACUAUCAAACAUUCAAAACCUUAUUUAGACACUAUAGCCCAAUAGUAGCUAAUAGCUUGGUAUACAUUUAAAAAUUUGAUGUAUUUUGACUUCUUGUAGAUAAAUUAUAUGAAGUAUAAACUAAUGCUCUAGUCAAAACAGUAGUUAAGCUCAAAUUACACUUAAAAAUAUUUGUUUUUAUUUUUUAAGUGAUUUUUAGUUUUUAUUUUAGAUCGGAUUGGAUUUGAGCACCCUUAAAAAUGACAUUACUUUACAAAAAAAUGGCGACAAAACGUCACUUUUUAGAAACACAUCAACACUUGGUUAUGCAUUUAAAGGAUUGGUAAAAUGCACAAAAAUUAGGAAAAACAUAAUAGUAUAAUUUGUGGGAAAAAAACUUGAGUUAUAAAAUUCCCAAAAUAAUAAUAGCUAAGUGGUAAAAUGUACACUCAAGCCAUAAAAAUAUAAUAUAAAACUUACCUAGAAAAGUGAUACAAAGAUGUAAAAAUGAUUAAUCCUUUAAUUUAUUCAAAUAAAGAACUUUAUUUCAAAACCAACAUAUUAUGGGAAGAUAUCAGUUGGAGUUGCUACUUUCCUCCUUUCCUUAUUAAUGCAUAUCUCUGGGUGCUUUUGCAUGACCAGGUGGUGCUCAACUCUAGGUCCAUUGUGCCAAAUGUCACCCAACAGGUCCUUGUUAUUACUUGUUCAAGUGCCUUUCUAAGUGCCCUUGUCAGGACCGGGUACUACACAUGCCCCUAAGCUCUAAGGCAUGUGAUAACGACUGUUGAAUCGCUUCAAAACAAAUAAAACUAAGAAAUUUUGUAAUACAUGAGUAACCUAGGCCAACUCAGAAAUACGAUUCAAUUUGGUUUCUACUUCAAUUCACUAAUAAAGAGUAGGGAGAAUUUCAACAAAUAGUUUGAAGGCAAGGUAAAGGAUUGCGAAAACUCAAAAACAAAAUUGUAGAAACAAAACAAAUUUUUUGGAAACAAAAUAACAUAAUAUGAAUCAAGUUUAAUAGCAUCAAUCUAAUUCACCAAACCAAUGCAAAUCGAAUCAUCAUAGUUUUGCAGAGAAUGAUCAUGUUGUGAAAGUUCAAUCAAUGUCAUUAGAGUUAGUUCAAUCAAAUUAAUUUCUAAAUUCAUUGAGAUCGCAAAUUAGGGUGGAGUAUCAUCCAAACAAUUUUUUAUUAAAUUUCAAAAUUAGGAAAUGAAUACAUUACCUAAUUCGUUUUCAAUCCUAAUCAUAUUCAUAAUCAUGAAAAUUUAAAAUAGGAUUGAAGAAACAUAUGAACAUUCACACAAAAUAGAAGUACUAAACCAGAAUUCAAAUUUAGCCUUGCUUGGAGUGGAUCCUAGGAUUGAUUGAGUGUUUUACCUUUCAUGAUCAUCGCCAAUGGAAGAUUCAUGAAAUUUUUGCAAGAAAAAGGAAGAAUAAAAGUGAAAAGAGGAAGAAGAAUGAACAACAAUUGAGAGAAAGAGAUAAAAGAGUUUGAUCUUAAAGCUUGCACAACAAGUAACUAAAUUUGUUUUUGUACAAAAUGAAGUAACUAACUCACUAACUAAAUAAAUUCUACUAAUAUAUAUAGUUACUACUCAGAAGGAAGGGAUGGGUUUUGAUUAGGCUCAUCUAAUCUACCUAAUUAAACUAAUUACACAAAGCACAGUCCAAAUUCGCAACCUAAUUAUUCAAGUGUAGAGGUUCUGACUUCCAAACUUAAUUUGACCCUCGAAAUAGUAGAAUUGGCCCAAGCUUAUUUCUGACAAAAUUGAAUCUCUCUUUCUUAGCUUUCUAGGGACUACUCACAUGCUCCAUUUGGAGUUAUGUAGUGCCUGAUAGACCUUGCACAAGAUAGAUAGGUCAAGUAAGUAAAAAAAAUCCAAAAAUAAGCCACAAUUAUCAAUUAAGCUCAAUCAUUUGCCUAAGACCAAAACUGAGUUAAGAUAGGAAAAUAGGAGUCAAAGAGAGAGGUAAUGUCAUAUGAGUAGAAGUAUUUGGUCCUAGGUCCUUUAAGCUAAGUGCUAUCGGUAGGUCUUGAUUUUGAACUUUUGGAAGUUGCAUUUCUCUAAUAUACCCUUUUUGCAUUCAAAAUCAAUUUUGAUUGAAAGUAUUAAACAAAAUUGAUGAAAAAUCACUUUAAUUGUAGUUACUCCAAGGCUGGAAAGAGUUACCUACAUACGGACUAACCCUUAAAGCUAAGUUAAGCAUUGUAGAGUGAAACAACCAAGAUGUGGCUCUUAAGCAGUUGUGAUCUUGCAUUGACUAGCGAUGCGGCCUAAGUUGUGGUUAUAAAGCUUAGACAAUCUUCAUCUUACAAGAGACUUUAUGGUGUUGAAUUAGGUUAAAAAGCCCAAAUUCUAAAAAUAAUUUCCAUAAAAAUCAUGUUUUCGAUAUCGGAUAUUGUAAAAAAAAAAAAGUUAAAACUAUUGUGCAUUUUGUUCUCUUCUGAACAUACAUAAACAACAUUCUUCCAAUUUAAAAAUAAGAUGUUGUCACGUGAUAUGUGAGGAAGGAAAUAUUACAAUUAGUUGAAACAACUGUGCAUUUUGUUCUUUUCUGAAUACACUUAAACGCCAUGAUUUUAAAUUGUGAUCACGGUUGUGGUUGCAAUUGUGGUGUGUCAGAAAAUCUUUACCCUCAAGGCCUAGACUUUGAUGAAUCCGUUAGGACCUCACCUUUGUUAUUCAGGUCCAAACCCUAAAACAAUUUUUGCAUGCAAACACUGCUCAUGAAUUAUACAAUACCCAUGACCUCACGCUUGUUCUCAAACACGUUUCACAUAUUGUGCUACAAUUUAACACUUCGAGUUCCUAACUUGGAACCCUACACUUUCCUUUUAACACUUUGUGCAUAAACAUUUUUCUCAAAGUAAACACCAAUCAGGUUAUUGUAUAAUUCACAACUCACAACACAAGUAUUGUCACAUCAAGUAUUAAUCACACACUUAUUCAUGACCAUAUCUCAUGUCCACAAUUUAACAUCUCACAAUGUCACAAUCCACCAUCACAUGUUUAUGUGUAUCUCACAAAUUAAUGCAUGUUUAACUUUGCACUUAUACUCAAUCUCAAUAACAAUGUUAUAAUCUCAAAUCAACAUGUUAUCUCACAAUUCAUCAUAUAUUCAAUUUAUCACUUAUACACAAUUUCAAUCACAAUUUCAUAAUCUCAAUAUAAUAAUUUAUCACGCUAAUCUAGUAAAUCUUGUCCAAAAUACAAACAAAUUAUACAAAAAUACUUUUCCCAACAUGGGGAGUAAAACCCCUCAAACAAUUUCACAUAACCAUAUCAAAAUCAAAGUAAUCAAAAUCAUAAGUCAAAAACACAAAAACACCAAGAGCACUCAAUUUUAUCAAUCACUUCCCAUCAGGACAUCAAUUGGUGUGUCAAACACAACAAUAUCGUAAUUAUAAUUGUAAAGGAAGAAUUAUAAUUCAAUAAACAUCCCAAAAUAAACCAUAAUUUAAUCCUCUAAAGAUCCAUACACAUGUUUAUUCUAAUCUCAAUUGCGAUAAACACAUCUCUUACCUCUAAGUGGGCUCACGUGUGUAGCCUGGCAGUGAUAGUCUAGUAGUUUCCUAAUUGCCAUAAACUCAUCACUUACACAAAUUUUGUCCGAGACAUUUGUACAAAAAUUAAAAAAAAUGGUGGUGAUGCAUGUUAAAAUACUAAAUGAGUUAACAUAUUGAAUGAAUAGUAUCACGCUAAAAUUUUAGAAGCAUUGAAAUGAGAAGGAAAAAUAUUUUGGGGUGGCCAAUUUCAUAUUUCAAAUAUUUUAGAAGGAUAAAAAAUAUAUUUUAUCCAAUAAUUAAGUUAUAUAUUUUUUAUUUAAUAAAAUAUUUUUUUAAUUUGUUAGAUAACUCUAGAAUUAGAUUUCUUCAAAAAAAAAACUUUAGAAUCAAAAGAUUUAAUGCAUAUAUGCAUAUAACACAAAUAUACCUUACCAAUGAAUAAGAAAAUUGAGCAUUGAUUUGGCCAAAUAAAAAGUAAUACAGAUUUGUUUUAACUGAAUUAGAUAUAAUAAACAACAAAAUUUAAAAAAGAAAUUUUUAUUCCAAAAAUAAGUCAAGCAUUAUCCAAAAUACUUGCAAGGGAAAAUUAAAUAUGAGAAAUAAUCAGUAAGAUUCUAUAUACAAUUAACAACAUGUAAUAAAUUAAUUUUUUUAGCUUUGGACAAAUGAUCUAUUUAAUUUUUUAUCUUCAUUUUUUGGUUUAUUUUGAUCUUAUCUUUUAGAAAUUUUAUUAUGAUCUUUUAUGUUCUGAAAAAGAAUCAAAAUGGUCCUUUCGUCAAUGCAAAGAUAACGUCGUUAAUGAAGUAAAGAUAUUAAUGGCUAAAAAUUAUCACAAAAUAUAAUUUCUUAUUUUCUUUAGCUUUCUCCUUCCCUUAUUCCCUUGAACCAAAAAAAUAAAAUAAAGAAUCAAAUAGGCCAUUUGAUCUUUUGUUUAAUAUACCUAAACAUGAAUCCAUUAAUUAAAUGAUUUGCAUAUCUGUUUGUCAAAUUUUGAACUUGCAUAAUAUUUUUUAAAUUAAAAAUAAAAACAAUAAGUGUUCCAAAAAUUUGUACUCAAUUUUUUUUAAUAUUUUCAUUGAACAUAAAAUAAAAGACAUAAAGAUUUUUUUCAAUGACUUACAUCAUUUAUCAAAAAAUGUUACCAUCUUCGCUCUAUCCAUUCUUUUAAGUAACCCCCUAUAAGAUAAAGAAAUUUAUCAUAAGCCUUUUUGCAUUUUAUUAUAAGCAUUAUAUAAUAGAUUGGAAAGAAAAUUCAUAAACAGAAUGAAAACCUAUAAUUAUUCUCAAUAUAAAGUAUAUUAGACAAGAUAAAUUUAAGUAUUGAAUUACCUUUCCUUAUAUAUUGUGAUAUACUUGUCUAUCAACCAUAUUAGAAGUAAUAUGAUCGAGUAUCUUGAUCUUCACCAUCUUUUACCAAAAUAUUUAACCCUUUUUUUAUGUAACUCUUGAUAUAGUAACAUAUAAUUGUCCAUGAAAAAAAUUGAGGCAAAAAUAAUCCAACAUGUUUUAAAGAUUGUUCUUGAAUCUUGUUGAUAGUCCUUGCAAAAGAAGUAGCCAAAUGAAAUUGCCUCGGUUGGAACUUGAAAAGGAUCCUUGCAUUAGAAGGAGUUAAUGAAAGUCUUGGAAUAAACACUUUGAGACCAAUGUUGCUUCCAAAUUUAACAUUUCCUUCUAGAACAUAUUCCCCAUUCGUGUGACAAUUAUUAGUCUAGUACCAUUACAUAAUCCUAAUGAUUGAUCAAUGUCAUUUGGAAGACCCGAAGCACUAAUAAUGUUUAAGAACUUUGGAGUAUGCACAUCAUCUGGCCUAUUAAUCUCUUCAUUUUCUGAUGAAGGAGUAUCUAAACUUAGAUUUUUCUUUCCUCCCCAAACAUCAAUGACAACAUGUAACAAUUUCAUUUUUUUGCUAAAACAACCUUGACUCUAAAAAAGGAUGAAUCAUGAAUAUUUUCUAAGAAAGAUGGAUAUAUAAGUAUUACUAACAAUGGAUUCAAGAGAGUUGGUGUCACUUCUAAGCAAAUCAUGGUAUGUGUGGUUUCCUAUAUUAUAUGUUUAAAAGGGACCAGUUUGGGGAUUGUAUUUUGUAUGUUUCUUCCUAAUACUGGUACCAAACAUAGUAAUUCAAAUUAAUUUUAGUGCACCCCUAAAUACCAUUUGGACAUUUACUUAAGUAGAAGAAGCUACCUAAGGAACAUAAUUUUUUUAAAAUUAGUUUAUUUUCUAUAGAUGAUAGUGGUAAAUAUUAUCAUGAGUUGUUUGAUGAUUGUCCAAAUGGAAAUCAAAAAGCUAUCUAGGAUGGAGGUGUUGGAAUUGUGUAAUUUUGUCACAUUGCAUUUUGGCAUAAUUACCAAUAGGUCUAUAGAUCUGAUAAUAACUUUUUUACUCAUUACUUGGUCAUUUUAGGUUCUCAAACACUUGGUUAGAUUCAUUGUUUUGGUUAAACUAAAAGAUAUUACUUUCAUUCUAAAAUGUUUGCUUUUUUGUCAUUUUAGGGACAUGUUUGACUGAAAUCUCCUAUCACUAGUGCAAAAUACACAUUUUAUAACAACUUUUUAAAUAAAAAUUGUUUUAAAAAAUAAUACGGUGGUACUUUCAUAAUUAAAAACAGUUUUUAGAUUGGUUAUAAGAGAACAGAUAUAAACCUAGAUUUUAAAUCGGUUAAAAAUGAAACCGAUAUGAAAGGUUAUCUUUUUAAACCAAUUCAAUUUAUAACUAAUGUAAUUAAAGGGUGUUUUUAGAUUAGUUAAUAAAGUAACUGAUGCUAUAAGACAAAAUUGAUUUUAAAAAGGAUGUUUUUAAAAUAAUCUAGGCAUUAAUUUCAUAUUAUUUUUUAGAUUAGUUAUAUAGGGAUCUAUCUUAAAAACUAAUCUAAUUUAAAAGAUAGUUACCAUUGAAGACCGGUUGAAAUCUAAUGUUAAAUGUCAAAGUUUUUAUAUUUCCUGCAUAGGCAUCGGUCGUACAACCAAUAUAAAAAGUCAUUUUUUAACCUAUGUAAAAAAGUGUUUCUUGUAAUAGUGUACCCUUUUUGUGCUCCUAUCAUGUAUAGAGAUUUUAAUAUCACUUACACGCAAUGAUGAAUCCAGAAAUUAAGUCGUGGGGGCAAUACACAUACAAAAUUUUGUUGCAUUAAAAAUAUUACAUGUUUUAUUUUUAAAAGUAUAAAUAUUCAUCGUAAUUGUUCUUUAUGAGUUUUUGUAUUCCAAAAAUAAUUGAUAAUUUUCUCAUUUUUCAUAUCAAAAUUUUUAUGAUAGUCAAGAUCUAUCAGUUGAUGAAGAAAAAAACCAUAAUAUAGCAUACUAACUACAACAAUAUACAUAUUUUGCACAAUUAGUUUUCAAAUUUGAGUGCAAUAAGCUUUUAGAUGGACAAAUAUCCUUAGAAUAUGAGUCUUAGACAACAAGGGAAAUUAGGAUUAAAAAAAUAUGUUGUUUGAUGAUAAAUAAGUAAAUGUUUAUGAAAGCGUUAGAAUGAUUAUCCUUUAAUUUAUACAUUUUGCACAAUUAGUUUUCAAAUUUGAGUGCAAUAAGCUUUUAGAUGUACAAAUAUCCUUAGAAUAUGAGUCUUAGACAACAAGGGAAAUUAGGAUUAAAAAAAUAUGUUGUUUGAUGAUAAAUAAGUAAAUGUUUAUGAAAGCGUUAGAAUGAUUAUCCUUUAAUUUAUACAUUUUUGCACAUUUGCUAGAUAAUAAAUAACUAAAUAAAUAAAAAUGUUUUUUUAAGAAAAAUAAAUAAAAAUAUUAAAUAUUGAAAAGUGGGAAUAAAAAUAAAAAAGAGAAUCCAAAUAUUUAUUGUUUACACAUUUUUAAUUUAUAUUAAGAUUGAAAUUAUAAUUAUAAAAUCAUAAUAUUAUAGGGGGGCAAAAUAGUACUAUAUAUUCCGUCCUUGCUUUCAUGUUGAUGAUUUCUCUCAAGCCAGCAACACUUACAUUGGAAAGUUGAGGUUAGUCUGAUCUUUCUGCUCUUGUUUCUUUAAAUAUUUGAACUAUUGGCUUGAUUUGUAAACAUUAAGUGCUUAUAAUGGCAAUUGAUUUAUUACUUGCUGCAAUAAUAUAACCGGAAUUUGUAUAUUUUUACUGCAUUGUGUUUGUAAAAUUUAAUUUACAUCAAAUUGUGAUUGUCUUUUUGUUGCAUUAUUACUUGAUCUGCUUCUUGUCCUUGUCAUUAGUGUGCAUAUUUCCUCUCUUGCAAGGUACCAUAUAUAGUGAUGUAUUGUGUUUAAAAAAACAGCUUAUGUUCCGCUGCAUAAUUUUAUGGUUUGCACCUUUAUUUGUUCUUUAUAUCAUGAAUUUAACAUGCUACAGCCUUGAUAGGGUGUGGUCCAACUUCAUGUAUUGAUUGUUAGAUGUAGUAGUCAAUACUAGAAAAUAGACUUUUAACAUCGAUUAUUUUUUACUUUCAACAUCGGUUUUUAUCUAAUGUUGAAACCAUCGACGUUAACAUUAUCCAUGUUAAUAUCAGUUUUCAAAAAAUCAAUGUUAACAUACACUACACAACAUCGAUGUUCACAAAAACUGAUGUCGUAUAAUAAGAAAUAUACAAAAACAGCAAAAACAACAUCGGUUUUGGUCAAAACCAAUGUUGUAAGAUGAAUAAAAACAUCGGUUUUGAAAAAAAACCGAUGUAGAAAUUAUUUUUACAACAUCGAUUUUGCUCAAAACUGAUGUUGAAUAUGCUUACGACAUUGGUUUUGGUCAAAACCGAUGUUGUAAGAGCACUUUCUACAUUGAUUUUAGACCAAUAGAUGUUGUUUUUUUUUUUUUGCAAAUUUUUAUAAUAUUUUGUUUGUUUUUACAAUGAACCAACCAUAACCAAUUUAUAAAAAAUAUAUUAAUUAUAAAUUAAAAUAUUUAAAAAUAUUAUUUUCAUUACAAUGUUACAUUACUUACAAUUUCAUAAUAUUAAUCUAGAUUUAUAAAAUUUAUUUUAAGAAAGCAAGAUAAUUUCUCUAAAGGUCAAUUGUCUCCAAGAAAAAUAAGACUGAUAUGAUAUCCUAAAUGUCUAGCUGCAAAGCUCUUAUAAAAUCCACAGAAGAGAUGAUAUGAAUAUGUAUAUAAAAGCUAAUAGAAUAAAUAUAAAUGUAUAAAUAUGUAUUACAUAGGAAGGAUGAUACCAAUUAAUUAAUAAAUAAAAAUAACUCUUAUUCCAAAUUAAAAAUAGAUAGAAAAGGUUUAAAGAAAGAAAUUACCUCUACAAGAGCAACAAAGGAUGUCAUCAUCAUGGCAAAGGCUUCACCUGCAUCAAAUGUAAGUGCUCCCCUUCGAAAUGGAUAAGGAACUCGUAUCCUACAAACACAAAAUACAUGUUGAAUACAUUCCCAUAAGCUUCAAGUCAUAAGGCUAUGACUAAAUAGUAAAUUAAUAGUGAAUAAUAAAUUAAUAUCUCAAGGAUGCAAUAGUCUUGCAUAAAAAUGUCAAUUAUGCCCAUGCUCUAAGCUUGAUUAUCAUAGGGAGUUCAACAUCAAUAACUUGAAAUAUUAUAAAGAGACAAACAAUUAAUCAAGAUCAAUAGCACUAAUUGCACAUGUGUUAUUAGAUUUUAAGGUUGAUACUAAGGAUAUAAAAACAAAAAAAAAUCAUAAAUUAAAAAGAGAAAUACUAGCUUUUAUAUUUUUAACAUAAUAUAUGUUUUUAGUUUAAUGAACAAAUUUAAAUUAAGUUGCAUCCUUGACAUCAAAACCCCUUAAAUUUACACAAUGUUUGGACUUAGGGUGGCUCAAAAGUUGGUAGAAGCUAGUUAAUUGGACUGUGUCAUUGCGCAGACUUUGAAUUCACUUUCACAACAAUGUAAUAGUCAAGUAUCUGAGUGUAGAUAGAAUAAUCACACCUUCAAAGGACCCUUUUCACUAGCUUUCUCUAGAAAGUCUCCUCCACCAAAAUCAACCUUUUUCCUUGGUUCAAAAUCAACCAUCUCUGUUUCGUGAGUGUGCAAAAUCAAAGUCCAAAAGUGAACAAUUAUGACAUUGAAUGACUAGAUUAUUUAUUUACUUUUCUUUUCUAAGUGUUUCUUUUAAGUCCACUAUGGACAUGGAACAUUGGGGGUGGGGGUGGACUGGCUUUUACUACUACCGGGUAAGUUCCAUUUAAACACUUAAAAUAUGAAUUUAGACUUUUCAAACUGUUCAGGACAACCACCAUGUUUUUUUUGCAUAAGUCACACUUUCAUGUACUAAAACAAGUCAUUUUAACUUCAUUCGCUCCCCAAACAUUAGGGAUUUCAUGUACUAACCACCUAGCACUAAAAAGAUGCAACUGUUGGUCAAGUGGCCUCAAUAAAUUAAGAGGAGGGUGAAUUAAGUUUCAAAAUUUCUCACUAACAAACUUUUAACCUGAUGAGGACAUGACCAAGAGCAAGGGCAAGGAUCCACUUGAUGGACUUGGAGGACCUAUGACAAGGGCUAGAGCAAGGAAAGCAAAAGAAGCUCUUCAACAACUAUUGUCCAUACUAUUUGAAUACAAGCCCAAGUUUCAAGGAGAAAAGUCCAAGGUUGGGAGUUGUAUCAUGGCCCAAAUGGAGGAGGACUAAAUGACACCACUUUGUCUCAAUUUUAGAGUGUUUAGUUUGUCUAAAUAAUGGCCCAAUCCUUGUAAAGUUGGCUGACCAAAAAUAUGUUUUGGGUUAAUCAACUAAAGGGGCUUUAGUUUGGUUUAAUUCAAGUUGUAAUAAGGGCCCAAUUGGCAACUUAGGCAUCAACCUUUGGGAGACCAAAUGGUGAUUGGCUUGAUGGCUUUUAGGGUGACUUUUGGUUGCCACAAUUUCAGUUACACUCAGCCAUUAAGUUCUUUUCAUUCCCUAUGUUAAUGGAUCAUUACUAAAUCUAAGUGGAUUGUAUUUUCCUUUAAUGAAACAUAUGUAAAAUCUGAUGGUAAAGCUUCUUUAUAUGCUGAACCAUUUUAUCAAUAAAGACAAGUUAAGUUUUAUUCAGAAAAAUUAGAGUUUAUCUCUUUUAUCUUAGUGAGAGUGAUUCUCCUAAGUUCUUGAGUGAUUCAAGAACACCCUGGCUAUAUCAAAGGAAGUUCACAUCCUUUGUGUGCUGCCCUCGCCGGAAUGAGUGAUUCUUUCCUUCCACCAUUUCAUCUUCAACCUUAUUCUUUCAAACCACAAUUCUCGAAAAUCCAAUUCUGCCCAAAAUUAUCUUGUGACAUAAUUCUUGUUCUACUUGCUCAAAUUAAGUGAUUCUUGAGCCUAAAUUGAAAUUCAAAACGAGAUCUUCCACCUCGUUUGGGAAUCACCUCAUUUGGAACUCUGUAGCUUGAGUUAUAGUCAUUUCUAUAUUUCUGUCCAGCCGUCACUUCACCUACAUUUUUACCAUCUCAUUCAUCCCUUUUAUGUCAAGAUCCACCUUAUUAAGGCCUAAGAAAUUAGCCACUGCCCAACCCUUGAAUCUUGCCAAUUUCCCAUCCUUUUCUUAAUCAAUUUCCAAAUUUUCCAUCAAGGUUUAAUCCUAGACGAUCUUAAGUCAGCCCUUGUGCAAUGAAGGUUCAUAUCAUAACCCCCUUCUAAAUGAUAGGCUCAGAAUGCAAAACAAGAAGCAACAAUCAAUUUAAUAAUGUUUUUUUAAACAUGCAAGACAAAAUUUAUUGUAAUAACAUAAAUGAGAUAAGGGAAGAGUGAAAUGCAAACUCAAUUUAUAUUGGUUCGGCCACUUCCAGUGCCUAUGUUCAGUUCUCAAGCAAUCCACUUGAGAUUUUCCACUAUCUGUGUAAAUCCUUUAUAGACUUUGAACACACCUUGAGAUCCCUCACCCUUGUGUUCAAAGAUUCUCAAGGAGACAAACCGUCUCUUGAUUACAACUGACUUUCUGAGAUGAACAGAAAGAUUUCUCUCCUUUAGAGUGGAUGAUACAAAUUGAAGAUCCUAAAGGAAUUUCUCUUUUUUAGAGAUGAUAAUACAAAUUGAAGUUCCUAGAUGAACUCUCAAUAGAUUUGCAAGUGUUUGCCCAACAGUUGUUGAGAGAGCAUUUGAUAAUUAAGUUCUCUUAGAAUAUCUCUCUCUUGUUUUUCGAAGUCAAACACACAUAUAUAUUGGCCCUUCGUGCCUUUUCAAAAUGGUUUGAAGAGAUGUGUCUUUUUAAAAAGUUUUUUCUAAAAUUCUUCACUGGUAAUCGAUUACUCAGUUAUGUUUUGAAGAGUCAUGUCUUUUCAAAGUGUUUUCUGAAGUGUCAUUGCUAGAAAUCGAUUACAAACAUCUGGUAAUCGAUUACAUGAUUCAAAAUUCAAAUUCAAAAUCCUUUUUAAAAGUUUUUUUUCAAAAUUGUCUUUUGGUAAUUGAUUACACUGCCUGGUAAUCGAUUACAGCUUUUAAGUUUCAUAUUCAAACUUUUCUGAAAGCUGUUAAAACUAUUUUUGCUUUUGGUAAUCUAUUACAGCCUCUGGUAAUCGAUUACCAGAGAGAAAUACAUAUUUUUCAAAAUGUAAUAUUUACUUCAAAACUUUAUAAGAUAUUUGAAAGCUUAAGUCUUUUAAGGCCAAACCUUUGCAACCUUUUUAAGAGAUUCUUUUAACAUAUAAAGGUUUAUCGUAAAUCGUUUCUCUUGAUUUCUUGAUCUUGACUUGAAUCAAUGUUGAAUAGCUUUAAUCUUUUGGCAUCAUCAAAAUCUUCAUACAACAUAUGCACUUACAAUAUCCCUUUUUUUGAUGAUGACAACAAUCUGAAAACAAGAUAAACGAUAUACGAUUUGUAAUGCUUGCACUCACUCUUACUCCACCUUAAAUUUGCAAUUUAUUGCCUAGUUUUUAGAUAAGAUCUACCCUAGUUUCUCUCCCCCUUUGGCAACAUCAAAAAGCCAAAAAGACUGGAGUAAAUAUCAAAGCCACAAAAUCUAGAGCAAGCAUCAUAACCAAAAAACCAAUCAUCCAUUGCAAAACAAAAACUAAAUAUCCAAAGCAAAGCAUAAAUCAAAUGCUAAAUAUCUAAAGCAAAGUAUAAACCAAAUGCUAAAUAUCCAAAGCAAAACACAAAAUUAACCAAAGUGCUAAAUAACUAAAGCCAAAUACAAGGCAAAAAGAGUAAAAAUGUCUAGAAAAUUAAGAACGUAAAAUACUAGAAAUGUCUAAGAAUCCGCAGGAGGAUCAAAGCAACGUUGAAUGAAGCUCAUGUCGUCUUCAAGACAUAUGAUAUGGGAGUCCAUGGCAUCAAAGCGAUCGUCGAUAAAAGCUCAAAGAUCCCGUAGCUCAAUGAGGACGUCAUUCAAUAAGGAGGAAGAGGUAUCUCGUUGCGGUGGUGGAGAGGGUGUGUGUUCAUCGAGAAUGGGAGGUGGCAGGUCUUGCUUAUGAACCCAUUGGCCAUCCAUAUCCUUCCAGUAUCCGAAAGAAGUAACAACACCAGCACCAAUAGCAAAAGAUCUUUUAACCUUAACAAAAGGCUCAUCCUCUAAAGGAACAUUGAAAUGUUGAAGAAACAAAGUAACAAGAUGAGGAUACAGAAAAUGUGCAUUGGCCAGUAAUGCCUUAUGCAUAUGGUACCAAACAAGAUGGGCCCAGUUAAUUUGGCAACCCGUUUGAAGAGCAAUAGCAAGAUUAAAUCCUACUCAGAGGCCUGAGCAAGAUUGGUGGACCGGGGAAGCAAGACUUGACAAAGGAUAUAAUGCAUGAUGCGACACUCAAAGGUGAAUGAGCCAGCAAGCAAUCUGUCGGUCAUAUCAGCAUGGUCAUUACAGAUCAUUUUACAAGCAUCAUGACUAGAAUAAACAUGUUUUCAAUCAUCAACUAGAGUGCCCUCAAAAGGAACACCCUGACUGCUUAGUUUAGUAAGAGAAUAAAAUAGAGAUUGAUCAACAACAAUAGGUAUUUGAUGCACCUCAGAGAAAAUGACUCCAUCCUGAAUUUUCAAAUUAUUAUAAAAGACUCUAACUAAUUCAGGAUAAUACAAAAAUGGCAUAGACAUAAACUCAACUAAUUCAAAAUUUUGAAACACUUGAUAGCAACCAAAGGUUUCCCCAUCAAAGAAUUUUACAUCUAAAUACUUAGGAUCGAGAAUGACACGAUUGGAGAAUUGGGAAUAGUACCUUUGAUGCUGGUCAUUAGAAGAAAACAAAGUUAAUGACCUGUGAGAUGAAAAAGAAGGAGGAUUUGGUGCUGGUGGGUCACCGGAUGUGUCGUGGCGACAUUGGCCUACAGCGGUGGUGGUGGAGGAGGAUCCCUUUCUCUUCUUUGAGGAUUCUGCCAUUUUGAGCUUGUUUCUGAAAAUUUUGAUCAGUGGGUUUUGUAGAGAAUUGAAAAAGAAGAAAUUUGAGCUUUGUUUGAAGUGAUUUGGACAAGAAACGAGAAAGUUAUGGAGAUUUGAAGUAUUGAGAAAAAGGGGCGCCGUCAAGGAGAGUGAAAGAAAAAAGGGCUGCACAAGGAGAGAGCAAAAUGCAGUAUUUAUAGACAGGGACGAGCUGUAAUCGAUUACAGCUCAUGGUAAUCGAUUACAGGCGUAACCUGUAACUGACCAAGCCCGCUGGUAAUCGAUUACAGCCUAUUGUAAUGGAUUACAGGGAGUGGUAAUCAAUUACCAGACCCUAAAAACAUGGAUUUUUCAUAAAAAUCUAACUAUUUUUCACUCACAAAACACACAUUUAGUAUAACAAUCAUCAACAACAAUCAACAAUCAAAAUAUACAAUCAAACCAAGUAUAAAAAAUUCUCAAACACAGACAUCAAAGAUAAUCAAAAUUUCAAGAACAAUCAUCAACAACAAUCAACAAUCAUCAUAACUAUCAAAACAUAAUUAUCAAAGACAAUCAAAACUCAAGUGAAAACAAUCAUUAAACCUCAAUCAACAAUAAUCAUUAAAAACAAACACAAUCAUCAAGGGCAAUCAAAAGUUUAACAAUCACAAGAAAAGAAAAUAAUAAACAAACAAAUUAAUUAUUUAUCUAAGUCAUUGAUAUCUAGGAGUCCUAAUUCUCUUCUAAUAGCAAAUAAGGUUUCUUUGGGGAGAGGUUUUGUAAAGAUAUCACCUAACUGAUUCUUUGUGUCAACGAAUUCUAGUACACAAUUCCCUUUUUGAACAUGAUCUCUCAAGAAAUGAUGCCUAAUCUCAAUAUGCUUGGUUCUCAAGUGUAGAACAGGAUUUUUGGAUAGGUUUAUUGCACUCGUGUUAUCACAUCGAAUGAGAAUAUGAUUAAGAAUUAAUUCAUAGUUAGAAAGUUAUUGUUUCAUCCAAAGUAUUUGUGCACAACAACUGCCAGCAGAAAUAUAUUCCGCCUCAGCAGUGGAUAAAACAACACUAUUUUAUUUCUUACUAUGCCAUGAAACUAGAGCAGAGCCAAUGAAAUGACAGGUUCCACUAAUGCUCUUUCUAUUAGUUUUGCAACCGACAAAAUCAGAAUAAGAGUAUCUUAUUAGAUUACAAGUGGAACUUUUAGGAUACCAUAAUUCUAAAUUAAUAGUGCCUAAUAGAUAUCUCAUGAUUCUUUUAACUACACUAAGGUGAGAUUCUUUGGGAUUUGCUUGAAAUCGUGCACACAUACAAAUACUAAACAUUAUAUCAGGUCUACUUGCAGAUAAAUAAAGAAGAGAUCUGAUCAUACCUCUAUAUUUCUUUAUGUCUAUUGACUGAUCGGUUUCAUCUUUAUCCAGAUAGCAAGCAGUACUCAUUGGAGUAGUCAUAUGUUUAGCAUUUUCCAUCCCAAAUCCAUCAUUGACAUUCCAAAUUCAUUUUGCAUAUCUUGAGAGAAUUCCCUUUAGAUAUGUCACCGAUAAUGUUAUCAAGAGGGUGGUAUCUAGAAGUUCUCCACCCUUUUGGAAGAUAUGCACUUGAUUUUGUUUCAUCAAUUUGAAAGUCUUCAUCAUUUCCUUUUCCUUUGCCUUUGUGAUCUUCACCAUGAAUAUGCAUUCCUUCUAAAGAAUUUGAAAUAUCAUCUAGAGUAUCUUUUCUUGGCAAAAUUAGGUUAGUUUCAUCAAAAGCAACAUGGAUAGAUUCUUCAAUGAUCAUAGUUUUUUUGUUAUAAAUUCUAAAUGCUUUACUGUGCAAGGAAUAUACCUUCAUUAGAUUUUGCAUCAAACUUACCAAGUUGUCUUUGCCGUUGUUUAGCACAAAACAUUUACAUCCAAACACAUGAAGAUGAGAAAUGUUCGGUUUUCUAUCGUUGUAUAAUUCAUAUGGAGUUUUCUUUAAGAUUGGUCUAAUUAAAGCUCUAUUCAUAAUAUAGCAUGCAAUAUUUACAACUUCAGCCCAAAAAUAUUUAGGAAGGAUUGUAUCAUUAAGCAAAGUUCUGGCUAUCUUUUUUAAAAAUCUAUUUUUCCUCUAAACUACUCCAUUUUGUUGAGGGGUUCUAGGUGCAGAAAAAUUAUGUUCAAUGUCAUUUUCAUCACAAAAUGAUUCAAAAUCCUUAUUUUCAAAUUCUCCUCCAUGAUCACUCCUAAUUUUGAGAUUUUUCUUAUUUUGAAUAAUUUUAGCAAGUUUCUUGAAAGCAUGAAAAACAUCUCUUUUAUGAGUGAGAAAUAAUGUCCGUGUAAAUCUGGAGUAAUCAUCAACUAUAACAAGAGGAUAGUAGUUUCCUCCAAAACUCAUAGUUCUAGAGGGACCAAAAAGAUCCAUAUGCAAAAGUUGUAAGGGUUGAGUUGUAGAUACAAUAUUCUUUGAUUUGAAAGAAACCCUUACUUGUUUUCCUUUAUGACAAGCAUCACAUAAUCUAUCUUUUUCAAAUUUAGGUUUUUGUAAACCAAUAACUAAAUCUUUAGAAAUUAGUUUAUUUAAAUGUUUCAUGUUUAUAUGGGCAAUUCUUUUAUGCCAUAACCAAGGAUCAUCAUCUUUACUAAGAAAACAUUGAUCAUGAUUUAGUGUUCUAUCUAAAUUUAUCAUGUAAACAUUAUUUGAUCUAUAGCCUAUAUGUUUUAUAUUUCUAUCAUGUUUGUUUUCAAUAACACAAUUAUGAGAGUCAAAUAAUACUAGAUAAUCUUUAUCACAUAAUUGACUAAAACAUAGUAAAUUGUGCUUAAGACCAUUAACAAGUAGAACAUUUUCAAUGGAGGUAGAUGAAUUCGUACCUAUUUUUCCAACUCCAAGGAUUAUACCUUUAUUGUUGUCGCCAUAAGUCACAUGUCCACUAUUCUUGGGAGAAAUAUGAGUGAACUUUGAUGCAUCUCCCGUCAUGUGUUUAGAGCAUCCACUAUCUAUGUACCAACUCUUCUUCAAAGAAACCUCUUCAUCGCUUUCAUAAUUUUUGGCCAUUAGACUCAGAUUUAUAACUUCAUUUUCUGAAUCUUCGGAUGAAUGUUGUCUUCCUAAGUGAUGUAUGCCUUCUUUGCUUUCUUAUCAUUGAAGGUUUUCUUUUAAGAUCUUUCUAUUCUUUUCUUGAAACUCGGGCAAUAAUCAACUCUCAGAUGUCCUCUUUACGAAGAAACUGAAAUCAUCAUCUUCCUCUAUUUCAUUCAAAUCUUCUUUAUUACUUCCUUCUUGAAUUGAAGGUGAAGCUUUAAGUGUGAUUCCUUUCUUUUUCUUAUCAUUCUCCUCAUGUUGAUUCAGUCUCAUUAGUUCCAUUUCGUGUUCUUGAAGCUUUCCAAACAAAGUUGCAAGAGACAUGUUAGUAAGAUUUCUUGAUUCUGUAAUAGCCGUUAUCUUUGAUUGUCAUUCCCUGCUUAAACAUCUUAGAACUUUAUUAAUAAGAUCCUCAUUGGGAAAUAUCUUUCCUAAUGAUGCAAGAUGAUUUACUAUGUGUGUGAAUCUCUUUUACAUAUCUUGUAUAGUUUCAUUUUGAUUCAUUCUAAACAAUUCAUAUUGAUGGGUUAGGAUAUUUAUUCUAGACCUUUUUACAUCCGUUGUUCCUUCAUGGGUUACUUGUAAGGUAUCCCACAUUUCUUUUGCAUUCUUGCAAUUUGAUACUCUAAAAUAUUCAUCCAUUCCUAAUGCAAAUGUAAUUAUAUUUUUGGGUUUUAAAUUAUAUUGUACCAAUUUCUUUUCCUCUUCAUCCCAUUGUUCCUUAGGGUUUUCUAUAGUUGCAUUUCUUGCUACCAUAGUAGGGAUGUAAGGACCAAUUUCUAUGGCUUUCUAGAUGUUUAAAUCAAUAGCCUCUAUAAAAAUUUGCAUACGGGUUUUCCAGUAAUGAUAACCCACACUAUUGAAUAUAGGAGGUCUAUUUAUAGAGUUCCCUUCGGGAAAUAAAAAGUUUGAUGAGGCCAUGACUAUUCUGGAAGUUUCUAAACCUUAUACAAGAAUUAAGCUCCGAUACCACUUGUUAGUCAAGUGGCCUCAAUAACUUAAGAGGGGGGUGAAUUAUGUUUCAAAAUUUCCCACUAAUAAACUUUUAACCCCCUUCUAAAUGAUAGGCUUAGAAUGCAGAAGAAGCAGCAAUCAAUUUAAUAAUAUUUUUUUAAACAUGCAAGACAAAAUUGAUUGCAAUAACAUAAAUGAGAUAAGGGAAGAGAGAAAUGCAAACUCGAUUUAUAUUGGUUCGGCCACUUCCCAUGCCUACGUCCAGUCCUCAAGCAACUCACUUGUGAUUUUCUACUAUCUCUGUAAAUCAUUUACAGACUUUGAACACACCUUGAGAUCCCUCAUCCUUGUGUUCAAAGAUUCUCCAAGAGAUAACCCGUCUCUUGAUUAAAACUGACUUUAUGAGAUGAACAAAAAGAUUUCUCUCCUUUAAAGUGGAUGGUACAAAUUGAAGAUCCUAGAGGAAUUUCUCUCUUUUAGAGAUGAUAAUACAAAUUGAAGUCCUAGAUGAACUCUCAAUAGAUUUGCAAGUGUUUGUCCAAGAGUUGUUGAGAGAGUUUUUGACAAUUAAGUUCUCUUAGAAUAUUUCUCUCUUGCUUUUCGAAGUCAGACACACAUAUACAUAGGCCCUUCGUGCCUUUUCUAAAUGGUUUGAAGAGAUGUAUCUUUUCAAAAAGUUUUUUCUAAAAUUCUUCACUAGUAAUCGAUUACAUGGUUAUAUUUUAAAGGGUCGUGUCUUUUGAAAGUGUUUUCUAAAGUGCCGUUGCUGGUAAUUGAUUACAAACAUCUGGUAAUCGAUUACAUGAUUCAAAAUUCAAAUUCAAAACCCUUUUUAAAAAGCUAUUUUUCAAAAUUGUCUUUUGGUAAUCAAUUACACUGUCUGGUAAUCGAUUACAACUUUCAAGUUUCAAAUUCAAACUUUUCUAAAUGUUGUUAAAAUCAUUUUUGCUUCUGGUAAUCGAUUACAACCUCUGAUAAUCAAUUACUAGAGAGAAAUACAUAUUUUUCAAAAUGUAAUAUUUACUUAAAAACUUUAUAAGAUAUUUGAAAGCUUAAGUCUUUUAAGGCCAAACCUUUGCAACCUUUUUAAGAGAUUCUUUUAACAUAUAAAGGUUUAUUGUAAAUCGUUUCUCUUGAUUUCUUGAUCUUAACUUGAAUCAAUGUUGAAUAGCUUUAAUCUUUUGGCAUCAUCAAAAUCUUCAUACAACAUAUGCACUUAAAGCAAGAUGGCAACAGAGUAAAUUAUGCAGCAAAUUUUAACCUUUCAAGGUCUCCAACAUGACUUUUUAUACAUUAUUUAAUCACCAAUAGACUAAGGAAUCGUCUGAUAACCUUUGCAACACUAACCAUACCUCUGAGCACCUUAAUUUUAUUAUUUUAAGGACAAUUUAAACUACAAGGCAGCAGUUGCGACUCUAUUAGGAAAAUCAUUAAAUAAAGUCAAGAUAUAAUCUCAAGAUAUCAAAUACAUCAUUGAGUUAUCAUUGAAUGGUCUCAUGACAACACCUUAUAUGUAGGUUAUCAAUAUAUCUAACAUGAGUCGAAGUCAUAUAUAAAAGUUAUUUGGCAACAAGUUCAUCUGCUUAGGAAAUGCACUUAAACCAAAAUCGAAAAUCUUUAUAUUUCCUAGUGAAUCAAGUAAAAGAUUUUCAAGCUGCACAAGGAAAAAAGGAAAAUUAGAAGAAAUCACCAUAAGGGCAAUAGACAACUUUUCAGAUCUCACGCAAUGCAAACCUUUAAAUCUAUGUGAUAAACUCCGUUACAGUGGCAAUAAUCUACAUUGUCAAUAAGUUGUUGGAAAUAUCUUCUAGAGUCAACUUCACUAAGAUGACCAUGAUAUAUCUGCACAAUCAUAUUAUUCACCAUCAAACAUUUCCAAUAUCUCGAAUGGUGAUUAAUAAAAGCCACAAUAAAAUCCACACAAAAAAGGUUCCAUCUUGAGCUACUCACAAUUUUAUAAACAAUUCACCACCCGUGAUGAACUCCAAUAUGAUAUAAAUCUUGGUACAACUUGCAAGAACCUGAAGUAAACAACGUUUCACAACAAAAACAAGUGCUUGUGAGUGGCAUCAACUAACGAGAGAAACAUUAAGAAUUACUUCUCAGAGCAAAUAUUGAGUCGGCAUGGCUCUUCGUUUAAAACAUUUUUUUUUCAUUUAAUCAAGGAAGAUUCUCAAAUAUCAGAAUAUGAUUUUAGAACUAUCCCUCACUCCAAAAGUCCAAACAAUCAAAAUAAAAAAGAAAUUCUAUAAUUCUGGUUUCUGCAUUGCACACUUUUCCCCAACCCUAAAAGCAUGACAUGAUUCAAAUGUUAUUCACAAGCUUUGCAUUUUUUGGGUUUUAAUUUAUUAGUUUAUUAUUAAGUGUCUUCUUGGCAGGGAAAUAGAAAAACGAAAAGAGAACAACAACAACAUCAUUCUUUGAAAAUUAAACCUGUGUUGUUUAUGGAGAUGCUCGUGCAAAGACCUCACAUGAUUAUGGUAAACAUGUGCAUCCCCAAUAAUAUGGAUAAAAUCACCUGGAAUGAGAUCUGACAAGAAGAACACAUAGUAUAAAGAUUGAUUAUUUUAUGUUUAAAUUACUUUUAAUGUUGUAUUUUCUCUUGUGAUAUUAUCAAAAUCAAUAAGCUUCUGAACCUUGAAUCUACCUAGACUGGAACUUCAAUUAAAAACUUAUUGAUAAACUUAUGAAAACAACUCUAUCAAAAAAUCUAUAAAAAUAAUUGAAAAGUGCAAAUAGGCCACUAAAAUAAUCAAAUUAGUUAAGCAAUGGAAAACCUUUUCUAUACAGAGAUAAUCUAUAACAAUUUUUUCCAAAAUUUGUCAUGAUUUCUUAAUGUUACCAUGCUAGGUAGAUGGAAGUUGAUGAGUCCAUGAGAACCUGGAACAGUGCAAAUAAUGUCUAUGAUAUCCCAACAUACAUAUUUAUAUAAUAUCAUACAUGAGAAUGCGAAAUUAAUUAAAAUAAUUUUAUUCAAUAAACAUAAAGGAACUCACAUGGGUAAAAGGUUUACAUUCACGUUAAUCACCAAAUUAAAAACUUAUCAAAUAAGGGUAUGAAAACAUCUCUGGCCCAAAACAAGGCCAUCUAAUUUUAACAAAAGAAAACAAGUUAAGCAACAUAAUAACAUAAACUAACAUAUUCAGAACAUUAUGCAAAUAAUAUAGAAACUCAUGCCCAAUACCACAUCAUAUCAUAGUGUUGUGUCUCAGCAUCCUCUAGCGCGAGGUUCUUUAAAAUUAUCCACCUAACCAUCUGCUCCCACGAACACAAGGUUCAAGAUUAUCACAGGACUCAAACACAAACAACACACGGGGAGUGAGUUAUCACAUUCCUAAACAGGUAAAUCUAAACGAAGCACAUAUAUAUAAUAUAAGUAUAAUGAGCUCAACUUAGCAUAAUUCACAUCAUUUUACCACUCAUUGUGUAACUUCACUUGUCCCAAGGAUUUAAUCACAAAAUCAUUUUCAUACCUUCACAUUAAUCAGGUGUUCAGAACAACACGUCUCAAGUACAACACAAUAUCUCACACUCACACAAUUCAUUACCCACCAUCACGUAACAAGUCAUAAUAGUCAUUAUGCAAGUAUUAUGUAACAGAUACACUAAGACUCAAUCUUAUAUGCAAUGUGGUACCAUGUCAGUGAAAAACCUCGCCGGGAGCCUAGGAGUACAUGGCAAGACAAACUACACGCUGGUAAGUCAGGUCACUCUCACUAGGUAAAAUCAUAGGAAUACAAGCUAGGGUCACGCUGUUUUGUGAGACUACUUCAACCAUGUGAGAUUGACACAAGCUUAAAGGAGCAUUCAAACCGGGUGUAUUUACCCCAAGGUCUAAACUCUGAAGAGUCAGUUAGGACCUUUCCUUCCCAAUUCAGGUCCAACCUAGAAAACAUUUUAGCACGCAGAUUGUAUCAAUGAAUAGUAAAAAACACACGACUCUUGAAUUAUUCUCAAAAUAAUUUUAACUCGUCGUGCCUCAAAGUGAUUAAACUCGUCGAGUUCCCAUAAUGGAUCUCAUCACAAUACUCGUCGUGCAUUAACUUGUCACCCUUAAAGGGUCUUACAACCGUGUGAUUGUAUGGUUGAUAGCUCACAACUCAAUGCACACAACAUCUCAAUACAUGUGUGAUCUCUCAACUUAUCACAUACACUCAAUCUCAAUCACAAUGUUAUAAUCCCAAAGCAACAUAUUAUCACACUCAUGAAUCAUAUACACAUCACACAAUAUUAAUAUAUGCAUGGCACAAACACAAACUUUACCUAUAAACUAUGUAAUACACACAAUUACUCAAUUGUUUUCAAAAUCAUUUUAACUUGUCGCGCCUCAAAAUGAUUCAACUUGUUAGGUUCCCACAGCGGAUCCCAUCAUAAUACUCGUCGCGCAUUAACUCGUUGCCCUUAAAGGGUCUUACAGUUGUAUGAUUACACAAUUGAUAACUCACAACGCAAUACAUACAAUAUCUCAAUACACAUGUAUCUCACAAUUCAUCACAUAUUCAAUUUAUCACUUACACACUAUCUCAAUCACAAUUUCAUGAUCUCAAUAUAAUAAUUUAACACACUAAUCUAGUAAAUCUUUUUCCAAAACACAAACGAAUUAUACAAAAAUGCUUCUCACAACAUGGGGAGUAAAACCCCUCAUACAAUUUUACAUAAUCAUAUCAUAAUCAAAGGAAUCAAAAUCAUAGGUUCAAUAAUCACAAAAAAAAAACCAAGAGCACUCAAUUUUGUAGAAGCAAAGCUUCAUGGAGAAUCAAAGGUAAUUUAAAGGUGUUUUGAUGAUAACAAUGAUGAUAACAAAAGAUGAUGACAAAAGGUGAUGACAAAAAGCUCAAAGAUCAAUCAGAGAACAACUCAGGUGAAUCAAGAACAAUUCAAGAGUUCAAGAUAAGAAUCAAGAAGAAUUCAAGACUCAAGAAGAAAGUUUAGAGUCAAGAAUCAAGAUUCAAGGUUCAAGAUCUCAAGAAUCAAGAUCAAGAUUCAAGAGUCAAGAGAAGGCUUAAUCAAGAUAAGUAUGAAAAGUUUUUCUCAAAAAUUGAGUAGCACAUGAUUUUUCUCAAAACAUGUUUACCAAAGAGUUUUUACUCUCUGGUAAUCGAUUACCAGAUUGUUGUAAUCGAUUACCAGCAGCAAAAUUGUUUUGAAAGAGUUUUCAAAUUGAAUUUACAACGUUCCAAUUAAUUUCAAAAAGCUGUAAUCGAUUACAAUGUUUUGGUAAUCGAUUACCAGUGCCUUUGAACGUUGAAAUUCAAAUUCAAAUGUGAAGAGUCACAUCCUUUCACAUAAAAGCCUUGCGUAAUCGAUUACACUGAUUUGGUAAUCGAUUACCAGUGAUUGUUUCUGAAUAAAUCAAAAGAUGUAACUCUUCAAAAGGUUUUUGACUUUUUCAAAUUGGUUUUAAGUUUUUCUAAAAGUUAUAACUCUUCUAAAUGGUCUUCUUGACCAGACAUGAAGAGUCUAUAAAAGCAAGGUUUUGUUUUGCAUUUUCAUUCAUUCAUUCAAUCUUGAACACUUAUUCAGACAAUCCUUUAUAAGCCUUGAAUCUCUUUAAACGUCUUCUUCUUCUUUGUACCAAAAGCUUUCUGAAGUUUUUCUGGUUUUCUAAACCUUGAAAACUUGUGUUAUUCAUCUUUUCAUUCUCUUCUCCCUCUACCAAAAAGAAUUCGCCAAGGACUAACCGCCUGAAUUCUUUUUGUGUCUCUCUUCUCCCUUUUCCAAAAGAACAAAGGACUAACCGCCUGAAUUCUUUUGUGUCUCCCUUCUCCCUUGUCAAAGAAUUCAAAACGACACAGUCUGAGAAUUCUUUUGAUUCUUCCCAUUCCCUUAUAAAAAAGUGUUCAAAGGACUAACCGCCUGAGAAUUCUUUUGUAUCCCUAUUCACAAAGUAUCAAAGGUUUAACAGCCUGAGAUCUUUGUCUUAACACAUUGGAGGGUACAUCCUUUGUGGUACAAGUAGAGGGUACAUCUACUUGGGUUUGACUGAGAACAAGAGAGGGUACAUCUCUUGUGGAUCAGUUCUAGUGGAGGGUACAUCCACUAAGUUCAAAGAGAACAAGGGAGGGUACAUCCCUUGUGGAUCUUUGCUUGUAAAAGGAUUUUUACAAGGUUGAAAGAAAUCUCAAGGACCGCAGGUCGCUUGGGUACUGGAUGUAGGCACGGGUUGUUGCCGAACCAGUAUAAAAACUCUUGUGUGUUUGCUUCCUUCUUCCCUACUCUUUUACUUUCUGCUGUGCAUUUAAUUUCCGCUUUUACUUUCUGUUAAGUUUCUCUUCUACUCCUCAUUCUCUUAAUUUAGUAAAAGCCUUAGAAGAGUAAUUUUUUAAUUAGUAAAGGUUUAGGAAUAAUUAAUUCAACCCCCCUUCUUAAUUAUUCUGAGGUCACUCGAUCCAACAAAUUUUAUCAACCAAUUUGCAUUAGGAUAUCAAUUGGUCCGUCAAACAUAACAAUCUUGUGAUUAUAAUCAUAAAGGCAGAAUUAUCAUCAUAAACAUCCCAAAAAAGAUCCCAAUUUGAUCCUCUAAGGACCCUUACACAUGUUCAUUUUAACUCCAAUUGCGAUAAACUCAUUCAUAAGCGGACUCACGUGUGUAGUCUGAUGACAAUAACAAUGUCUCUAGCAGUUCCCUGGGAUUCCUCCCUUUGGUUGUUCUGUUAUGAUUUCUAAGCAUUAGAGAGAAACAAAAGGGAUUGGAGCCUCAAUUUUACUAUCUCUGUGCGAGGGACAUUUCUCUCUCUAUAGACAUUAUUUCUCAAAUCCCAAAAGUAAAAAUGUGCGAAAAUGAGUUCUGAAGAUGAUGUUCAAAUUUCACGAGGAUCUAACGGUUAUUGGGAUUAUAAUUUUAUUAAGACAUGUUUGAAUGUAUGCAAAAAAAAGAAGAUAUUAGAAGAGAAAGAAGGAAAAAAAUUUUAAGACAAAGAUGGAGGGUACAAAUGUUUAAAUUAAGUUAGUUAGGAUACUUACUUUCAACCUAUUAUUUACUUUAUUUAUAUUUUAUUUUAUUAUUUUAUAACAAAGGAAAUUUUAUUUCUCUUUUAUUAAAUAAAUAAUCAAUUAAAACAUCUUUUUAUUCUCUAAAUCAUUAUUUUAUUUUAUUUAUUUUCUAAUAUUAUCAAACUCUUAUUUUAAGUAAUAAAAAAUUCUUUUUUUUCAUUUAUUUAAUUUCUAAAAAAAAUUAUUAAUUUUUUAUUUUACGGAAAACGGGUGUGAGAAUGCCAUUGAGAGUGCUACUCUCCAUAUCUUCUCCGUCCGCAAAACAAACUUAACAUCCUUCAAGCAUUUCACCGGCAAAUAGUCAAGUUCACGAAGUUAGUAUAAGACAAAUUGCAAUCAAUAGGUAAGAAUGCUCAGCUCUGCUCCUAGGUUAACCUGUGCUAUGAAGGUACCCGAAGAAUAAAACUAUAAAGAAGCACAUAAGCUACUAAUUCAAGAAAUGAACAUGUGAAGAGUGGUGAAAGCGAUAACGAAUAGAUGAGAAUCGGAUCGGGGCAGCUAAACGAUGUCGUUUAUCAGAGCUUGUGAAGGGUUUGAUCAAGGCACAUCCCGUGUGUCUCAAAGCCAUGGAACAGUUAAUGUCUCACAUUCUUUUUUUUUUUUUCUUUUUCUUUUUGCACCCACUUUCAGAUUCAAUUGGUGCCUUUCUUGGUUUUUUCUUGUACCCUUUGGGGUUUUAUCAUUUAGCUCCAAAAUGGUACCUUUUGCAAUGUUUGCCAUUAUUUUGCAUUUCACUUUUUAGCAUAAUUUAUUUGUUUCUGAAUCAUACUGAGGAAUGUGGUGCUUGUGGUGUUCAAUUCUCCUGUUUUGGUCUACAUUAGGCAUUCUGACUUCUGAGUUUAGUGAUUUUAGGAAUUUUUGGGAUGUCAUGUGUUUUGUCACCUAAUUUUGAUUUUCAAUGUUUAUUUAAAGUUUAGUGUUUUUUUUUUUUUAAUAUAUACUCUCUCUAGUCAUUAGGCAUUAGAAAAAAAACAUAUUUUUCUCUUAUCAUUCAUUUGAUUGAGGUACUAGUUUCAUAAACUCUUAUUUUUUAUACUAAGUUCCAAAUAUAAUUUGAAAAAAAGUUACUUUUUAAUUAAAAUUGAUGCAAUUAAAUAUUGCUAAGUAACUUUUGUUAGUUAGCGUGAAAUGUUUUUUUUUACUUCUUAUAUUUGAGAUGGAAGGAAAUACAUUUUAAGUUGAUAAGGAAAUGUCAGUAUUUAAUCUUUUAAUCUCCUGAAAAAAAAGUUAUAUAUUUUUAGUUUCUUAAAAUGUGUUAAGUGUAAUAAUAUCUGUUCUUUUCUUGGACUUAGUACUAGUAACAUGAAAUACAACGCCAAUUUUAUAAACAAAAAUGAUACAUCGACACCUUAUGCUAAUGUACUCCUAAAGAGAGAAAGAGAGAACAAAGAGAAACGUGAAUGUGAUAAGAAGAGACAUUGAAAAAAAAUGAGAAGUGCCAAUGAAGUGUUUGUAUUAUAACAGAUGUCCCUAUAUCAUUUUUCUUUUAUAGAUGAGGAAUUAAAAAUAUGAUUUUAUUUAAGGAACAUUCUAUUUUUCUAGGAACAUUUUCUUAUUUACAGGAAUAAAAAUAUACUAUUCAAACUUUUUUUUCCUGCAGGGUGAAAAUUUGAGUAUUAUUAUCUUUUUGACUGUGUUUACAAGAGCGCCACCUGCAACAUUUCCUAGAGCUGAAAAAAAUUAGAAUAUGCUCUGCUCUUAAGCAUGAAUAUUUAUCUGAAUUUCUAAAUAAGCGCAGAAACUGCUUAGUUAGGCUUUAUGUUGACAGCUAAAAUAUUGAAAAUGUUGAGUUCAGUAUGAUUGUUGUACCAUUGUUCUCAAUAAUAUUGAUCAUGUUCAUGACUGAUGUUUAUUCAAUUGAUUGGAGGCUAUGUUAGCCUUUAGUGCUGCUCAAGUAUUUUUAUGUGACAGAUCUGUCAUAAUGAAUAUGGUAUUUCAAAUGCAUGUGGAAUAUGGUAUUUUUCUCUAGUUAUAAUGAAUAUUUCUCAUCUGUAGUCUGUUAUACAAAUGUUUUUAUAUAAUAGAUCUGUCACAUUUUUUUCAAAUGCAUUUGGAAUAUGUAUUUUUCUCUAGUUAUAAUUUCUCAUUUAGCUACUUGCUGAGUGGAUUCAAGUAUAAUCUGACACUCUGAGUUCCUUUCCAUAGAAAAAGUGGAAACUGAAAAGAGGUGUACUUUCUCUCAUUCUCUUUCUUCAUUUUGUCUUGCCCUUUCUGGGUGUGGACUGAGUUCUUAAAUAUAGAACUACUCAUGUGAAAGAUUAUAUGUCUCUGCUCUGUUUCUGAUAUGUGAUAUCUGAUAACUCUUUGCUUAUAUGUAUAUAUAUUAUAUAUGCUGGUUUUAUCAACUUGGUAAGAAUUCUUAAAAUGAAAUGUUUGUUACUAAUAGACAAUGUUAUCAAUGGUGGAUGGUGGAAUGUAGCGGAAAGUCAAAAUUCCACCACAUGAACACAGAAUUGUGGCCUAUGGUGCUGUGUUAUGAGUCACACAUUGAGUAGAGUAAACUACUUGGUGUGGUACAUAGUCCUUGAGGUUCUUCACCUAAUGAACCAGUCUUUUGGGUUGAGCUCUUCUCUUGUGCUUAAUCCUAACAAUUAAUGCUUUUGGAAUGACUGAUUCAUAUUGGAUGCAUAGAAUUAGAGUAGGGUAUUUUUUUUCCAAGUUGCCUACUUUUAAAUAUGCCCUAGAUCAUGUCCACUUAGUUCAUAUGGAUGAUUAAUUUUCAGUAGGUUCUGUGCUUUUGAUCCCCCUCCAUCUCUCGUAUUUGGAUUGAGGGUUCUUGAGUUAAAGGAGCAAGGUGUUAGUAAGGAACAAGCAAUGGCUAUGGCAGAUGUAGUAACGUGAACUGGUUCCUGAACAUGUUAGCUCUGCAAUUUGUUUUUCCCUUGUGUUCUCUUAUCCUCUAAUAAUCCACUUUGGCUUUUUUGCUUCCUAGAUGGAGAGUAUCUGACAGAGAAGAGGGCAAAAAAGAAAGCAUAUACCUGUUUGAGGAAAAAACCCAUAUCCUAGUCCUAUCAAGGAAAUACAAGCUGAGGAGAGGAAAUUGUGAAGCAAUAGAAAGCUGAGUCAGCAGAGAGAUUCAGAGAGGGGGUGAUUGGUGAGAUGUAGAGGGGAAAAGUUACACUACUUUGAAAGUUUGGCUCUUGAACAAAUGAUCUUUGACAAUAACAUUUACUGUUCAGCCACUGAAAAGUUAUUUGUUGUAAAUAAGAAAAUCUAUUUGUUGUGUUAGAUAACUGUAGAGGAAAAUUUUACCAAAAUCUUAUGCAAGUUUUCUGUUUUUCCAGGCCACCCAUGUAGGUUUGUUAGUUGGUACAAAAGAACUAAAUAGAUAAUCAAGAUUUGUAUAUUUACUCUUUUUAUUUUUAUGAUUAUGAGCCUCAUGACCAAAAUAUUAUGCGAUUAAUUUUCAAUAUAAUAUAUUUUAACUUGACUUUUUGAAUGUUAAAAAAUUGAAUCUGUUUUAUAAUAUCAAUGUUCUUGAAGUAUCCAGCCAUAUAGAUAGCUUAAGUGUUCAAGUCAUGUGGAUGUGUCAAGUAAACUGUUUGAACUAACAAAACUUUUGUUAGACUUAGUGAGUAGUGUAGGACACAUGUUGUACAGAUGUCGAGAAAGUGUUGGUGCUAAAAAUUUGUCUAAUCACUGUGCUUAACAAGUUUCAUCUUAUCAUUCAGUAACUAUUGUGUUUUUCUUUAGCAGCCUUUUCCACUACUUUUAUCUCUUGUUCUGUUCUUGUCAUCCUCACUUGUACUCAGGGUCACUUGUUGCAUCUUAUUCUCUUGAUCUUUGUAUGUAGUUAAGUACAUUAUCAGAUUUUGUGGCAUGCAGACACGAGAUCUCUCACCAUCCUUUUAAUUAUUUUCAUCAUAAGCAGCACAUAACACUGUUUGAAGCAAUUUUAAUGUGAGCUCCUUUGGAUGGAUGCUAAUUCCCAGGUUCUAUCUUAAAGUUGUUCUUCUGACAAUGUCAUCCAUUUUUAGCUUUAGGUUGUUAACCAAAAUAGAAGCAAGGUGGCAGCUGUUGCUGAAGAACUCUGAUUAUUUGUGUCCUCUGAUGUACAGAUACUUUAUGGUCACAUAUCCAUAUUUGUAUCGUACUUGUAAUGAAUACCCAUAGGCGUAUAAUAAGGCUGCCUAAGUCGGGUAUGCAUUAAAUCUAGACUGUUUUAUUGAAACUUCUUACAUACACUAUUUCUUUAAAUAGUGAAACAAUUGUUAUCAUUAAGUUUUUUAAUAAAUUCGAUAAGAGAUUGAACACCAAUGAUGUUAGGAUGAUGGAGAUGACCCAUCAAUAGAUAUCAUCUAUAUUAAGAAAUAAAGAAAUUAAAAUAUAAUUUUAUGUAUCACAUUGCACCUAAUACUUGUAUGAGUUGUAUCCAAAGCCAUGAAACAAAAUGUGUCAGAUAUCAGUUAGAUAAGAUUCAGUUCAGCAGGCAGGUUGGAUAAGAGUAUUGCUUAUGUAUAUCUUAAAAGAAAGUUUCCUAUUUGACCGAAUGUGGGUGUUUUUGUCCACCUAGGAGCUUUUUACCAUGUAACCAGACAGAUAAUUGGUAUCUUAAAAUUUCAAAGGGUGGUCCUUCACACCUAAUUUGGAGAUCUAAUUUGUUGAUAUGUCUUCACUAAUAGACUGUAUUGCAAAAUUAGUAAAUUGAAGAUGACAUUACUCAAGUUUUUCAUGUGAGGAAGGAAGGGAGCACAAGGAAAACGGUGAAACCUCACUGAUCAGCAUUUUCAGAGGAACCUAUUAUGAAGCACUCAACUUGCUGACAUAGGCUUUAUGAUCUGCACUAAUCUUUUGAAACUUCAUUUUGUCACAUGUUACUAAGUUGAAAAAGAAAAUAUUGUUUUAGGAGCUAAAGAUGAAUAAGUAGCUAAAGGAAAGUUAUAUAGAAUUUGUAGUAAAAGGGAAGAGUGUAAACAUAUUUGCUUCAGUACACAGAGUGGAUGACUCAAGUGCUGGUUCCAUUACCAAAUUUCAGUGGUUUUGGUUGAAUAUGUAAGUCAGUGGAAGUGGUGCUGAAGAUUGGAGGGAAUGUUUGGAGUACAUGAUUAGAAAAGGGGAGAAUGAUUAAAAGAAAUAGAAAAUUGGCUGACUAAUAUUGGGGAUUCAUAGGAAUGUUGUGUGUUAGUAAAUUGGAAAAAUGUUACUCCAUUGAUAUUUUCAGCAUACCAUUCAUCUAAGAAGCAUAACUGUUCCUUUUUAUAUAUUUUCUGUUACCUUCCUUUCCUUCAAAACAUGGCUUUUGAAUUUUGAACCAUUAACUGAGUUGGAAUAGUGGUAAAAUCAUGUAGAUUUUUGUUUUCGUUUUGUGGGGAUAUGAAUGAGAAAAAUCCUUACAACCAGACAAAGCUGUGGCUCAGAAGAAAGAGAAACAUGCCUCACUGCUAGAAUCACUGGAACUAACAUCUUGUAAACAAACUGUUAUACCAAACUUUCCUAAGGUGCAAUUCUCAACCAUUAACCAAUUUCAUCUCAAACAACACUAUCAGUUCUUCAGUCAUGAACUUCCCAUACUGAAAAUUUGUCACCUAUUUCUUUUAUAGGCAGUGGCUUCUUAUGAGAGUCACACUCUCUGAACUUCUUAUGUAAAACUUGACUUUUCAUUUUGUGCUUUAUAAUUGUUAUCUCAUGCAUUGCCCUUUUAAGAUAAGGUUGUUGUGCAUUGUUUGGUUGAGUACAACGAUUUACUGAUGACCAUAACUAUUUGUGGAUCUUAUAUUUUCAAAAGUGUAUGCUUGGUCAUUAAUCAACCAAGCUUGAUAAGCCCCAUCACCUACCAUCCCCUUCUAUGCCAUAUACACAUUUUGCUUAUCUACAUUGCUACUGUUACUCUCAAACAAGUCUAACAAAUAAUAAGUGAAGUUAAUGAACAUUUUUAGUAAUAUUAUUAUAAGGAUUGGCCAAUGUAAUGGUGAACAGAGAAGCAUGCUUUCAGCUACCCAACAAACUGGAUAAGAGUGUCAGUUGAUAUGGUUCUCUUGUUUUUUUUUUUUUUUUUUCCAAUGCAAAAUCACCUUUAAAAUAUAAAAGAUCACUGUAACAAAGGGACAAAGGGUUUUCACUUAACCCAUGCAUGAGAUAUGAUGGUCACAAAAUAUGUUAGGUUUAAUAUGGAAUGAGGGCACAGUACAAACCACUCACAAAUAAUAUCAAACUCCACCACCAUCACACAUUUUACGUUCUUCCAAGGAAGAGAUAAGAUAAUGAAGCCUCCUCCACGUGUCACUUCCACAUGGUACCUAACGAUAAGGCUACCAUUCAAAAUUUUCCUCACUCGUGUGGCCAAUAUGCUGUAAUGUCAUCACUUAUUCAAUCCAACGGUUGUAACUUCUCAGCAACCAAUCCCCUCCAUUUCACACCAUCGGAUUAGUACUACACAAAUCACACUAUUAUAUAUAGUAAGUUUGAGCAGAAGCUUGGAUAUCUGGCAGCAGAAGAACAAGUAGUUGAGAACUAAGAAGGAGAAGCAAAUGGCUUCCUCAAUGAUCUCUUCCCCAGCUGUUACCACUGUCAACCGUGCCGGUGCCGGCAUGGUUGCUCCAUUCACUGGCCUCAAGUCCAUGGCUGGCUUCCCCACCAGGAAGACCAACAAUGACAUUACCUCCAUUGCUAGCAACGGUGGAAGAGUGCAAUGCAUGCAGGUAUGACAACUCCACACAUAUAAAUACACAAGAGGCACCAAAAUGAUUAUAAUUCAUGUUACAUAUUUAGGCAUGUACCUAAAUGUUACUUAAAUAAACAUGUUAGUCAUAGGUUGCUUAAAUUUUAGUCAUAGGAAAAUUUGCACAUGUGCUAGUUAAUCUGUUAACCCCUUUACUCAAUUUUCAUGCAAAUUAAUUACUAGGUGUGGCCACCAGUUGGCAAGAAGAAGUUUGAGACUCUUUCCUACCUGCCAGACCUUGAUGAUGCACAAUUGGCAAAGGAAGUAGAAUACCUUCUUAGGAAGGGAUGGAUUCCUUGCUUGGAAUUCGAGUUGGAGGUCAAUUUCUUGCAAACACUUUUGGUUUAAUCAUAGAUUUUCUUAUUCUUAGUUUGUUUCAACUUAUUUUCAAGAAAUAAUCGCUUCUCUAGCUAGUGUGCUAAAAGUACUUUUGGAAACAAAACAAAAAAUGGUUGUGUUCCAAAAUUUAAAUUUAUCUAACAGAUUUUUCUAUCUGAGAGUUAUCAAUAUGUAUCAAAUCUGUUCCUAUCUCUGACCAAAUUUUAUUCUUCCAAAACAAGCACUUGGUUUUGAGUUUUGAUGGUUGAUCUGCUUGUUUGCAGCACGGUUUCGUGUACCGUGAGCACAACAGGUCACCAGGAUACUACGAUGGACGCUACUGGACCAUGUGGAAGCUGCCUAUGUUUGGUUGCACUGAUGCUUCUCAGGUGUUGAAGGAGCUUCAAGAGGCUAAGACUGCAUACCCCAACGGCUUCAUCCGUAUCAUCGGAUUCGACAACGUUCGCCAAGUGCAGUGCAUCAGCUUCAUCGCCUACAAGCCCCCAGGCUUCUAAGUGUGAAAAAUUUGCAAAGCAUUUGUAGCCGCCACCCCACUUUGUUUGUUUGUACUUAAACUACAUUCCCAUUUGUUUUUGCUUUUUGAGAUUUCAUCAUCCUGUAUUUUUGGUUUCUGUUUUCGGACUUCAAUGGAAAUUAAUGGAUGAGAACUAAUGAAUAAGCUAUUGUGUUGUGUUGCUUUGUUUCAAAAUAACUUCAAUAACCCAUCGUCCUUGCAUUUCUCUCUAGUGGGCUGAAAUUAAUCUUUUCUAAAUUUAAGUUAAUUAAUUGUGUCUCUAAAUGAUGGUUAACAGAGGAACUGUGUUAUUCAAGUACUCUGCAUAGUUUAGCUGAGCUUGGCCUUACUUUGUCACAACUCACAAAUCUGAUGUAUGAAUGUUCUUUAUACUUUGGUCUUCCAAGAAAUGAAGUUCAUGACAUAUAUAGUUUGUAAACAUGUUGCUAGGAAGCUUCUGAACUUUCAAAACCAAAUAUGAACUUGAUAAUUCUUGGAAACACAGAUAUUUUGUAUAGUACAUAGCAACAAAAAACCACUAAGGAACUGCUACCAAAUCGUUUUGUUAUUUAUGUGCAAAGAAAGCGAUGUCAAAUUCAAAUUUUUAUUGGUUUCAGAAUCUUUUCUUUCCAAGCAAUAACCACCAACUGCACGAAACCGUUUUGUUUGUUCCAUUUCUCACUCUCCUCACUGCAAUAUUCAAAUUCUGAUUUGGAAAACAGCACAUAAAAACACAAGAUUUGGUCAUGCUCUGGUUCUACCAAAUACUACAUUUGUUUCUAGAAUUGCCAGAAUCUGAUCCUUAGCUGACAAUUAAUCUCUAGAAGAUUCUUUUGCUUGUAACUUGGUAGUUAUGGAUUAGCAACUGAUAAAUAAAUCAUUUAGUGGGCUCUAUGUUGUGAGUAGUGAUAGGUAACUUAUCUCGACACCUUUUAGUAGAUUGCAUUAAUAUUUAGACUGGACCCUUUUGAUAGCUACAUUUGUGAACAAGAAUACAAUACGAUAAAGAAAUAGAUAAGAAGUUUCACCUCCUAUACUCCCAUGACCACAUCAUGACAUAUUCAAUGCCAAUCAUGAAUAUACAAACCAAUAGGAUUUGUUUUCUUCCAAAUAUUUAUUUGUGGACGUGAAUCUACUCACCCUAGAAGCAAGUUUCGUUAAAUUUACUUUGUUUAAUAAUUUUUUGUGAACAUUCAUUCUUUUUUAAUUCAACUGUUAUAUAAAAAUAUCUCACUAAGUAGAUCAAAUAUGCAAACUUUUAAUCAACAUUAUGUUGAUCCGAGGAUAAUUAAAUUCAAAUUCCUUAAGAAAGGUCUUAAGUUCAAAUUUUGUGAAUGGAAAAUAUAAUUAAAAAAAAAGACAUAACUAAAGUAGCUAGUCAAGUCAUGAUAAAGUCUUACAAUUCAUGAAAUAACUAAUAUUAUAUCAAUCAACUUCAUUUUAAUGGAUAGUAGUAUUAUUCUUUUAAAAUACAAGUAAAUGUUAACUAUAAGAUAAUCUUUAUGGUAAUAUAUUACAAAAUAUAAUAGUUAAGGGUCUGUUUGGGUGGUUGUUAGUUGUAAGUUUCAUUUUUAAUUUUAAACCAGUCUUUAAAAUUUGGUUAGUUUUCUAAUUCUUAGUUUUAAGAUAAAGCCAUUUAAAAAAAUUUCAAUCCUUUUAAAAUUAAUUUAAAAGGUGAUAAUGUCAACAUAGGUUAUGGUUCUAGUGUUAGUAGAGGCGACCAGAAAUGUCAUUGUCAAAUGUAGAGUGUGUACUUUUUUUAAAUUAAAAUCAAAAUUACAAAUGUUUUUUUUCUUUAUUUUGAAAAUAAAGAUAAAAAAGUGUUUUGAGAUAGUCAAUCAUUUCAACUUCAUUUUCUGCCCAAAGCUUUUGAUUUUGAAAAUUACAUUUAAAAAUAAAAUUAAAAAACUCACAAUUACCUGACCAAACCUUAAGUCUUUUAAAUUAAUUAAUAUUCUAUAAAGAAAUAGUAUUUUUAAAAUAUUUAUAUAAUUUAAGUAUUUACUUAUUUUUAGAGUGAAUAGAUCCCUUUCGUUUGUUUCAUUCAUCAUACAGAAUCAAUAAUACACUGGAAUAUUCGCUUAUAUAUAUAUAUAUAUAUAUAUAUAUAUAUAUAUAUAUAUAUAUAUAUAUAUAUAUAUAAAAUGUACAUGGAAAAAAUAAUUUUCCAUUAGUGUAUUAAAAUUUGAAGAGAGACAGACAAAUAUAUCCUUAUUUCCAUAGAGCCUGCAAAAACCUAACUAUCCAGUCAAUAUUUUAUAUUUCCGUAGUUUUUCUGACAAACCAAUUUCUUUAAUAAAGUUUUCAAAUAAGUUAUAUAACAUAUCAUAAUAUUCAAGGUUUUCCAAGAGAAAUUUAAAAAUUGUUAUUUUGACAAGAUAAGUGCUACAUAAUUGUGUGGUCUAUAGCGACUAAUGAGUCAAGGCAUCGUGACUCUGUCGUAGCAAAAAAGGUAAACAAAAACAAGUCAUUGUCAUAGCAUUAUUUGAAGUUGAAGAAUACGUAGUGUGAUAUGAUUUAUUUAUGACUUUUUUGGUUGUUUCCGUUGCAUUUUGUGAAUCGAAGAUCAAAUAGCUAGCUAUAAAAAGAUCCUAAACAGAUAACAACCUAUUGGUAAUUUAUUUUGUUUUUGUUUUAGUCUAUUCAAUUAUAUAUAGGCUCAUAUAUGUAGAUUUUAUAAGUUUAAGCCACAAAAAAUAUAUUUUUAUUAAAACAAUAAAAAGAUAUUGCCGUAGUGUUUAUACGAGAAAUGGCGCAUAGUAAGGUGCUCGAUCGAGUCUCUAUCAAUUUGCUUUUGGUAGGAAAAGAAAAGACAAAAGAAGAAAGUUACAAAGUGCACUCUUAAUCCUUGUGUCUUUAUAAUCAAGUUGGAUAAAGACACAUUAACACUCAUGUUAUUUUUUAAUUCCCUGAGUAUUUAACUCAAUUAGAUACUUAAAGAUUUAAAUUUGAGGCCGUUACUAGUUAAUUAAAAUAAUUCCGCAUAAAUUGAUUCAAACACAUUAUUUGACAUCUUAAGAGAAAAAGAAAAAAAAUGAAAUGUAAACAUGAUAAAUUAUAUGAUAUGAUAAGGGAAAUACAAAAAUAAAUAAAAGAUGUCAAAUAAAUAUCCAUGCAUGUAUCAUUACUAAUUAAGUUUCAAAAUCAUAGAGUGAUACAUGAAUUUUUUUAUUUUAAAUUCAAAAUAUAUCUCAGUGAAAACUAUUUAAUGUUUAAAAUAACAUUCAUACAUCAAUGUUUUAUUUGAGAACUUUGAUAAAUAAGUAUUUUGUUUCAGGAAUUAUGUUUAUACUUUAUAGUGUAUUAAUCCUAUGACAUAUUGUGUGAUAGUAACGAUGAGAAAGGAAAUAAAAAGGAAUAAAAUAGGAUAAAAAUAUUAAAUUCCUACUAUUAUUUGAAAGAAGAAAUAAAAAGUAGAAUUUUCUUAAUUAAUCUCACAUGAAAAUUAAUAUUUCUCCUCUAUAUAUCAAAAAAAAUAUCCCUGCUCAUGGGCAAGAAAGAAAACAAACAAAACAAAGGGCAACAAACAAGGCAUAGCCACUUGCUUGUGUUGGGACCAAAACAAAACAAAACAAAUGGGUCAUUAUUGUUUAGGGUGGUGGUAAGAUAAGGACUAAACUGUAAUUGUCUGGCUCAGCUGCAUACUUCAAAAAUGUGGUGCACAUGGAAACAAGGGGGAGAAGUGGAGAAAAUGAAGACCAAUGUACAUACUUUCUUCCUCAAUCAAUGUAUCAACAAUAUCAGUCCAUGGCAACGUUGUUUUUCAGGAUGUGACUCUCUCGAGGGCCUAAAGGCCCACCAGGUUCAUCAUUCAUCAAGGUUUUGUAGUUUAAUCAUACAAUUUCAAGCACCAAAGAAAAUGAGCCUUGGUAAGUUUUUUUUUCAUCACCAAAAUGAUAUUUUUUUUCCCUUUCAAAUUCUAUGGUUGCACUUGCACACAUUGGAUUUGACAUGUCAAUAUCAACAACUUUUAAUUAAAUGCAGUUCUUGUAAACAUUCAAUUUCAUCGAAACAAACAAAAUAAAAAUGUACAAAUGAGAACAUUUGAAAAAAAGAAGCAUAACCGAUUAUAAAAGAAGGAAAAGUAAUAUUCAAUCAGAAAAGAAAAUUGUGAUAACCAUCUUUUGUUCUCCCAUCUUAUUUUAUCUUUUUGUCAAAAUAAUUUUACAUUAUCGUUCAAUCAUAAAUCGUUACAGAUAUAAAUUUUAAAGUAAUUAUCAUAAAAAUUAAUAAAUUUAUCAUACAUGAUAAGUUAUAAUUGAAUGACGAUGUAUUUUACAUUAAGUAUAACCUAUUUUCUUUUUUUUCUUCGAUUGUUAUAUUCUUUGUCUAAUAAAAAAGAGAAUAUACUGACAUUAAAAAUAAAAAAAAUAGAAAAUUAUAAAAUAUAACAACACAACAAGAAGAAUGAUUAAGGGUAUGUUGGAUUGCUUUUUGAAGUGUUUCAAAUGGAUAAUUCCAUUUUUUCAUGCAAGUAGAAGCAAUUAUUGCUUGCCAUUUGAGUGAACGUUUAUUGAAGCGAAGGGCAACUUUUUUCCCAUCACGUCCUAGUUGUUUUGAAGUUAUUUUUGGCAUCUCUCUAGUUUCCUUUUGGGGGUUGCUAGGUGCACCCAGCAUUAUUGCUGGUGCACCCAGCACUUAUUGUGAAAAGUCACAAAUGCCCUUGUUAUUUUUUAAAAAAAAAGCAGUGCACCCAACGACCCUUUCUUCUUCCUUUUCCGCGAGCCUCUUCUCCUUCAUUCUUCUUCCUUUUCUGCGAGCCUUUCUUCUUCUCCUUCUUUCUUCUGCGAGCCUCUUCAACUUCUUUCUUCCUCCUUCCUCAUUCUUCCGCGAGCCCAUUUGCUUCUCUAGCACGAGGUGGUUGUUCUUCUUCCGCGCAAGCUGCUGCUUCUCCCUCCUUCGAGUGCGCUUCUUCUUCCAUUCUGCCGCGAGGUGCUGCUCUUCUAUUCUUCAUCGAGGUAAGGUCUAUUAUCCUUUUUCUUGUUUGUUAUUGCUUUCAUUGGUGAUUGCUUAAGUAUUUAGGUCAUCCGCAGUAGAGACAAGUUAGGACCUAGGUGAUCCGCAAAUAGGGUAGAUGAUCCGUAGGUUGUGUUUAUGUUGUGUUGAACUUGCGGAUCACGUUGAUCCGCAAGAAGAAAAGGUUGAUUCGCAUGCUUCCCACAGAUCAAGUUGAUCCGCAUGCUUCAUGCAGAUCAACUUGAUCCGCGGGAAGCAUGCAGAUCAACUUGAUCUGUGUGAAACAUUUUACAUUUUUAAAAGUUUAAAUUAGGUUAUAAUUAAUGAAAAAUGGUUUUUAAUGGUUACUUUUGAAGCUUUUGCCUCAAGUAUGAUAUUGUAUAAUGGUUAUUUAUAUCCUGUAUGGUAGUGAAUAUGCAAUUGAAAAUAUGAACACAAUCUAUUAGGUUGUAGCUUCUCAUGUGCCUAAAAAGGAUUAGAAUCCUUAAAUUUAGACAAGAAUUUGUGAUGGUGCUUGUCAUAUGCCUCAAAGCAGUAAACAUCCUGAAAUUGUUGUGUACUAGAUCAUUAACCAUAAAAUGAUGGUGGUAAGUUUAAAUCACUGAAAUAAUACUCCACCUACAAUAAUACCUCCCAACUACUGAGAAAAUCUUCAUAAGAUUUGGAUGAAUUGAAAAAGAAAAGUAUAUGGUCAGAAUAUUCUAGGAAGGAUAAAAAGAACUGUUGCUUUUCGUUGUCUUGGUGAAUUGAAAAAGAAAAGAAAAUAUCAAGCCAUGAAUGUCAUAAUCCAAAAUCCAAAUAGAUAUUUUUCAAAAUAAUCGGAAAAAAAUGAAAUAUCCAAGCACAAAUUGUCCCUUUUAUGUCUAAUGCUCUAGCAGAAUCAGACCUGAGGGUGAGAGUCAAAUUACUAUAUUAUACUCAAUCAAACAUCAAUAUGCAACUGCAGAGAUAAAUCACAUACUUGAGUAAUAGUUAGGAAAUAAUAGAGCAAACACACUUCAUGCAAAUGAUUGACCUCAACUUGCAAAAAAUUAGAAACAAUAGUUAGAAUAUAUACCCAAAGUAGGUCAAUUAAAAUAGUAGUUAGAAUUCAUGUUAUCCACCAAAUCCCAAAAUGAUGCUAACAAAAAUUAGAACCCUGAAUACAUGAUAUUUGAAUAAAAAAUUUCGAUAAGAAUACAUGAUAUGCAUGGGUCAUCAUAGAACCCAUCAUGCAACAUUAGUAAACUGUCUUGCACAACUUAAAGUCAAUCACACAUUUGCAGAUCAUGGUUAAGACUAGAGGAUUAGGCCGUGCAUUAGGUAGGGUUGGUGCCAAAGGUUUGGGGAGAGGAGGGGAUGGUGAUGAUACUGAUGGUGCUCCCCAGGGCCGAAGGCUGACCGCAUCGGCAAGCAGGUGACGAGUACCAGUCAUUCUUGACGAUGAUGUGCCUGUGGUGCCUGCGAACUCGCCUGCGGUACCAGAGGCAGAGGCUGCUGUAGCUGGGGAUGAGCCCAUGGUAGAUGCUGCCACACAGGACACCGGUGCAGAGACUGACGCACAGGAUACCGGUGCAGAGACUGACGGGGACGAGCUUGAGGGAUUUCUUGGUGGACCCAGGGACCCAUUAGUGCUUACAGAGUAUGCUGACCAUGUUGCGGGCAGCGUAUGGUCUGGACAGGUAUUUAUAAUAUUAAAGUUAGUUAACUUUUAUUUUUUUUUAUUUUUUGGUUACUUAUUGACGUUAUUUGAAAAAAUUGUGUGUUCCUUUGUACUUCAAUUCAGGAACAUCUUGAGUUGAAGUUAUGCUCCCAUGGGAGGAAGGUGCAUAACUUGGGCAGGUCUAUUCCUGCAAUUGAGGACAUGGUUGCUGGGACAGGAUUAAGUCCUUUGAUCGCGUGUUCAAUAGACACCGGCGAUCGGGGACUUAUAUCCUCCUUUGUUGAGAGGUGGCACCGGGAGACUUCUAAUUUCCAUCUUCCUGUGGGGGAGGUUUCGAUCACGCUGGAUGACAUCGCGUCUCUUCUCCAUCUGCCUAUCGUUGGCGCAUUCCAUGACUUCCAGCCUUUGUGCACCGACGAGACGGUGUUGCUGUUGGUUGAGUUACUGAUGGUCUCAGCAGAGGUGGCCAUGACCGAGACAGGCCAAUGUGGUGGACCAUACGUACGCCUGUAGUGGCUACGAGACGUAUACCAGUGCAGAUGUCAGACGCAGCACUGGACAGUUGCCGCUCAUGCUUAUCUUCUACAUCUUUUGGGUUGCACUCUUUUUGCUAAUAAGAGUGCAACCCAUGUUCAUGUCGCACACAUACAGGCCCUACGUAACCUCACUCUUGCUGGGCGGUAUGCAUGGAGAGCUGCUGGCCUCGUCCAUAUGUACAAUCAACUUAAUGAUGCCAGUCUCAGCACCAGCCGACAGUUUGCUGGUUAUAUCACCUUGUUACAAGUAAUUAAUAUGUAUUUCAUAAUUUAAUUACAACAAUGUUUUAAUGACUGUAUAUUUAAUUAACAUGUAUGAUUUUCAUGUAAACCCUAUAGUGUUGGAUAUACGAGCACUUUCCUUCAGUUGCAGAGUGCAAUGCUGAUCCGGACUACGACGAGGUGUUACCACGUGCAUGUCGGUGGAUUGCGACAAAGAAGACUGUGAAGAAGCUAUCUACAGCGACGUACAGGCAGUGCAUGGAUCGUCUGAGGAUCCUGGAUGCCUGCUGGAUGCCAUAUGCGGAGCACCGACCUGUGCAGAACUUUCAUCCGAUUUCGUGCUUCUCUGGAAAGCUCUGCAAGGGGCCUGCUGUUGUCAGAUACAGACUGGAGAGGUUUAUGCACCAGUUUGGCUACAUCCAGUGCAUUCCUGCACACCCUGUCCAUUCAUGGGUGUCAUAUGAUGACAUGGACGAUACGUGGACGCACUACUCAGACCAUCUGGAGGCAGCAGGUGAUCUAUGUGUUGUGUCAGGUCAGUGUGCGCCUGACUACAUAGACUGGUUCUUCGUCAUAUCGCAUCCAUUCAUGACUGCACCACAGACGAAUCCUCCUCGAGAUGCAUAUGCGAUGCAGCCCAGUCAUAUCCCUCAUGAGGCAGCACCGACAUCGACACAUGUGGAUCCUGAUGCAAACGAGCCCAGACAUGCAGUGGUAAGUGUUACUAUUUGGUUAGAUGUAUGCCAUUUACUUCAAUUAUUUUAAUACUAAUUUGUAUAAUUUGUUUGUUUUUUAUUUAACAGGAGGCUUGUCAUGCGAUCGCAGAGGCGUUGGAGCAGCAUCUAAAUGUGCUAGGCACAUCUACACAUGAAGAGGUUAUCCAAAAAUGCCUCAGGAUUGUCAGGAGUGUCACUGAAGACCGCAAUGUGUAUGUGAGGUCUCGACGUAGGCGGUGCACGGAUCAACAAUAGUUUAUUCACACUUUAGAUAUCAUUAGUUUUUGACGAUGUAUUUGACUUGACAUUUUGUCAAUUAUGUUUAAAUUACUUGAUCCAAAAUUUAUUUUGUAAUUGUAUGCUAAGAAAUUACAUAGACCCUAAGAAACUCCAUUUUGAGAAAACAUAAAGACAACUAAAACUUCUCUCCACAAAAACACUUAGGCAAACACAUCCAUGAUCCGCGGCACAAUAAUUUGCAAUAGUAAGCUCCAAAUCUGUUCUAAGAUCGUAAGUUCCUUGAUUAGUUGGUUCCUUCUGCAAAACAACCAAAAAAUUUACAAGCAGACAAGGUUAGGGAGGGGGAGGAAGCAAAUCCUUUUUCAAAAAUAAAUAAAUAUAUGAACUUAAUCCAAUAUCACUUUAAUUGUGACUGAAUAUAAUCACAUUAAUUUAAAAUAAAUCACCUCAAGCAGAAAGGAAAUGUUUUAUUAAACCAGUCAUUAUUUAACAAUAGCAAUGGAUAUUUUUAUAUAGCUACUUCAAAUUAACCUCGCACUAAAGUAGUUACCUGCAUAUAUCAGUGACAACUUUCAGUGCUUGCUUAGACACUUGUUGAUUGUGAUAUCUUCAAAUUAGCCAUUUGUCGCCUUCUCUUGGCUUUCCUUGAUAGAUUAUCCCUAUUAAUAUUUGAUCCGCAUGCAUCCCAACCUUUAGGAAGCCCAAGUAAUUCAUCCUUCUUUUCAAAAAUCUAGCUUCUCAUUGUCAUCAUGUCACUACAAAAGUCAGGGUCAGCAUCCUCUACAUUAUAAUAUUUCUCGUCAAAUGCCUUCUUCAUCAUUCUAUCAUACUCCUGUGGGUCAAAUUCCUCUUCAAUUUCUUCCCUGGACAAUGGGAUAAUAUCAUCACCAUGGAUCCCUGCAGUCUUCAUUAUCUUUUUAACCUUUUCCUGUAUUUCCUGCUUAUUCAAAUUCUUUAAGCGUUUCAACUCCUCCUCCCUCUCUUUUUGUUCUAUAGCCAUUCUCUCCUCUUUGCUCUUUCUCUGCUCUUUCCUUGCAUUCGUCUUCUUCCUCAUUGAUCCCUCCACCUUCCGAGCAUGACCCAACACCCUAUCUUCUGGAUUUUCCUGAAAUCUGUAUUCAUAUUCUUCCUAUCUCUUGAGCUCCAUCUCAUCCUCUGAAAUCUCUUGCAAUUCAUCCUCUCCAACAUUCAAAUUCUUCCCACUCUUGCCAAUCCACAAUUUGACCCAACACCCUAUCAAGUUGAUCCGUUGUUGAUCCAUAGAAGGCUUACGGAUCAACUUGAUCCAUAAACCAAACUCGAUCCAUAGAAGUAAAAUCAACAUACGGAUCAAGGUGAUCCAUGGAAGACUCGCGGAUCAACUUGAUGUUAGAGUUUGUGGUCUUAGUUCCUUUGUCCCACAUUGCUUGGUUUGUAAAAACUUGUGUCUCACUAGUGUUAUAUAUAGAGACACCUUGUAAGCUUUUAUGUGCAAGUAAUAAAAGUUCUCCUAGUGUAGCCGUGGACGUAGGCACAUACAUUGUGUGCUGAACCACGUUAAACUGUGUGUCUUUUUCUUUCUUCCCUUUAUUUCUUUCUCUUCUUUUAUUGCUCUAUACUAACAACUGGUAUCAAGAGCUUUUGGUUACUCCACGGAAUUUCCUUAGUUUAAAGGAAUUAGUGGGAGUCUUCUCAGUUUAGAGGAGGCAGUGGGAGCAAUGGCAUUAGAAGAGGGAAAAAUGAAGAUCGAGAAGUUCGAUGGCAGAGAUUUCAGCUUUUGGAAGAUGCAGAUAGAGGAUUAUCUAUAUCAGAAGAAGUUGUAUCAGCCCUUAUCAGGGGUUAAGCCAGAAGACAUGAAGCAAGAAGAAUGGAACUUGCUAGAUCGACAUGCUCUUGGCGUGAUCAGAUUGACAUUAGCCAAGAAUGUCGCGUUCAACAUCAUGAACGAGAAGACUACUGCAGGCUUAAUGAAGGCAUUAUCAGAUAUGUACGAGAAGCCGUCAGCAGCCAACAAAGUAUACUUGAUGCGCCGGUUGUUCAACCUCAAGAUGGGAGAAGGUAUCUCUGUAACUGAUCAUAUUAAUGAGUUUAAUACUAUUCUUGCCCAAUUGGAAUCUGUGCAUAUUAAAUUUGAGGAUGAGGUGAAGGCAUUGAUUUUAUUGUCAUCACUACCGGAUAGUUGGGCUGCAACUGUUACUGCAGUUAGUAGUUCUACAAGGGAGAACACAUUAAAGCUUAGUGACAUUCGUGACUUGAUCUUGAGCGAAGAUGUUCGCAAGAGAGAUUCAGGAGAAUCUUCCAGUCAUGUUUCCAAUUCAGCAUUGAAUACUGAAGGCAAAGGAAGGACUACCCAGAAGGGUCAGAAUGGUCGAGGCAGAUCAAAGUCAAGAGGGAAAGGUCAGAGAAAAUUUCAAAGUGACGUUACUUGUUGGAAUUGUGACAAGAGAGGUCACUUUAGCAAUCAGUGCAAGGCACCAAAGAAGAACAAGUCGCACAAAAACAAGAAGCGCGAUGAUGAUGAAUCCGCAAAUGCAGCAACUGAUGAACUUGAUGAUGCAUUAAUUUGCAGUUUGGAUAGUCCUGUUGAUUCAUGGAUCAUGGACUCAGGUGCGUCGUUCCACACUACUCCCUCUAAAGAUUUAUUGUCUAACUAUGUUUCUGGAAGAUUUGGAAAAGUUUACCUUGCAGAUGGAAAAUCUCUUGACAUUGUCGGAAGAGGUGAUAUCAACAUCAAGACCUCCAGUGGAUCCCUAUGGACAUUGCACAAUGUCAGACAUAUUCCUGCCUUAAAGAGAAAUUUAAUAUCUAUAGGGCAGUUGGAUGAUGAGGGACAUCACACCACUUUUGGAGAUGGAGCUUGGAAGGUAACAAAAGGCAAUCUCAUUGUGGCUCGUGGAAAGAAGCGAGGAUCUCUUUACAUGAUUGCAAAUGAGGAUAUGGUAGCAGUUACUGAGGCUGUCAAUAAUUCAACCAUGUGGCAUCAAAGACUUGGACAUAUGAGUGAAAAAGGAAUGAAGCUUAUGGCGGCAAAGGGUAAGCUAUCAAGCCUCAAGCAUGUAGAUGUUGGUGCUUGUGAACAUUGUAUCCUUGGAAAGCAGAAAAAGGUCAGUUUCUCAAGGGCAGGGAAGACUCUGAAAGCUGAAAAGCUAGAAUUGGUGCACAUAGAUGUUUGGGGGCCAGCCCCAGUGAAAUCUGUUGGAAACUCACGCUAUUAUGUCACCUUUAUCGACGACUCUACCAGAAAGGUAUGGGUUUAUUUUCUUAAAAAUAAAUCUGAUGUGUUUUCUGUGUUUAAAAGGUGGAAAGCAGAAGUUGAAAAUCAAACAGGUCUAAAGGUUAAAAGUCUGAAAUCUGACAAUGGUGGGGAGUAUGAUAGUCAGGAGUUUAAAGACUUCUGUUCAGAACAUGGGAUCAGAAUGAUCAAGACAAUACUAGGAACACCUGAGCAAAACGGUGUUGCAUAAAGGAUGAAUAGAACCUUGAAUGAGAGAGCAAGGUGUAUGUGGAUCCAAUCUGGCUUGCCUAAAGCAUUCUGGGCAGAAGCAAUAAACACAGCAGCAUAUCUCAUCAAUAGAGGACCAUCAGUUCCUUUGAAUUAUCAGUUGCCUGAAGAAGUAUGGUCUGGAAAGGAGGUAAAACUUUCACAUUUGAGAAUUUUUGGUUGUGUUUCAUAUAUACUGACAAACUCUAAUAGUAGAGAUAAAUUGGAUCCGAAGGCGAGGAAGUGUUAUUUUAUUGGUUAUGGAUCUGACAUGUAUGGCUACAGGUUUUGGGAUGACCAAACCAAGAAAGUUAUCAGAAGCAGAAAUGUUACUUUUAAUGAGAACUUAUUUUAUAAGGACAAAUUUUCUGCAGAAUCUACAUGUGCAGGUAAACUGUCAGAAAUUUCUGAGAAAGCAACACUUGAAGAAAUUUCAGAAAGUGAUGUAGCCAACAGAAACCAGAGUACAGGCGUAGAGGUUGAGUCAGAACCAGAACCAUCAACUCCUCCAAGAAAAUCUAGCAGAAUUUCAGUACCACUAGAUAGGUAUUCCCCUUCAUUGCAUUAUUUGUUGUUAACUGAUGCUGAUGAGCCAGAAUGUUUCAAUGAGGCUACACAGGGGAAUGACACUAUUGAGUGGGAGCUAGCGAUGAAAGAUGAGAUGACAUCCCUUCAGAAGAAUAAGACGUGGUCUUUAACUAAAUUGCCAGAAGGAAAGAAGGCGUUACAGAAUAGGUGGGUCUAUAGGCUAAAGGAAGAAUCUGACGGUAGAAGAAGAUACAAGGCGAGACUUAUGGUGAAAGGGUUUCAGCAGAAACAAGGAAUUGAUUUCACAGAGAUCUUCUCUCCAGUUGUAAAGAUGACUACCAUCAGAGUUAUUCUGAGCAUAGUAGCUGCAGAGAAUCUUCACUUGGAGCAGUUAGAUGUUAAAACUGCAUUCUUGCAUGGGGAUUUAGAGGAAGACAUCUAUAUGACCCAACCAAAAGGUUUUGAAGUGCCAAGCAAGGAGAAUCUUGUAUGCAAGCUUCACAAAAGUUUGUAUGGCUUGAAACAAGCACCGAGGCAGUGGUACAAGAAGUUUAAUGAGUUUAUGAGCAACUCAGGAUUCAAAAGAUGUGACAUGGACCAUUGCUGCUAUGUUAAAAAAUAUACUAAUAGUUAUGUUAUCCUUGUUGUGUAUGUUGAUGACAUGUUGAUUGCAGGAUCUAGUAUGGCAGAAAUUAACAGGUUGAAGCAGCAGUUGGCAGAAAACUUUGAAAUGAAGGAUCUUGGUCCAGCUAAACAAAUCCUUGGUAUGAGAAUUCUUAGAAACAAAUCAGAAGGAAUUUUGAAGCUGUCUCAGGAGAAAUAUAUACCCAAGUUGCUUGACAAGUUUUACCUUGGAGAUUCUAAGACCAGGAAUACCCCUUUGGGAUCUCAUUUGAAGUUUUCAAAGAAGCAAUCUUUGCAAACAAAUGAAGAAAAAUGUUACAUGUCAAGAGUACCAUAUGCAUCAGAAGUUGGGAGUUUGAUGUAUGCUAUGGUGUGUACCAGACCUGACAUAGCACAUGCAGUGGGAGUUGUCAGUAGGUUCCUAUCAAAUCCAGCAAAAGAGCAUUGGGAAGGUGUAAAGUGGAUACUCAGAUAUAUGAAGGGUACUUCAGAGAUGUGUUUGUGCUUCAGAAAAGGCAAUCUCACUUUACAGGGAUUUUCAGAUGCAGACUUGGGAGGAGAUUUUGAUACCAAGAAGAGCACCACAGGCUACAUUUUUACCUUGGGAGGUACUGCUGUGAGUUAGAAGUCUAAACUUCAAGAUAGAGUUGCUCUCUCAACCACGAAAGCCGAGUACAUAGCUAUCUCAGAAGCAGCUAAGGAGAUGAUUUGGCUAAAGAAUUUUCUCAAUGAAUUGGGGAAAGAACAAGAUAAUGCUCCAAUGUUUAGUUACAGUCAAAGUGCUAUAAGUCUUGCUAAGAAUCCAGUCUUCCAUUCUAGAUACAAGCAUAUUCAAUUAAGAUACCAUUUUAUCAGGGAGUUGAUAAAUGAUGGAAACUUAUCUUUAUUGAAGAUCUUAGGAUCAGAGAAUCCAGCAGAUAUGUUGACUAAAGCUGUUACAACUGACAAACUGAGGCUUUGCAUUGCCUCAGUUGGCCUUCAAGGAUAAUUGAAGAUGAAGGCGCUGCACUAGGUAAAGAGUCGAUGAACUCGUUGCUUACAAGGAGCUGCUAGAGUUUGGAACUUAGACCCCAAGUGGGAGAAUUGUUAGAGUUUGUUAUCUUAGUUCCUUUGUCCCACAUCGCUUGGUCUGUAAAACUUGUGUAGGCUUAGUCCCACAUCGCUUGGUUUGUAAAAACUUGUGUCUCACUAGUGUUAUAUAUAGAGACACCUUGUAAGCUUUUAUGUGCAAGUAAUAAAAGUUCUCCUAGUGUAGCCGUGGACGUAGGCACAUACAUUGUGUGCUGAACCACGUUAAACUGUGUGUCUUUUUCUUUCUUCCCUUUAUUUCUUUCUCUUCUUUUAUUGCUCUAUACUAACACUUGAUCCGUAAGCCAAACUUGAUCCGUAGAAGUAAAAUCAACAUACGGAUCAAGUUAAUCCGUGGAAGACUGACGGAUCAACUUGAUCCGUGGAAAACUCGCGGAUCAACUUGAUUUGCACUUGGUUCACGAGUCUUCCACGGAUCAACUUGAUCCGCACAAGGAAAAAAAGGACAUUUUUGGAAUUUUUAAAGGAUGCUGAGUGCACCAACAAUAACGCUGGGUGCACCUAACAACACCCUUUCCUUUUUCUUGAUCACUUCCUUUUUCCCAUUUAUUUUCCCGACACACAAUUUUAGUACUACACAUCCUACAUGCACCAUCUAAAGACUCACUCACAAAUCCAGUCUAAUUAAGGACAAGUUAAUACGGAGAAAUUAAUUAGUUCUCUACUACUACUGUAUAUUUAUAAUAUUGAUCAAUCUUUACCUAACAUGAUACGUAUUUAAGUUUUUUAAUUUAAGAAAAAAAUAAUAAUGCUAAAUUGUAGACACUCUUAGAUUGUUUGAUAAUUUUUUCUCUCAAAAAAUUAUUAGAUAUCCAAAACCAUCAUAGACUCUAUUAACAUAAUAUACAAUGCCACUUAAAAAAAACAUAAUAUACAAGGCUAUUAGUUUUUUUUUAUUAAUUAAAAAACUUGAAUAUUUUUUUUAUCGACAAAUAUUCUUUGUUAAUAGAAAAGAUCAGAUUUUAUGAUUUUUUUUCUUUUUCCUUCUCCUAUAAUCAUGUAAUUUACCUUAUAUUUCCGAAAAAUCUGAAAAGGUAUCAUACAAAUUGAUUCAGGCUAUAGAGAUGUAGUGAUCCGAAACUACUUAAUAUAUAGUUUCUUCCACACUCACGGCACUCAAAUAUUUCAUUUCCUCACACAUAGACUGCACCUCCCCCCUCACACACUCACACACUCACUCAUUCACAACACCACACUGACUUAUUCAUAUUCAUCCGUCACAUGAAAGGCCAUGGCAAGCACACACACAAGUUACAAAGCAAAUCCAAACUCUUCAGUGAUGAACCUUAUUUGCACCAUGCAACCAUAAUAUCCACCCAUCAUAGAUCUUAUAGACAAUUGCAUAUAUAGCCAUCAAAGCUUUUCCCAACCAUUGAACUUCUCAACCGAGUCUUCAAAGCUUUUUCCAACCAUUGAACUUCUCAACCAAGUCUUCAAACCUUCACGUGAAUCUGUCAUCAAGACAGCCCCUAAAUUAAGCUUGAGCCGUCUGUGUCAUACACGUAUAAGAGGUCACGCAUGGUUUACAUCAAGAAAAGAAGCUAUCAUAAAGAUAUUAAUUCUAUUUUUUGUUGUUGAAUAAGUCUAGGGUAUAAUAUAUUUUUUAUUUCUCAAAAUAGUUGAGAACGAUAGUUUUGAAAUAUUUUAAAGGAUAAAAACAUAUUUUACCUAGAAUUCUAUUUGUAUUUUAUUUCUUGCUUAGUUUUCGUGGUAAAGGCGUAAGGCAUAGCCGCAUGGAUAUGAACUUAUCAUAGGGCUCCAUUGAAUCAAAUCAGUUUAAACUUAAAGCUUUUGAAAAUCAUUAUUAAAAAAAAAUGAACUUUUGAGGACACCAAAAUUACGUCACUGAAAGAGAAUAAUGACUUCUUCUUCUUCUUUUUUUUCCUGUUGUAAACUUAGGAGUUUCAAAACCCAAGUUCCAAAUUUGCAAUGGUUUCUUGUUUUUGGUUCGUAAGUGGAUUACAAAAAUUUCAUUUUAACGAAAACUUUUGGAUUAUUUUAAUAUUAUGCGCUAGUUGUAAUUAAAAGUCAUUAGGAUUGUUUUAGAAAACUAAGAAUAAAUCUAUAAUUAAUUUCUCUUAUCUUUUCAAAAUACUCAUUAGUUUUUUUUUAAAAAAAAACCAACACAGAAUAGUAUUUUUUUAGCCAUAAAAAAAAUAAGGGAACGAAAGACUGAGGGAAGAAAGCCAAUUUAAUUAAAAAAAUAGAAAAUGAAUUUUUUUUUAAAAACACAAGAAAAUAUUGGGCCAGGAAAUAAAUAUGAAUUAUAAUAAUCAAGAGCGUCAUGCAUGCUUAGUAGCUUUCUGUGCAUUAAAGAACUCUAGAGAAAUUAUGUGUUAUGAUCUAUUCUUACAAAAACAUAUGCCAUAGCCUGUGAACUGGAUCCGUGUUCAUGAUCUCUUGUAUAUGCUUUUGUUCUUUAAUUGUUAAUAAUUAAGAACACAUGCCGUAGUGCAAGUUUAAAUCACGAAGAGUUAUGGAUACCCAUAAUUUUUUAAGGGAUAUAAAAUAAACUAUCCUUUUUGUUAUUGUAAUUUAAAAAUUUAAAGACCUUCUAAUUCACCUCAUAAUCAGUUUCAAGUCCAACCAAUUCUAUUCAUCCAUGCUUCACUCAGGUUCUUUUGAGACCUUUUAAAAAAAAGAAAAAGGACAUGAUGAGGCCCUUAUUUAGAUGUAAUAGAGGUGUUUAUAUAAAAUUAAGAAGAAGAAAAAAGAUCGUCAGCAACAAAUUGAAAUGAAUGUGUAUGCAAAGUUAAAACCUAAAAGGUUAAUCGAUCAAUGAUGGAACACCCAAAUAGUCAUGUUUUAGUUUCUCCCAAGCUCCAAAGGGGAAAAGCGUUUGGUAAAAUCAGUCAAAUAAGUUAGUUGAUAAAUAUAAAUUAACACAAAAAAAUAUAUGUAAUUAUUUGAGUUAAAAAGUGAUUAAAAAACGAGUGAGAAAAAAAGAAAGCUACAAACUUAUAAACUAGAGCUUAUUUUCGUAAGUUAAUUGAUACAGUUUAUGAAAAUAAACUCCAAGUUAAUAUAAUAAACUGUACUAAAUAAACUUAUAAGUUGAUUAAAGUAAUUUGUAAACUAUUAGAGUAUCAUACGAAAACAUUUAGUAUUCGUUCAGAGUCGCAAGUUGCUAGUUUUGGAACUUGUAUUUAGAAGUUUCUCUCGGUGCUUUAAAAAUUUGGAGGUAUUUAUGGUCUUAGCUGGAUUCAGACUGUUAACUUCAUAUUAAUUUUUGCUUAGAAAAAUUUACAAUAGUUGCAUGUUGUUCCUUUCCGAUAUUUCAUUUUUGUCAUAUAAUUAGUUAAACUAGCUUAACUAUAAGCUACUAAAGUGUCUUAUUGAGGGUUUUCUCCUUGCUGCACCGUUAGGGUUUUUUUAUUGAUCCCAAGGCUUGUAUGCUUGUUUUUCCCUUGUGGUUGUCGCUCUACUUAGGGUGAUUUGCUGUCCCAAUGUGACACCUUUUAUUCUUAUAUACAUAUUUAUAUAAUAAAAUACAUGAAAAUGUGGAAUUACAUAAAAUAAUUUUAUUCAAUAAACAUAAAAGAACUCACGUGAAUAAAAGGUUCACAUUUCGGUUAAUCACCAAAUUAAAAACUUAUCAAUUAAGAGUAUGAAAAUAUUUUCGACUCAAAACAACGUCGUUCAAGUUUACAAAAGAACAUAAGUUAAGUAGCAUAAUAAAAUAAAGUAAUAUGAUGACAUGUUUGGAACAUUAUGCAAUUAAAACAGAAACUCAUGCCUUAAUGUCACAUCCUAUCAGAGCAUUAUGUCUUGACGUCCUCCAACACGAGGUUCCUUAAAGCAAUCCACCUUGUCAUAUGCUCCAACGAACACAAGUUUCGAGAUCAUCACAAGAUCCAAAUACAAACAACACACAUGGAGCGAGAAGUGAAUUGUCACAUUUCUAAACAGGUAGAGAUAAACGAAUAUAUAUAUAUAUAUAUAUAUAUAUAUAUAUAUAUAUAUAUAUAUAUAUAUAUAUAACAAGCUCAACUUAGAACAAUUCACAUCAUUUUACCACUCAUUGUGUAUCAUCACUUUUCCCAAGGAUUUAAUCACAUUUCACACCUUCACAUUAAUCGCGUGUUCAAAACAACAAAUCUCAAGUAUAACACAACAUCUCACACUCACACAAUUCAUUACCCACCAUCAUGUAGUAAGUCACAAGGAUCAUUACACAUGCGUUAUACAACAGAUACACUAAGACUCAAUCCUAUAUGCAAUAUGGUAUCAUGUCAGUGAAAAACCUCGUUAGACAUCUAAGAGUACAUGACAAGACAGAUGACACACUGGUAAGUCAGAUCACUCUCACUAGGUAAAAUAAUAGGGAGACCAGUCAGGGUCACGCUGUUUUGCGAGAAUGCUUCAAUCAUGUGGGAUCGACACAUGCUUAAAAGAGCACUCAAACUGAGUGCAUUUACCUCCAAGGCUUAGACUCCGAAGAGUCUGUCAGGUCCUCUCCCUCCUAAUUCAAGUCCAACCCAAAAAAUAUUUUAACACACAGACUCUAUCUAUGAACUAUACAAAACACACGACUCCUCAGUUGUUCUCAAAAUAAUUUUAACUCCUCGUGCCUCAAAGUGAUUCAACUCUUCAGGUUCCCACAGUGGACUCCAUCACAAUACUCGUCGCACAUUAACUUGUUGCCCUUAAAGGCUCUUACACUCGUGUGAUUUUAAGAUUCAUAGCUCACAACUCAAUGCACACAACAUCUCAAUACAUGUGUGAUCUCUCAAUUUAAUACAUACUCAACUUAUCACAUACACCNNNNNNNNNNNNNNNNNNNNNNNNNNNNNNNNNNNNNNNNNNNNNNNNNNNNNNNNNNNNNNNNNNNNNNNNNNNNNNNNNNNNNNNNNNNNNNNNNNNNAACCCAAUCUCAAUCACAAUGUUAUAAUCUCAAAGCAACAUGUUAUCACACCUCACAAAUCAUAUACACAUCACACAAUAUUAUUAUAUACAUGACACAAACACAAACUUUACCUAUAAACUAUGCAAUAUACAUAACUACUCAAUUGUUUUCAUAAUCAUUUUAACUCGUCUUGUCUCAAAGUGAUUCAACUCGUUGGGUUCUCACACGGAUCCCAUCACAAUACUCGUUGCGAAAAAACUCGUUACCCUUAAAGGGUCUUACAAUUGUGUGAUUGCACAACUCAUAUCACAACUCAAUACAUACAAUAUCUCAAUAGACAUGUAUCUCACAAUUCAUCACAUAUUCAAUUUAUCACUUACACGCAAUUUCAUGAUCCCAAUAUAACAAUUUAUCAUGCUAAUCUAGUAAAUCUUGUCCGAAACACAAACAAAUUAUACAAAAAAAUGUUUCUCACAACAUAGGGAGUAAAACCCCUUAAACAAUUUCACAUAAUCAUAUCAAAAUAAAAUAAUCAAAAUCAUAGGUCAAAAACACACGAACACUAAGAGCACUCAAUUUCAUCAACCAAUUCGCAUCAGGGCAUCAAUUGGUCUGUCAAACAAAACAAUCUCAUAAUUAUAAUCGUAAAGGAAGAAUUACAAUACAAUAAACAUCUCAAAAUAAACUAUAAUUUGAUCCUCUAAGGAUCCCUACACAUGUUCAUUCUAACCCCAAUUGCGAUAAACUCAUCUCUUACCUCUAAACGGGCUCACAUGUGUAGUUCGACAAUGAUAGUGGCAUCUCUAUUGGUUCCAUAAGAUUUCUAAAGCUUUUCUUCUGGUUGCUCUGCUAGGGUUUCCAAGCAUUAGAGAGAAGGAGAAGGGAUUGGAACCUCAAUUUUACUGUCUCCAUGUGAGGGGAAUUUCUCUCUCUACAAACAUUAUUUCACAAAACCCAAUGGUGAGAAUGUGUAAAAAUGUGUUUCAAAGGUGGUCUCCAUAUUUUACAAUGAUUCAAUGGUUAAUGAGUCUGAAAUUGUAGUUGUACGAGGACAUGUUUGAAUGUAUGUAGGAAAAAGAGAGGAUUUUGAGAGAGGAAGAAGGGAAAACGAACUUGAGAAGAGAAGGCAUAGAGACGUAAAUGUAAGAAAUGACCUAACAUGUUUUUAUUUAUAACUAGGGUACUCUCAACCUAUUAUUUACUCUAUUUUUAUUUAUUUUAUAAAAAAAACUUUAUUUCACUCUUUCAUUGAAUAGAUAACCAAUUAAAAUAUCCAUUUAUUUUCUAAAACAUCAUUUUACUCUAUUUAUUUUCUAAUACUAUGAAACCCUUAUUUUAAUUAACAAAAACUUUUUUCUCUCAUUUAUUUAAUUUUUAAAAACUCUAUUAAUUUUUAAAUAAAACUCUUUUUAUUUAUUUGACGAAAAUCUGGUGUUACGCCUAAUAUAAUAUUUAUGCCUAUUUGGUACUUACCAAAACAACGUCGAAUGGAUCAUGGAAAUAACCUUGACCUCGCUGAUGAGGAAAAGGAAAUAAUAGAGUUGUCAAAACCGAAGGAAACAAGUCAACUGGGUAAGGUGGAUGUGGAAGGCAAUUAGACGGUCUUCAUCUUACAAGAGAUUUUAUGGAGUUGAAUUAGGUUAAAAAGCCCAAAUUCUAGAAAAUUUCCAUAAAAAUCAUGUUUUCGAUAUCAAAUAUUGUAAAAAAAUAGUUAAAACAACUAUGUAUGCAUUUUGUUCUCUUCUGAACAUACAUAAACAACAUUUUCCAGUUUAAAACAAGAUGUUGUCAUGUGAUAUGUGAGGAAGGAGAAAUUACAAAUAGUUUAAACAACUGUGCAUUUUGUUCUCUUCUGAAUACACAUAACCACCAUGAUUUUAAAUUGCAAUUGCGGUUGUAGUUGAAGUUCAGUUGCAAUUGUGGUGUGUCACAAAAUUUUUAUAUUAUGGGAAAGUGUGACUUAUGCAGUCACAAUAUGAUUAUGGAAAGUCAAAAUAUCUUGACGUUGCGACCACAAUUGUGGUUGUGGACCACUAUUUAAAAUCAUAAUAAACACCAUCUUAAGGCUCAAAAACAAGGAGGAAUUAUUAAGUAGUCGUGUAUUCAAGUUUUUCAAUUUACAAAAAAAAAAAAAAGAUUAAUAACAGUCAACUACACGUUACAUGAUGAGGCUAACCAGGGAGGCAGUGUUGCACUGGUGAGGAGAGUUGCGUUAGGGUUUCAAAUGAGAGACAAAAGGGGUUCUGCACUUGCAAACACGUAGUAAAUGAAUGACCAGAGAACGCAUAGUAAAUGUUCUAUCCUUUGUAACGAUAAUAGUCCAUUUAGUGUUUGUUAAUACAUUUUACAAGUAGAUAUAAAAUAUAAAAAAAAUUAACACUAUCUUGUGCAUUAUAAAAAUAUUUAUAGAAACAUAUAAAGUAUAUAUAAAAAAAUAAUAUUAUAAUAAUGUUAAAGAAAAUAUAUUUUAUUCAUAAAAAAUAAAAUGUAAAAAAUGCAGAAUUUGAAACUUCAUCUUCUUUAAAUUUCAAUCUCAUAUUUAUAUAAACUUUUUUUUCUUCUUCUAAAAACAAGAUAUUCCCAUGAUGAGAAGUUACUACAUUAAUUCUAUAAAUUAGUUAAGAGAUAAUUUCUCUUUUCACACAUAUCAUUUUAUUUAUAAAGAAAUCAAACCACUCGUAUAUUUAAAAGAGUAAAAAUUACUAGUGGCUACAUCCCAUGAGUAAACUAAAAUUAGCUUAGCUAUAAGUUAAGUAAACUUUUACAGGAACUAAUAUAAAAGAAAUUUUAUGAAUUGACUUAAAAAUAAUUAAAAUUUAAAAAAAAAUAUUUUAUUUUAUUUUUCUAAUUUUUAAUAUUAUUUUUAUUUUUAUUUAUAAGUCUCGAAAAUUAAAUUUAUUAUUUUUAUUAAGAUUCAAUUUAUUAUAUUUAUUGUAUUAAUUAUUUUUAAAUUAAAAUAUUCCUAAUUAAAUAAGAGAAAUAUUACAGUGAUAAAUACUUUAUUUAGAAGAGAAAAAAAAUUAUCGUAAUACAUAUGCCUUUUAAAUAACUUUUUACAUUUUAAGAAACGAAUCUCUAAUUUUCAGUCAAAGUUACCUAAAAAAAAAGAAAAGAGAAGAAAAUCCCUUAUUAAAUUAAUUAACAUUGACAAUGGCAUUUCAUUGUGGUAGAAAAAGUUCCCUUAAAUAAUAAAUGAGUACUUGAUCUACAUUUUCUCUCUCUUCAUUCUCCAACAUCUACGUUAUCUCCUCCAAUUCUUUAAAAUAUUUAUAGAAACAUAUAAAGUAUAUAUAAAAAAAUAAUAUUAUAAUAAUGUUAAAGAAAAUAUAUUUUAUUCAUAAAAAAUAAAAUGUAAAAAAUGCAGAAUUUGAAACUCUUCUUUAAAUUUCAAUCUCACAUUGUAAAAAAUGCUGAAUUUGAAACUCUUCUUUAAAAAAGUUUACAUAUAAAGUUUUUAUUUUAUUUUCAAAUGAACUAAUAUGCAAUAAUUUAUAUAAAUAUGUGUUAUAUUUAAAUGAUAAUCAUGAAAUAAUAAAAUUAAAAUUACAGAAUUUCUUUUAAAAAUUUAGUUUAAUUUUUAAAUGUUUACCUUUUGAAUUUGUUAUUGUUUAUUAAUUAUUACAUUUUUUAAAUUAAAACAUAAUUAAUAACUCAAUAUAUUAUUUUUAAAUAUAUAUAUAUAUAUAUAUAUAUAUAUAUAUAUAUAAUUAAAGAAAAAGAGUUGAUAUUAACCUCGGUUCUUUGAAAAUCGAUGUCGUUAAGCACUUUUUAACAUUGGUUAUUUGAAAACCGAUGUUGUAAGUGUUUAACGACAUCGGUUUUCAAAUAACCGAUGUUCAUGGGACGAUGUUAAAACUCAUUUUUUUAGUAGUGAGGGAUUGUAAUGAUCUCAUACCUUCUAAUAAUUUCUUUGCUACAAAGUUGUUUGGAGUUUGGAUGUUUAUGGCAAAGUAUGUGAAAAGGCACCUAAUGGCCUUUUAAGUUGGCAUUUUCACUUUAAAUUAUUGGUUGAGAGACAAACCCACUAACUAAAUAUUUGCAAGCAAUGAAGAAAAAGAAUAACAAUAUCCUCCGACCUUAUGUGUUUAAUAGAGGUUAAUAACUAACAUAGGCAUAAUAACAUUAUCAAUCAAUGUAGAAAAAGCAUUAAUACAUGCAGCAAUAAUUCUCACUGAUAAAUGAGAAUGCAAAUGUUACAGUGAAAGAUUUAAAAGAACAAUUAGCAACCUUGCUAUGAUACUAAGUGCAGGUUUGAAUUAAAGAAGAGUACAAAAGCCUAUUGAGAGAGGAAUGAUCUCUGAGUUGUCGCUGUUUUCGGGUUAAGCAUGGGAAUGAGUAUGUUGGAGUUGAAGUUGGCUUCGGUGGAUUUUCAAACAAGAGCCUUCGAUAUUUCGGUGUGACAAAUGGUAGAUGAGGUUGUUGCUCGAGACUCAAGAGGGGACAGAUAGGAAGAUGAGGUUCUUGCUUUCAUUUCAGUCUCUGUUGCAAUACUCUAAUUAUAGUCCCUAAUGAUUUGGCAUCUUAGUUGCCAGCCGCAUGUGUCAUGGGUAUGCCAAAUAGGCACUUAGCGUGUCACAUAACACAAAUGUUAUUGUAUGUUGUGCAGUCAAAGGGGAAUAAACAUCGAGAAAAUUUACACUAAUGGAUCAUCAAAUAAACACAUAAGUGAAUCUACACCACAUUUUAAUCCAAUGUGUGACUUCACCUUACACUUAAUUGUUGGAUUGAGGAGCGAGAUGGUUUGCACUUCCAAGGAUUAUUUUUUUAAUUUUAAAGUGUUACACACUUUUAGGGACCAAAAUGAUAUUUAACCCUAUAUUUUGAGUAAUACUUGUAUCUGAAUCUGUAUAACUAAAUAUGUCUUGUCAUAUAAGAUUCUUAAAUUUACUUUAGUAGGCAAACUGGAUAAGAUUAUUGCUAAAAUAAAAGCAACAAAAAUGGUGAAACCUAAUUGUUCAGCAUUUUCAGAGGAACCUGUGAAGGCACUCAUCUUGUUGACAUAGGCUUUGUACUCUGGACUCAUCUUUUGAAACGUUAUUAUGUCACAUGCUACUAAUUAAGUUGAAAAAACAAAGUACAUUGUUUUAGAAGCUAAAGAAGAGUUAUUUAAAAUUUGUAGUGAAAAUGUAGUGUGAAAAGCUAUUUGCAAUUUGCUUCAUUAAUAAAGUGGACAACUCAAUUGUUGAUUUCGUUACUAAAUUUCAAUGGUUUUGGUUGAAUAAGGAAUUCAGUGGACUGAGAAGUUGUGCUUAAGAGGAAGAGAGUGUUUGGAUACAUGUUUUGAAAUGGGAAAGAAUGAUUAAAAGAGAUAGAAAUUAGCUUGUCCAACAAUGCUAUUCUAUUGAUAUUUUCUUCAUACCAUUUAUCUUAGAAGACAAAUGAUUCCUUUUUAUAUUUUUUUCUAUUGCCUUCCUUUCCAUGAUCUUUUUUGUUUUAACCAUUAACUGAGUUGGAAUAGUAGUAAAAUCAUGUAGAUAUUUGUUUUCAUUUGGUGGGGGCGAUAUGAAUGAGAAAAAUCCAUACAACCAAACAAAGUUGGGGCUCAGAAGAAAGAGAAACAUCCCUCCCUUAAAGAAUAACUAAGUUAGAUUUCUUAGGAAAAUUUGUUGAUACUAACAUCUUGUAUACAAAUUUCUAUACCACUUUCAUUUUAAACACUAUUAGUUCCUCAGUCAUGAACUUUCUAUAUUGAAAAUUUGUCGUCUAUUUCUUUUACAGGCAGUGGCUUAGCUUUUCAUAUUUUGCCAGAUUAAAUUAUGAGUUACUCUUUGAACUUUUUAUGCAAUACUUGACUAUUGAUUUUUUCUUAUAGUUGUCAUCUCAUGCAAUGCACUUUUAAGAUAAGGUUACAUUGUUUGGUCGAGAGCAACAAUUUACUUAUGACCAUUAUAUAUUCAAAAUGUAUGCUUGGCCAUUAAUCAACCAACCAUGAUAAGCCCCAUCAUCCACCACCCCUUCUAUACCAUAGGCACAUUUUGCUUAUCUACUUUGCUACUGUUACUUUUAAACAAGUCAAACAAAUAAUAUGGUUUUAAAUCGUAGUUGUGAUUACAGAUGUGAUGAGUCAGAAAAGCUUUACAUUGUGCAAAAAUACGACUGAUGCGAUCAUAAUUACGAUUGCGGUGAUAUGAAAAACCUUAACAUUCUGGUCACAAUUAUGAUUAUAGACUGCAAUUUAAUAUGUAUUACUUAAGCUAAUGAACAUGUUGAGUGUUAGUUGAUAUGGUUCUCUAUAUCUUUUUUCCAAUACAAAUUCACCUUUAAAAUAUAAAACAUUACUGUAACAAAGGGACAAAGACAAAGGGUGCCACUUAACCCAUACAUGGGAAAUGAUGGUCAUAAAAUAUGUUAGGCCAAAAUGCAAACUACACAAAAAUAACAUCAACUCCACCAUAGUCACACAUUUAUGUUCUUCCAAGAAAGAGAUAACAUAAUGAAGCCUCCUCCAAGUGUCACCUCUACAUGGUACCUAACGAUAAGGUUACCAUUCAAUUUUUUCCCUUACUCGUGUGGCCAAUAUGUUGAAAUGUCAUCACUUAUACAAUCAAUGGUUGUAACUUCACAGCAACCGAUCCUCUUCAUUUCACACCAUUGGAUGAGUACUACAAAAAUGACACCCUUAAAUAUAGCAAGUUUGAGUAGAAUCUAGCAGCUGAAGCAAAAGUAAUUUAGAGAAAAGAAGGAAAUGGCUUCCUCACCGAUCUCCUCCCCAGUAGUUACCAUCAUUAACCGUGUCGGUGUCAGCAUGGUUGCCCCUUUCACUGGCCUCAAAUCCAUGGCUGGCAUCCCUACCAGGAAGACCAACAGUGACAUUACCUCCAUUGCUACCAAUGGUGGAAGAGUAUAAUGCAUGCAGGUAAGACAAUUCCAAACAUACAAACACAAAAGGCACCAAAAUGAUUAUAAUUGAUGUUACAUAUUUAUGUAUGCUACAAAAUGUUACUUAAAUUAACAUGAUAGUUAUAGGAAAAUAUGCUCAUGUGCAAGUUUGUUAACUCAAUUUUCAUGUAAAUUAAUUACUAGGUGUGGCCUCCAGUUGGCAAGAAGAAGUUUGGGACUUUUUCCUACCUGCCAGACCUUGAUGAUGCCCAAUUGGCUAAGGAAGUAUAAUACCUUCUUAGGAAUAGAUGAAUUCCUUGCUUGGAAUUUGAGUUGGAGGUCAAUUUAUUACAACCCCUUUUGGUUCAAUUAUAGUUUUCUUUAGUUUUGUGUUUGUUUCAACUUAUAUUUGAAGAAAUAAUUGCUUUUCAUGGUAGUGUGCUAAAAGUACUUCCAAUUUUUUUGUAAGUUUAUCUAUAUCGUGUUUGGUUUCACAUUACAAAUGUGAUUUUCAGAAGCUAAUAAUUAUAGCUUUUACAUCACAAGCGACAUGAUUCUCCAUCCUCAACGAGUUUACAAAUAUGAUAUUAUUGGAUAUUUCGAUUCUAAUAUUCUAUUUGAGAGUUAUCAAUAUUUAUCAAAUUUAUUUGUAUCAUGUGGAAGCACUUGGUUUUGAGUUUUGAUGGUUGAUCUAUUUGUUGUGUGUUUGUUUAUAGCAUGGUUUCGUGUACUGUGAGCACAAUAGGUCACCAGGAUACUAUGAUGGACCCUACUAGACCAUAUGGAAGCAUCCUAUGUUUGGUUGCACUGAUGCUUCUCAGGUGUUAAAGGAGCUUCAAGAGGCUAAGACUACAUACCCCAACUCCUUCAUUCGUAUCAUCGGAUUCGACAACAUUCGCCAAGUGCAGUGCAUAAGCUUCAUCGCCUACAAGCCCCCAGACUUCUAAGUUUAAAAAACUUAUGCCCAUUUUCUUUCUUUAUAUUUAAACCACAUCCCCCUUUCUUUUUUGUUUUUCUUUUUUGUUGGUUGCCAAAAGUAUCCUUGGAUGAAAGCUAGAGACUAAUCCCUCGAAUUAUGGAAAUUCAUUUAAUGGGCUAAUCUCUAUCAACUCAUGCUCUUCAUACACACGAACUUGGGGGUUGAACCAAUUCCCAUUUGCUUUUUCUUUUUGAGAUUCAUCAUCUUGCAUUUUUUGUUUAUAUUUUUCAGAAAUGAAUGGAUGAGAAUUAAUGAAUAAUAAGUUGUUGGUGUUUGUUGUGUUGCUUUGUCCCCAAAUAACUUCAAGAACCCAUUAUGCUUGCAUUUCCCUCUAGUGGGUUGAAAUUAAUCUUAACUAAAUUGAAGUUAGUUGUGCCACUAAAUGAAGGUUAGUAAUGAAGCUCAUGAUGUGUUAUUCAAGUACUCAACAUAGUUGAGCUUCGCCUAUACUUUGUCACACAUAUGAUGUGUAAUGUUUUUAGAUUAAUUCCAAAUCACCGUACAACAUUCUUCCACUUAUUUACAUUUGUAUAAAAGUAUUGAAUGCAUUAUAUAUUUAUAAAAUAUUAAAUACAUUUAUUUUUGUAUUGUGUGAUGCCUUUUAUCCUGACAUACAUAUAAUUAAGAAAAACAUAUAAAAAUCUAGAAUUUAAUUAAAUCAAUUUUAUUCAAAUCGCUAAAACGAAUUCAUGUGGGUAAAAAGGUCACAUUCCCUUCAUUGUUACCAAAUAAAACUUAUUAAAAACAUCUCCGACUCAAAACAAGGUCGCCCAAUUUUACAAAAGAACUCAAGUUAAACAGCGAAAUAAAAUAAAGUAAAAUACAUGUUUCGAACAUCAUGCAAUUAAAACAGAAACCCAUGUCCCAAUGUCACAUCCUAUCAGAGCAUUGCGUUCCAACAUCCUCUAACACGAGGUUUUUUAAAGUCAUCCACCUAGUCAUCUGCUCUCACAAACACAAGGUUCGAGAUCAUCACAGGAUCCAAACACAAACAACACACAGGGAGUGAGUUAUCUCAUUUUUAAAUAAAAUACAGAUAAACAAAGACAUAAGCAAAAUAUAUUAUAGAAAUAUUUAUAACAUAACUCAACUUAAUACAAUCAACAUCACUUCAUCACUUUAUCAUUUAAAAUUCAUUUUUCAAUCACCAUUCACAUUACACAUGAAUCACACUUAAGAUGUACCAACACUCACCAAUUUCAUAAUAAACAAUUCACAAGCGUUAUGCAACAAUUAUACUAAGACUCAAGCCUAUAUAAAAUAUGGUACCAUGUCAGUAAAAAAUCACACUGGAGCGCUUAGGAGUAAAUAACAAGACACGUCACCCAAUGGGUAUGUCAGGUCACUCUCACUAAGUAAAAUCAUAAGGUGACCAAUCAGGGUCACUCUGUUUUGUGAAAAUGCUCCAAUCAUAUGGGAUCAACAUAGGCUUAAAGGAGCAUUCAAACCAAGUGCAUUUACUCUCAAGGCCUAGACUCUAAAGAAUCCGUUAGGGCCUCACCUUUUUUAUAAGAGUCCAACCCCUAAAACAACUUUUGCAUGCAGGCACUGCUUAUGAAUUAUACAAUACCCACGACAUCACACUUGUUUUCAAACAUGUUUAACACAUUGCACUACAAUUUAAAACUUCAUGUAACAUCUCAUUUUUCAUAAAUAAAUUAAAAAGGAUUUUUAUUUAUAAAUAAAUAGAGUUUUAGAAAAAUGAUGAGGUUUUAAUAAUUAAAUAAAUAAGGAGAAAUAACUUUAUUAAUAAAAAUAAUGGUUUGAAGGAAAAUAAAAAAUAUUUUAUUUAUUCAUUUGAUAGGAAAUAAAAUAGAGUUCUUGUUUAUAAAAUAAUAAAAAUAGAAUAAAUAAUAGGCUCGGAGUACCCUAGCUAUAAAUAGAGACACAUUACGUUUCCUUUUCCUCUCAAUUUCGUUUUCCCUUCUUUCUCUCCCAAAAACUUCUUUUUCCCGCAUACACUCAAACUUGUUUCAGUAAAAUGAUGAUCUCGAAUUCAUUAAUCGUUGGAAUUUAUGAAACAAUGUCUAAGGUGAGAGAAAUGUUCUUGGCAUCAUAGCUUUCUCUUUUCCCGCAGAGACCCAAAACCUAUCCCAGUAAAACUACGAUCCUGGACUCGUCAACCAUUGGAUCAUUGUGAAAUAUGGGCACCACCUUUGGAACCCAUUUUCACACAGUCUCACCGUUGCGAUUUGCAAAAUAAUGUUUUUACAAAGAGAAAUUAGUCUUUCACGUUGAUAGUAAAAUGGAGGCUACAAUCUCUUCUUCUAUCUAACGCUUGGAAACCCUAACAGAGCACACAGAGGAAAAAAUUGAGAAAUCUUAGGGAACUACUAGAGACGCCACUAUCACUAUCGAACUACACACGUGAGCCCGCUUAGAGGUAAGGGAUGAAUUUAUCGCUAUUGAAGUUAGAAUGAACAUGUGUAGGGAUCCUUAGAGGAUUAAAUUAGGUUUAUUUUGGGAUGUUUAUUGAAUUAUAAUUUUUUCUUUAUGAUUAUAAAUACAAUAUUGUUGUGAGAAACAUUUUUGUAUAAUUUGUUUGUGUUUGGAUAAGAUGAGCAUGAUAAAUAGUUAUAUUAGGAUCAUGAAAUUGUGAUUGAAAUUGUGUAUAAGUGAUAAAUUGAAUAUGUGAUGAAUUGUGGGAUAACAUGUUGAUUUGAGAUUAUAAUAUUGUUAUUGAGAUUGAGUAUAAGUGCAAAGUUAAACAUGCAUUAAUUUGUGAGAUACACAUAAGCAUGUGAUGGUGGAUUGUGACAUUAUGAGAUGUUAAAUUGUAGACAUUCGAUUUGGUUGUGAAUAAAUGUGUGGUUAACACUUGAUGUGACAAUACUUAUGUUGUGAGUUGUGAAUUAUACAAUAACCCGACUGGUGUUUACCUUGAGAAAAGUGUUUAUGCAUAGUGUUAAAGGGGACAGUGUAGGAUUCCUAGUUAGGAACCUAAAGUGUUAAAUUGUAACGUAAUGUAUUAAACGUGUUUGAAACACGAGUGUGAGGUCAUAGGUAUUGUAUAAUUCAUGAGCAGUGUCUGUGUGCAAAAAUUGUUUUAGGGGUUGGACCUGAAUUAGGAAGGUGAGGCCCUAACGGAUUCUUCGGAGUCUAGGCCUUAGGGGUAAAGACACUCGAUUUGAGUGCUCCUUUAAGUCUAUAUUGAUCCCAUAUGGUUGUAACAUUCUCGCAAAACAGAGUGACCCUGACUGGUAGGGGUGGGUAAGCGGGUCGGCCCGCCCCGCGUAAGGCCCGUCUGCAUAAGCCCGCAUUGGUAGCGGACCGGUCCAAUCCGCUCCGCUUCUUACACAGACCAAAUAAAUUGGUCCGCCCCCGCCCCGCGGACUCCGCGGGUCAAACAAGCCUAGUUUUAAAAGAAUUUUAAUUUUAAUAAAAAUAUAAUACAAUCAAAUUAAGUUCAAUACAAAUGUAAAUAAAAUCUCAAUAAUUAGUCAAUUACAUCAAUAAAAUAAAUAAUGUCUUAACAAAAGAAAAUCCAAGCAAUAAAUCUAAAAUAUGAAAUUUAAACAUUUCCAACAACAAAUUAUUUUAUAUUUGAAGUAGCUUAAGCCUUCUCCAUCUCCAUAUCUUCAUCUUCUUUUCCUAAAACUCGAAAUAAUAAUAAAUAUUAGAAUAAAAUCAAGUUAAGUGAUUAAAAGACAAUAAUUAUUACAUAUUAUAUACCCUGCAUAUCAAAUACUAGUAACCAGUUUUUAGUAUAUAUUGUCAACAAGAAGCCUAGUUCGAUAUUUGUUAAGCACAUGUGAGGAGAAAAAAUGUUCUUAGUCUGCUACAACUACUAAAUAUGAUAUGAGCUAUUUAUAUAAUAAAAAUAUAUUGAAAUAUCUUUAAAAAUAUUUAUUUAACAAUUAUUUUUGGCUUAAAUGAUAAGAAUUGAUAUUUUUAUUAUUUAUGACUUUCAGAUAUAAAAAUGAUAGAUUAAAAGAGAAAAAGAUCGAGAAAAUAUCAAAAAAGAAGAUUUUUAGCAAGUUAUCACUUAUCUUUUUUAUCUUAAUCUUUUAUUUUUGUUAUCUUUUAUUUUUCUUAUCUUAUCCUUUUUUAUCUUUAUCAUCUUUUAAUUAAAAUCUUUUAUUUUUAUCUUUAUAUCUUUAUCUUAUCUAAUAUAUUUCUUUAUCUAUUAUUUUAAAAAAAGUUUAAAGUGAAAAAGAGAAAAUCAAACCUAAUAUAAUUGGGUCAGGAUCACACAAAUUAAACCUAUUGUGGGCUGCAGGCAACCUGUGGAUCCCGCGGGCCAAGCCCGCAUAGUCCACGGGUUAAGCGGGGCGGGCCCAAAAAUAUGACAUAACCAUGGAUCGUUUAAAAAAAUUGGUCGGUAACCCGCUCGGACCGCGGGCCCCGUGGGUCAGUCCAUGGACCUGAACCCGUUUACCCACCCCUACUACCUGGUCACCUUAUGAUUUUACUUAAUGAGAGUGACCUGAUAUACCCAUUGUGUGGUGUGUCUUGUUAUGUACUCCUAAGCACCCCAGGGUGAUUUUUCGCUAACAUGAUACCACAUUGCAUAUAGGCUUGAGUCUUAGUACAAUUGUUGCAUAACGAUUGCUAAUUGUUUAUUAUGAAAUUGAUGAGUGUUAUUACGUCUUGACUCAAGUGUGUGAUUCAUGUGUAAUGUGAUUGGUGAUUGAAAAAUCAAUUUUAAAUGAUAAAGUGGUGAAGUGACGUGGAUUGUAUUAAGUUGAGCUAUGUUAUAAUUACUUCCAUAAUUUAUUUUGAUUACGUCUUUGUUUAUUUGUAUUUUUUUAUAGAAAUGUGAUAAGUCACUCCCUGUGUGUUAUUUGUGUUUGGAUCCUGUGAUGAUCUCGAACCUUGUGUUCGUGGGAGUAGAUGACUAGGUGGAUGACUUUAAAGAACCUCGUGCUAGAGGAUGCUGGGACACAAUGCUCUGAUAGGAUGUGACAUUGAGGAUGAGUUUUUAUUUUAAUUGCAUGAUAUUAUUUUAUUUUAUUUUACCUCAUAGAUUUAACAAAAUUUCUUUUGUAAACUUUGACGGCCUUGUUUUGAGCCAGAUAUGUUUUUAAUAAUUUUUAUUUGAUAAUAGUAAAGUGAAUGUGAACCUUUUACCCACGUGAAUUUGUUUAUCAGUAUUUUUAGAUAUUUUAUUUAUUUGUAUAUAUGUCACGAUAGAGGGUGUCACACUUCAAGUUCCUAACUUGGAAUCCUACACUUUCCUUUUAACACUUCGUGCAUAAACAUUUUUCUCAAUGUAAACAUCAGUCGGGUUAUUGUAUAAUUCAAAACUCACAACACAAAUAUUGUCACAUCAAGUAUUAACCACACACUUAUUCACAAUCAUAUCCCAUGUCCAUAAUUUAACAUCUCAUAAUGUCACAAUUCAUCAUCACAUGUUUACGUGCAUCUCACAAGUUAACACAUGUUCAACUUUGCACUUAUACUCAAUCUCAAUAACAAUGUUAUAAUCUUAAAGCAACAUGUUAUCUCACAAUUCAUCAUAUUCAAUUUAUCACUUACACACAAUUUCAAUAACAAUUUCAUGAUCCCAAUAUAACAAUUUAUCAUGCUAAUCUAGAAAAUCUUGUCCAAAACACAAAAAAAUUAUACAAAAAAUGCUUCUCACAACAUGGGGAGUAAAACCCCUCAAACAAUUUCACAUAAUCAUAUCAAAAUAAAAUAAUCAAAAUCAUAGGUCAAAAACACGAAAACACCAAGAGCACUCAAUUUUAUCAACCAAUUUGCAUUAAGACAUCAAUUGGCUCAUCAAACACAACAAUAUCAUAAUUAUAAUCAUAAAUGAAGAAUUACAAUUCAAUAAACAUCCCAAAAUAAACCCCAAUUUAAUCCUCUAAGGAUUCCUACACAUGUUCCUUCUAGCCCCAAUUGCAUUAAACUCAUCAUUUACCUCUAAGCGGGCUCACAUGUGUAGUCCGACAAUGAUAGUGGUGUCUCUAGCGGUUCCCUAAGAUUCCUCAAACUUUUCCGCUGGUUGCUCUACUACGGUUUCCAAGCAUUAGAGAUGAGGAGAAAGGAUUGGAGCCUCCAUUUCAUUGUCUUUGUGUGAGGGACAUUUCUCUCACCAUAGACAUUGUUUCAAAAUUCCCAAUGGUACAGAUGUGUGAUAAUAAGUUACAGACCUGGUGUUCAAAUUUCACAAUCAUCUAAUGGUUAACGAGUCCAGGAUUAUAGUUUUACUAGCACAGAUUUAGGUGUAUGUGAAAAAAAAGAGCUCUGUGUGAGGCAUAUUUCUCUCACUAUAGAUAUUAUUUCGCAAAUCCAAACGGUGGAGAUCUGAUAACAUUAGUGACAAACCUGGUGCUUAAAUUUCAUGAUGAUCCGACGGUUAACAAGUAUAGAAUUGUAGUUUUAAUGGGAUAGGUUUGAGUGUAUACAUGAAAAAGAGAGUUUAGGGAGAUAGAGGAUGGAAAACAAAUUUGAGAGGAAGAGAAGACGUGCCCUAAAUGUAAAAAUUGACUUAAUAUGUCUUUAUCUCUAUUUCUUUAUUUUACUAUUCUACAGAGAUGAACUCUAUUUUAUCCUCUAUCAAAUAAAUAAAUAAUUUUUUUUUAUUUUCUAAGAAUAUAUAUUUAUUUUAUUCACCUUAAAAUCAUUAUUUUAAUCAAUAAAAAAAAUUUUCUUAUUUAUUUAAUUACAAAAAUUUCAUUAUUUUUUUUAAAACUCUAUUUAUUUUUAAUUAAAAUCUUUUUAAAUUUAUUUUAUAAAGAAUGGAGGGUUACAUAUUUAAUACCUUUUUCUAUAAAGUUACAAGAAGAUUUGUAAGAGUAUAUAUAUAUAUAUAUAUAUAUAUAUAUAUAUAUAUAUAUAUAUAUAACAUUAAUCAUGUUCUUGUACUUUGGUCCUCCAAGAAAUAAUGUUCAUGACUUAAUUUGAAAACAACCCCAUUCAAAAUACAACAAAAGGUGCGUUUCUUGUCAAUGUUAAGCAAUAACUAACACCCAUGUUGCUAGGAAGCUACUGAACUUUCAAAACCAAGUAUGAAUCCCAUGAUUCUUGGAAAUACAGACAUUUGUUUAGUGUAUAGCAACAACCAAUAUUGAACUGCCGCCAAACCAUUUUGUUAAUUAUGUGCAAACAAAGAGAUAUCAAAUUCAAAGUUAUGUUGGCUUCAGAAACUCUUCUUUCCCUGCAAUAAUCACCAACUUUACUCCCAUUGAUAUUUAGAUGGACACCCUUUUGAUGGCCACGUUUGUGAACAAGGUUAGUUCAGGAUAAAGAAACAGAUAAGAAGUUUCACCUCCUUUUACUCCCAUGAUCACAUCAUGACAUAUUCAAAGUCAAUAGUGAAUAUACAAAUCAAUAGGACACUUUCUUUUCAAAUAUUUAUUUGUGGAUGAGAAUCUAGUUAGUAUAGAAGCUAAGUUUCAUCAAAUUUGCUUUUCUUAAUAAUUUUUUAUGGACGUUAAAUUUCUUCAAUCUAAUUGUUAAUUAAAAAAUUAUAAGGUAGUAGAUUAAGUAUGCAAAAUUCCUUACAAUUUACGAAACAGUUCAUACUUUAUUAUUAAUGGCUAAAUGAUUAUUAGGUAGUUCUUAUUUAUUUUGUUCAGUUUAAUUUUUUAUUUGUUAAAUAUUUUAUUUUAGUUCUUUAUCUUAUUUUUUAAUUCAAUUUAAUCAUUUAUCUUUAAAAGGUUCAAAAUGAUCAUUUAACUAUUUAAAUAUAUUCAACAUUAUUAAUCAACUUUUAUUUAUUUUAAUGGAUAUUAUACUUUUAAAGUUCAUACUUUAUUUUAAUGGAUAUUAUAUUUAUAAAAUAUAAGUAAAUACAAAUUCUAAUACGAUAAUCAUUAUGAUAUCACAAAGAGUACGUCAUGUUAACCCGUGUUCAAAGCGCACUUAAUAGCAUUUUCCUAUUACAUAAUUGCAUAAUUUUGUCUUUUAAAUUUAUAUUUUAUAAAAAAAGAAAAUUAUUAGGAAGCAUAAAAGACUUGUUAUUAUUAUCCAGUAAAAAGAAGAGUUAUAUAUAUAUAUAUAUAUAUAUAUAUAUAUAUAUAUAUAUAUAUAUAUAUAUAUAUAUAUAUAUAUAUAUAUAUAUUCUGGGUCUUCGAGUGUGGAGCUAUUAAAUAAAUAAUUUAGGGUAAAUUAUAUUUUUUUAGAAGGGUAAACUAUAUUUUUAGUUCUUCUAAUAUGUGAAAUCUGAAAUUGAUAUCUCUAAUAUUUUUGGUUCCAUUUCAGUCUAUCUAUAAUUUUAACAAAUUAUUGUUGUUCCGUUAGUGAAUGCGCUUACAUGGCAACAAACACAAAAUUUGUCCAGAGACAUUUGUACAACAAUUAAAAAGAAUGGUGGUGAUGAAUGUUAAAAUACUAAAUGAGUUAACAUAUUGAGUGAAUAGUAUUACACUAAAAUUUUAGAAGCACUGAAAUGAGAAGGAAAAAUAUUUUGGAGUGGCCAAUUUCAGAUUUCAAAUAUUUUAGAAGGCAGGAAAAUAUAUUUUAUCCAAUAAUUAAGGUAUAUAUGUUUUAUUUUAUAAAAUAUUUUGUUUAAUUCGUUAGAUAACUCUAGAAUCAGUCUUCUUCAAAAAAAAAAAAAACUUUAGUAUAAGAAGAUUUAAUAUAACACAAAUAUACCUUAACAAUGAAAAAGAAAAUUGAGCAUUGAUUUGGCCAAAAUAAAAGUAAUACAUGCUUUUUUUUAACUGAAUUAGAUAUAAUUAACAACAGUAUUUAAAAAAGAAAUUAUUGUUCCAAAAAUAAGUCAAGCAUUAUCCAAAAUACCUGCAAGGGAAAAUUAAAUAUGAGAAAUAAUCGAUAAGAUACUAUAUACAAUUAACAACAUAUAAUAAAUUAAUUCUUUUAGCCUAGGACAAAUGAUCUAUUUAAUUUUUUAUCUUAAUUUUUUGGUUUAUUUUGAUCUUAUCUUUUAAAAAGUUUAUUAUGAUCUUUUGUGCUCUGAAAAAGAAUCGAAGAGUAUUUUCGUCAAUGCAAACAUAACGUCAUUAACGAAAUAAAGAUAUUAAUGGUUAAAAAAUGUCACAAAAUAUAAGUUCUUAUUUUUCUCUUGUUAAUUUCCUCCUUCUCUUGUCCCCUUGAACCAAAAAAAUAAGAUAAAGAAUCAAAUAGCUUAUUUGAUCUUUUGUUUAAUAUAUCCAAAACAUGAAUCCAUUAAAUAUUUUGCACAUCUGUUUGUCAAAUUUUGAACUUGCAUAAUAUUCUUUAAAUUAAAAAUAAAAAAAUAAGUGUUCCAAAAAUUUGUACUCAUUUUUUUUAAUAUUUUCAUUGAACAUAAAAUAAAAGACAAAGCAUUUUUGUUAAUGACUGACAUCAUUUAUCAAAAUUUGUUAGCAUCUUCACUCUAUCCAUUCUUUUAAGUAACCCUAUGUAAGAUAAAGAAAUUUAUCAUAAGCAUUUUUGCAUUUUAUCAUAAGCAUUAUAUAAUAAUUUCAAAAUAAAAUUCAUAAACAGAAUCAAAACCUAUAAUUAUUCUCAAUAUAAAGUAAAUUAGACAGGAUAAAUUUAAGUAUUAUUGAAUUACCUUUCCUUGUAUAUUAUGAUAUACUUGUGUGCUAACCACAUUAGAAGUAAUAUGAUCCAAUAUCUUGAUCAUCACCAUCUUUUACCAAAAUAUUUAAACCUUUUUUUGAUGUAACUCUUGAUAUAGUAACAUAUAAUUGUCCAUGAAAAAAAAUUGAGGCAAAAAUAAUCCAACAUGUUUUAAAGAUUGUCCUUGACUCUUGUUGAUAAUCAUUGCAAAAGAAGUAGUCAAAUGAAAUUGCCUCCGUUGGAACUUGAAAAGGAUCCUUGCAUUAGAAGGAGUUAAUGAAAGUCUUGGAAUAAACACUUUAAGGCCAAUGUUGCUUCCAAAUUUAACAUUUCCUUCUAGAACAUAUUCCCCAUUGGUGUAACAAUUAAUAGUCUAGUACCAUUACAUAAUCCUGAUGAUUGAUCAAUGUCAUUGGAAAGACCAGAAGCACUAAUAGUGUUGAAGAACUUUGGAGUGUGCACAUCAUGUGGCCUAUUAAUCUCUUCAUUUUCUGAUAAAGGAGUAUCUAAACUUAGAUAUUUACUUUCCUCCCCAAACAUCAAUGACAACAUGUAAUCAUUUAUCUUGUCAACAAUUUUUUUUUUUUGCUAAAACAGCCUUGACUCUAAAAAAUGAUGAAUCAUGAAUAUUUUCUAAGAAAGAUGGAUAUAUAAGUAUUACUGACAAUGGAUUCAAGAGAGUUGGUGUCGCUUGCAAGCAAAUCAUGGUAUGGGUGAUUUCCUAUAUUAUAUGUUUAAAAGGGAUCAAUUUGGGGAUUGUAUUUUGUAUAUUUCCUCCUAAUAUUGGUACCAAAUAUAGUAACUCAACUUAAUUUAAGUGCACCCAUAAAUACCAUUUGGACAUUUACUUAAGUAGAAGAAGCUAGCUAAGGAACAUAAUUUUGACAAUGGUAAAUAUUAUCAUGAGUUGUUUGAUGAUUGUCCAAAUGGAAAUGGAAAAGCUAUCUAGGAUGGAGGUGUUGGAAUGGUGUAAUUUUGUCACAUUGCAUUCUGGCAUAAUUACCAAUAGAUCUAUAGAUGUGAUAAUAACUUUUUUACUCAUUAUUUGAUCAUUUCAAGUUCUCAAACACUUGGUUAGAUUGAUUUUUUUGGUUAAACUAGCAAGUAUUACUUUCAUUGUAAAAUUUUUUUUUGUCAUUUUAGGGAUAUGUUUAUAACUGAUGUAAUUAAAGGGUGUUUUUAGAUUAGUUAAUAAAGUAAUUGAAGUUAUAAUACAAAAUCAAUUUGAAAAGGGUGUUUUUAAAAUAAUCUAGACAUUAAUUUCAUAUUAGUUUUUAGAUUGGUUGUAUAGGAAUCCAUCUUAAAAGUUAAUCUAAUGUAAAAGAUAGUUACCUUUGAAGAUCGGUUAAAAUCUAAUGUAAAAGGUCAAACUUUUUUAUCUCCUACAUAGACAUCGGUCGUACAACUGAUAUAAAAAGUGAUUUUUAACCAAUGUAAAAAAGUGUUUCCUAUAAUAGUGUAUCCUUUUUGUGCUCCUAUCAUGUAUAGAAAUUUCAAUAUCACUUACAUGCAGUGACGGAUCCAAAAAUUGAGUUGUGGGGGCAAUACAAUACAAACUUUUUUUGCAUUGAAAAUAUUACAUGUUAUUUUUAAAAGUAUAAAUAUUCAUCGUAAUUGUUCUUUAUGAGUUUUUGUUUUCCAAAAAUAUUUGAUAAUUUUAUCAUUUUUCAUAUCCAAAUUUUUAUGAUAUUCAAGAUCUAUUAGUUGAUGGAGAAAAAAAAACCAUAAUAUAGCAUACUAACUACAACAAUAUACACAUUUUGCACAAUUAGUUUUCCAAUUUGAGUGCAAUAAGCCUUUAGAUAGAUAAAUAUCCUUCGAAUAUGAGUCUUAGACAACAAGGGAAAUUAGGAUUAAAAAAAUAAUUUGUUUGAAGAUAAAUAAGUAAAUGUUUGUGAAAGUUUUAGAAUGAUUUUCUCUUUCAAAAAGAUGAAAGUAGGUAUUAUCCUUUAAUUUAUACCUUUUGCACAUUUACUAGAUAAUAAAUGACUAAAUAAAUAAAACAAAAUUUUAAGGAAAAUAAAUAAAAAUAUUAAAUAUAAAAAAGUGGGAAUAAAAAUAAAAAAGAGAAUCCAAAUAUUUAUUGUUUACACAUUUUUAAUUUAUAUUAAGAUUGAAAUUAUAAUUAUAAAAUCAUAUUAUUUGGGGGGGGGGGGGGGAUAGUACUAUAUAUUUAUUAAACACAAAGUAAAAAGAUAAUGGGGGUUGCCCCAUUCUCAACAAGUUGGAUCCAUCCUUGCUUGCAUGUUGAUGAUUUCUCUCAAGUUAGCAGCACGUACAUUGGAAAGUUGAGGUUAGUCUUAUCUUUUUGCUUCUUGGUUUUUUAAAAUUUUUUACUAUUGGCUUGAUUUGUAAGCAUUAUGUGCUUAUAAUGGCAAUUGAUUUAUUACUUGUUGCAAUAAUAUAAUUGGAAUUUGUAUAUUUUUAUUGCAUUGUGUUUGUAAUUCAUGUUUGUAAAAUUUAAUUUACAUCAAAUUGUGAUUUUUUUUUGUUGCAUUAUUACUUGAUAUGCUUCUUUGUCUUUGUAAUUAGUGUGCACAUUUCCUCUCUUGCAAGCUACCAUAUUUAGUGAUUUAUUGUAUUUAAAAAAAAAAGCUUAUAUUCUGCUGCAUAAUUUUAUGGUUUGCACCUUUAUUUGUUCUUUAUAUCAUGAAUUUAACAUGUUAUAGCCUUGAUAGGAUGUGGACUAGCUUCAUGUAUUGAUUGUUAUAUGUAGUAAUCACUACUACAAAAUAGACUUUUAACAUCGGUUAUUUUUUACUUUCUACAUCGGUUUUUAACAUGCACUACAAGACAUUAGAUUUCACAAAAACUGAUGUCAUAUAGUAAAAAAUAUACAAAAAGAAGCAAAAGCUGCAAAAACAACAUCGAUUUUGGUUAAAACCGAUGUUGUAAGGGACUGAUGUUGAAUUAUGUAUUUCGAAGCAUUUUCUAGAUCAGUUCUGAAAAAACUGAUGUAGAAAACGUCUUUACAUUAUCGAUUUUGCCAAAAACUGAUCUUGAAUAUGCUUACGACAUUGGUUUUAGCCAAAACCGAUGUAGAAAGUAACUUUACAACACGGUUUUGCUAAAACUGGUGUUGUAAAUGUUGGAUCAAGUGGCCUCGGAAUAAUUAAGAAGGAGGGGUUGAAUUAAUUAUUACUGAACCUUUACUAAUUAAAAAUCUACCCUUCUUAGGCUUUUACUAUGUUGUUAAGAAAAUAAAGAAUAGAAAUAAAAACUUAACCAAAAGUAAAAAACGAUUAUUAAAGUGCAUAGCGGAAAUUAAAAGAGUAGGGAAGAAGAAGACAAACACACAAGAGUUUUAUACUGGUUCGGCAACAACCCAUCCCUACAUCUAGUCCCCAAGCGACCUGCGGUCCUUGAGAUUUUUUUUCAACAUUGUAAAAUCCUUUUACAAGAAAAGAUCCACAAGGGAUGUACCCUCCCUUGUUCUUUUUGAACAACCUAGUGGAUGUACCCUCCACUAAGAGAUGUACCAUCUCUUGUUCUCAGUCACAACAACCCAAGUAGAUGUACCCUCUACUUGUACCACAAAGGAUGUACCCUCCAAUGUGUUAAGAAAAAGUUCUCAGGCGGUUAGUCCUUUGAAAUCUUUUGUUUUAGGGAAAGGACAGAAUCAAAAGAAUUCUCAGACUGUGUCAUUUUGAAUUCUUUGACAAGGGAGAAGGGAGACACAAAAGAAUUCAGGCGGUUAGUCCUUCGUUCUUUUGGAAAAGGGAGAAGAGAGACACAAAAAGAAUUCAGGCGGUUAGUCCUUGGCGAAUUCUUUUUGGCAAAGGGAGAAAGGAGACACAAAAGAAUUCAGGCAGUUAAUCCUUCGUUCUUUUGGAAAAGGGAGAAGAGAGACACAAAAAGAAUUCAGGCAGUUAGUCCUUAGCGAAUUCUUUUUGGCAAAGGGAGAAGGGAAUGAAAAAGAUGAAUAACACAAGUUUUUGAACAAAGAACUUUUCUUGGAAGAGAAGGUUUUGAACAAAAACUUUUAGAAAGAUGAAGAGAAGAUGAAAUCAGAAAGUUCUGAAAGAAAUGAAAGAAGAUGUUAAAGAUAGAAUGAUUGAAAGAGAUGAUAGAUAUGAUUGAAUGUUUCAUGCCAAGGUCACAUAUUUAUAGUUUCUUGAUGACUCAAGUCAAAACUUGUAACUUUUGGCAAUUCCUUUAAAACUAAUCACUUAAAAAGUUAUGACUUUUGAAAGAAUCUUCAGAAACAAGUCACUUGAAGAAAUGUGACUUUUGGAAAUGAAUUUUUCGAAAACAGUCACUGGUAAGCGAUUACCAUAAAGGUGUAAUCGAUUACACAUCAAUAGAUGUGACUCUUCAUUUUGAAUUUUGAAAAUCUUAACGUUUUAAAACACUGGUAAUCGAUUACUACAAUCUGGUAAUCGAUUACCAGAGAGUAAAACUCUUUGGUAAUGAUUUUGUGAAAACUUCUUGUGCUACUCAAUGUUUUGAAAAACUUUUUAAUACUUAUCUUGAUUAAGUCUUCUCUUGAUUCUUGAAUCUUUGAGUCUUGAAUCUUGAUCUUGAUUAUUCUUGAAUCUUGAAUCUUCUUGAUGAAACUUUCUCUUGAUUCUUGAAUUGUUCUUGACUCUAUCUUGAAAUCAUUCUCUUGGGCUUUUUGUCGUCAUCUUUGUUAUCAUCAAAACACCUUGAAUCAAUCUUGAUUCAUCAUCAUGAAGCAAUGAAGUUUGCUUCUACAGUAAAGAAUCUUUCUACAUCGGUUUUAGACCAACUGAUAUCGUUUUUUACAAUUUUUUAAUAUUUUGCUUGUUUUUACAAUGAACAAGCCAAAAUCAAUUUAUAAAAAAUAUAUUAAUUUUAAAUUAAAAUAAUAAAAAAUAUUAUUUUCAUUACAAUGUUACACUACUUACAAUCUCAUAAUAUUAAUCUAGAUUUGUAAAAUUUAUUUUAAGAAACCAAGAUGAUUUCUCUAAAGGUCAAUUGCCUCCAAGAAAAAAAUAAGACUGAUAUGAUAUCCCAAAUGUCUAGCUGCAAAGCUGUUAUAAAAUACACGUAAGAGAACAUAUAAAUGUGUAUAUAAAAGCUAAUAGAAUAAAUAUAAAUGUAUAAAUAUGUAUUACAUAGGAAGGAUGAUACCAAUUAAUUAUUAAAUAAAAAAAACUCUUAUUCCAAAUUAAAAAUAGAUAGAAAAAGGUCUAAAGAAAGAAAUUACCUCUACAAGAGCAACAAAGGAUGUCAUCAUCAUGGCAAAGGCUUAACCCGCAUCAAAUGUAGGUGCUUCCCAUUGAAAUGGAUAUGGAACUCGUAUCCUGCAAACAUAAAAUACGUUGAAUACUUCCCCAUAAGUUUCAAGUCACAAGGCUAUGACUAAAUAAUAAAUAAUACGUGAAUAAUAAAUUAAUAUUUCAAGGAUGCAAUAGAGUCUUGCAUAAAAAUGUCAACUAUGCCUAUGCUCUAAGCUUGAUUAUGAGGAGUUCAAAAUCAAUAACCUGAAAUAAUAUAAAGAGACAAACUAUUAAUCAAGAUCAAUAGCAGUAACUACACAUAUGUUAUUAGAUUUUAAGGUUGAUACUAAGGAUAUAGAAACAAAUUUUUUUCGUAAAUUAAAAAGAGAAACACCAGCUUUUAUAUUUUUAACAUAAUAUAUGUUUUUCAUUUAAUGACCAAAUUUACUUUAAUUUGUAUCCUUGACGUCAAAAACCCUUAAAUUUACACAAUGUUUGGACUAAGGGUGGCUUAGAAGUUAGUAGAAGCUAGUUAAUUGGAUUGUGUCGUUGCGCAGACUUUGAAUUCACUUUCACAACAAUGUAAUAGUCUAGUACCUGAGUGUAGAUGGAAUAAUCACACCAUCAAGGGACCCUCUUCACUAGCUUUGUCCAGAAAGUCUCCCUAACCAAAGAUUUUCCUUGGUUCAAAAUCAAUCAUCCCUGAUUGGUGAGUGUGCAAGAUCAAAGUCCAAAAGUGAACAAUUAUGACAUUGAACGACUUUAUUAUUUAUUUAUUUUUCUUUUCUAAGCGUUUCUUUUAAGUCCACUAUGGACACGUAACUUUGGGGGUGGAGGUGGGACUAGAUUUUACUACUACUAGGUAAGUUCCAUUUAAACACUUAAAACCAUCAAUAUAGACUUUUCAAAUUGUUCAGGACAACCACCUUAUUUUUUCUGCAUAAGUCAUGCUUUCAUGCACUGAAACAAGUCAUUUUAACUUUAUUCGCUCGCCAAACAUUAGGGAUUUCAUGUACUAACCAUACCUCUUAGCACCUUAAUUUCAUUAUUUUAAGGACAAUUAAAGUACAAGGUAGUAAAUGUGACUCUGUCAGGAAAAUCAUUAAACAAAGUCAAGAUAUAAUCUCAAGUACAUCAUUGAGUUAGCAUUGAAUGGUCUCAUAACAACACCUUAUAUGAAAGUUAUCAAUAUAUCUAACAUGAGUCGAAGUCAUAUAUAAAAGCUAUUUAGCAACAAGCUCACCUGCUUAGGAAAUGCACUCAAACCAAAAUUUGAAAUCUUUAUAUUUCCUAGUGAAUCAAGAAAAAUAUUUUCAGGCUACACAAGGAAAAAAGAAAAUUAGAAUAAAUCACCAUAAGGACAAUAGACAACUUUCGGAUCUCACAUAAUGCGAAAUAUCUUCUAGAGUCAACUUCACUAAGACGACCAUGGUAUAUCUGCACAAUCAUAUUAUUCACCACCAAACAUUUCCAAUAUCUCAAAUGGUGAUUAAUAAAAGCCACACUAAAAUCCACAAAAAAGGUUCCAUCUUGAGCUAUGCACAAUUUUAUAAACAAUUCACCACCCGUGAUGAACUCCAAUAUGAUAUAAAUCUUGGUACAAUUUGCAAGAACUUGAAGAAAACAACGUUUCACAACAGGAGCAAGUGCUUGUGAGUGGCAACAACUAACAAGAGAAACAUUAAUAUUUACUUCUCAGAGCAAAUAUUGAGUCGGCAUGGCUCUUCUUUUAAAACCUUUUUUCAUUUAAUCAAGGAAGAUUCUCAAAUAUCAAAAUAUGAUUUCUAGAACUGUCCCUCACUCCAAAAGUCCAAACAAUCAAAAUAAAAAAAUUCUAUGAUUUUGGUUUUUGCAUUGCACAUUGUUCCCCAACCCCAAAAGCACGUCACGAUUCAAAUGCUAUUGACAAGCUUUGCACUUUUCGGGUUUUAAUUUAUUAGUUUAUUAUUAAGUGACUUCUUGGCAAGGAAAUAGAAAAACGAAAAGAGAACAACAACAACAACAAUAACAUCAUUCUUUGAAAAUUAAACAUAUGUUGUUUACAGAGAUGCUCCUGCAAAGGCUUCACAUGAUUAUGGUAAACAUGUGCAUCCCCAAUAACAUGGAUAAAAUCACCUGGAAUGAGAUCUGACAAGAAAAACACAUAGUAUAAAGAUUGAUUAUUUUAUGUUUAAAUUACUUUUAAUGUUGUAUUUUCUCUAGUGAUAUUAUCAAAAUCAAUAAGCUUCUAAACCCUGAAUUUGCCUGCACUGGAACUUCAAUUAAAAACUUAUUGAUAAACUUCUGAAAACAACUCUAUCAAAAAUCUAUAAAAAUAAUUGAAAAGUGCAGAUAGGCUACUAAAAUAAUCAAAUUAGUUAAGCAAUGGAAGACCUUUUCUAUACAGAGAUAAUCUAUAACAAUUUUUUCUAGAAAUUGUUGUGAUUUCUUAAUGUUACCAUGCUGGGUAGAUGGAAGUUGACGAGUCCAUUAAAACCUGAAACAGUGGAAAAAAUGUCUGUGACACCCUCUACCCCAACAUACGUAUUUAUAUAAUAUCAUACAUGAAAAUGCGAAAUUAAUUAAAAUGAGUUUAUUCAACAAACAUAAAGGAGCUCACGUGGGUAAAAGGAUCGCAUUCGCGUUAAUCACCAAAUUUAAAACUUAUCAAAUAAGGGUAUGAAAACAUAUUUGGCCUAAAACAAGGCCAUCCAAUUUUUACAAAAGAAAACAAGCAGCAAAAUAACAUAAAGUAACAUGUUUAGAACACUAUCCAAAUAAUAUGGAAACUCAUGUCCCAAUGCCACAUCCUAUCAAAGCAUUGUGUCUUAGCGUCCUCUAGCACGAGAUCCUUUAAAGUCAUCCAUCUAACUAUCUGCUCCCACGAACACAAGGUUCAACAUCAUCAUAGGACCUAAACACAAACAUCACACAAGGAGUGAGUUGUCACAUUCAUAAGCACACAUAUAUAAUAUAAGUAUAACAAGCUCAACUUAGCAUAAUUUGCAUCAUUUUAUCACUUAUUGCGUAACAUCACUUGUACCAAGGAUUUAAUCACAAAAUCACAUUCCACACCUUCACAUUAAUCAUGUGUUCAGAACAACACAUCUCAAGUACAACACAACAUCUCACACUCACAUAACUCAUUACCCACCAUCACGUAACAAGUCACAAUAGUCAUUACAAAGACAUUAUGCAAUAGAUACACUAAGACUCAAUCAUAUAUGCAAUGUGGUACCAUGUCAGUGAAAAACCUCGUUGAGAGCCUAGGUGUACAUGACAAGACAGACCAUACACUGGUAAGUCAGGUCACCUUCACUACGUAAAAUCAUAGGGAGACCAGUCAAGGUCAUGUUGCUUUGCGAGAAUGUUUCAACCAUGUGAGAUUGGCAAAGGCUUAAAGGAGCACUCAAACUGGGUGUACUUACCCCCAAGGCCUAGACUCCAAAGAGUAUGUCAGGGCCUCUCCCUCCUGAUUUAGGUCCAACCUAGAAAAUAUUUUAGAGCGCAUACUCUAUCUAUGAACUGUACAAAACACAUGACUCCUCAAUUGUUCUCAAAAUAAUUUUAACUCGUUGUGUCUCAAAGUGAUUAAACUCGUCAGGUUCCCACAGUGGAUCCCAUCAUAAUACUCGUCGCGCAUUAACUCGUCACCUUCAAAAGGUCUUACAAUCGUGUGAUUGUACGAUUCAUAGCUCACAACUCAAUGCAUACAACAUCUCUAUACACAUGUAUCUUACAAUUCAACAUGUACUCAAUUUAUCACAUACACCCAAUCUCAAUCACAAUGUUAUAAUCCCAAAGCAACAUGUUAUCACACCUCAUGAAUCAUAUUGACAUCACACAAUAUUAAUAUAUGCGUGGCACAAACACAUACUUUACCUAUAAACUGUGCAAUACACACAACUAAUCAAUUAUUUUUAAGAUCAUUUAACUCUCNNNNNNNNNNNNNNNNNNNNNNNNNNNNNNNNNNNNNNNNNNNNNNNNNNNNNNNNNNNNNNNNNNNNNNNNNNNNNNNNNNNNNNNNNNNNNNNNNNNNCAACCAAUUUGCAUAGCACAUCAUCUAGUCAAACAUAACAAUCUUGUGAUUAUAAUCAUAAAGGCAGAAUUAUAAUCAUAAACAUCCCAAAAUAAACCCCAAUUUGAUCCUCUAAAGAUUCUUACACAUGUUCAUUCUACAUUCAAUUGUGAUAAACCCAUCCAUUACCUUUACGUGGGCUCACAUGUGAAGUCUGACAAUGAUAAAAACAUCUCUAGCAGUUCCCUAAGAUUCCUCACGUUUUUCCUCUGGUUGCUUUACUAGGAUUUCCAAGCUUUAGAGAGAAGCAAAAGGGAUUGGAGCCUCAAUUUCACUGUCUCUAUGUGUGAGGGGAAUUUUGCUCUCUACAAAGAUUAUUUCCCAAAUCCCAAAGCUGGGAAUGUGCAGAGAUGGGCUCCGAAGGUGGUGUCCUAGCUUCACGACGAUCCAACGGUUACUAAGUCCAUGAUUGUAGUUUUAAUGGAUCAAGUUUGGAUGUAUGCAGGAAAAGAUAAGGUUUUGGGAGAGGAAGAAAGAAAAACGAAUUUAAGACGGAAAGGAGAAUAGAAAUGUAAAAACUGACCUAAUAAAUCUCUGUUUACAGCUAGGAUACUCUCAGCCUAUUAUUUAUUUUAUUUUUAUUUAUUUUAUUAUUUUAUAAAAAAGGAACUCUAUUUUACUAUUUUAUUAAAUAAAUAAUCAAUUAAAACAUCUCUUUAUUUUCUAAAAUAUCAUUUUACUCUAUUUAUUUUCUAAUACUAUGAAACCCUUAUUUUAAUUAAUAAAAAACUCUUUUCUCUCAUUUAUUUAAUUUCUAAAAAAUCUAUUAAUUUUUAAAUAUAACUUUUUUUUAUUUAUUUUACAAAAAAGCAGGAUGUUACAAUGCCAUUGGGAGUGCUACUCUCCAUAUCUUGACUAUCUUCGUCCGCAAACAAACUUAACAUCCUUCAAGAAUUUCACUGCCAAUUAGUCGAGUUUGCAAAGCUAGUAUAAGACAAAUUGCAAUCAAUAGGCAAGAAUGUUCAACUCUACUCCUAAGUUAACAUGUGUUGUGAAGGUACUCAGAAUAAAACUAUAAACAAGCACAUAAGCUACUAAUUCAAGAAAUGAACAUGUGAAGAGUGGUGAAAGCAAUAACGAAUAAAUGAGAAUCGGAUCAGGUUAGGAAACCCUAAAUUGAAACCAACCUUUCUGUUGAACAAAUUGAAACCCUAAAUCCCAAACCAUUUUAUGUUACUUGCACGAGCAUAGCGCCGAAUCAUGAUAGCAAAGGUUCCAACGAAAACCAACCUUUCUUUUUCUUCUUCUACUUCCCUAUCUCUCUCGGUGUGAUGGAGAACAAGUUUCCAUGCGGCAUCGAACUCCCUUGCCUUCACGAGCGCGUUGGUUACAACAUCAAAGAGCUUGUGGUUGGGCCUGAAGAUGGGUCGUGUUUGGGCCAAAAGGAAGAGCAAGUGCAGCAGCUUGAACAACGAGCUGAAGCGAUCGUACACGGUGAGCAGGAGGGCUAGGUCCAGCUCGAUCCUAGUCUGAUCAAGCUCGGCGUGGAGGGUAGGGCUGGGCGACAAGGAAGGGCCAACAAAGAGGUUGGAGAUGACAAAGAGAGCAUUUGGGUUGGGAAAGGGAGGGACAAGUAUGGAGUUUUGAUUGAGGGUGAGGGAGAGGAGGUGAGGGUCGAGGGGGAGGAGAAGGCUUUUGAACGAGAACAAGUCAGAGAGUGAGUGAGUAAGCGAGAUCGAGUGAAUGAAAGGGGGCUUUUGAACUUUUUCUAGUAGUGCCAACAUCAAUUAUUAAAAAACUGAUGUUAACGUGACGAUGUUAACAUCAGUUUUUGGAAACCGAUGUUAACAAAAAUAAAAUGACAUCGGUUUUUUCAAAAACCGAUGUUAACAAAAUCAAUUUAUUUACAAAAAUAUCACUGCCAUUUUGUUAAAAUCGGUUUUUGAUAAAAUCGAUGUUAAAGUAGCGAUGUUGAAAGCAUUCUUUCUAGUAGUGAGUACUAGAUUGCUCUUUUUUUAUAAAAAAAAAUAUACUAGCUUACAUUAACAUAUUUCAUUAAUUAGACUUUUGAUUAUUUAAUGUGAUUAAUGUGUGUUUAUUAUAUGUUAUAGUUGUUUAGUCUUUAAACAUCAUUGAAACUACAAAGAAUUGAAACUCGUGUGGCCAAUAUGCUAUAAUGCCAUCACCAUUGGAUGGGUACUGUAGAAAUCAUAGCCUUAUAUAUAGCAAGUUUGAGCAGAAGCUUGGCAAUCUAGCUGCUGAAGCACAAGUAAGUAAUUCAGAGCUAAGAAGGAAAUGGCUUCCUUAAUGAUCUCCCCAGCAGUUACCACCGUUAACCAUGUUGGUGUUGGCAUGGUUAUUCCAUUCACAAGCCUUAAAUCCAUGGCUGGCUUCCCCCACCAGGAAAACCAACAAUGACAUUACCUCCAUUGCUAUCAACAAUGGAAGAGUGAAAUGCAUGCAUGUAAGACAUCUCCACACUUAUAUACACACGAGGCACCAAAAUGAUUAUAAUUAAUUCAUGCUACAUGUUAGUUAAAUGAACAUGUUAACUAUAGGUUCCUUAAACUAACAUAUUAGUCAUAAGAAAUUAUGCAUAAUUGCAAGUUUAUUAACCCUUUUACUCAAUUUUCAUACAAAUUACUAGGUGUGGCAACCAAUUGGCAAGAAGUUUGAGACUCUUUCCUACCUGCCUAACCUUGAUGAUGCACAAUUGGCAAAGGAAGUAGAGUACCUUCUUAGGAACGGAUGGAUUCCUUGCUUGGAAUUCGAGUUGGAG
rnacentral:lncRNA from 1 species